rnacentral:lncRNA from 1 species
UACUUUUGUGUGAUUUUGCUCAUCUGAAUGGUAGAUAUUUCUAAUGAAAACUGUAGAUAUAGAGAGACUUAACGGAGAGUUAACGGUGUUAGUUUGCUUUAACCUGUUAUAACAAGUCAAAACUGGUUGGGUAUCCAUACCUUAAGGCACACAAGUGGCACCCAACAAACAAUUUGAAUUAUGUUCUAGGAUAUUCUGUAUCUUUCUAGAUAUUCUUUAUGUGUGCCUUGGCCUUAUGCCAAUAGGAUAUGUAGUUUGACUAGAUCUAUGUAUUCUUAUCCUUACCAUAUUGGUAUUGUGUAAUUCCUUAUAUAAAGCCUCUUAUCAAUGAAUAAUACACACAUCUUUCACGAUUCUCUAUUCUGAAAUAUCUCUCACUUCAUUAUGUUAUCAUGCACAUUGUUCUAACCCUAGAGCCAAUAGGCCACAAUUUGUUUUCUAAACCCUAAAAACAAUUUUUUUUUCUUUUCAAACCAAAAGUUCCCGGCCCUGCCUCGGUCCCUACACUGUCGUUGCUCCCAACCCGUCGCUUCCCAGCCGUCAGCUCCGCCUUCUUUUCUGGUUUCGCCGAUCAAGCUUUAGAUCAAGAAAUCCGAGUAGUUUGAAGAAAUUUUACGGUAUGUUUUAAAUCCUAAACUCUUCAAAGUUCAAUAAGGGGAGAUAAAGUGUUUUCUCCCUUUCUCCAUCUCCAUUCUAUGGUUGGGAUUUUGUGCGUGCAGGUACCAAAACCCCAGAAUUUUAUUCGCGGGUCAAGAGUAUGUUUGAUCACUCUUGCUUCCUUGUUCGGGUUCUAUAUGAUCAACCUCGACCUUUCUCCGGAUUGUGUUUGAUCAAUCCGAGCCCUUUGUCGAAUUGUGUUUGAUCAAUUAGCGGCUUUUCCGUAUUAUGUAUGAUCAAUCCGAAGGACAAACCAUUAAAAGCAUUGUUUGUGACCUCUAUCGAGUCUCAUAACAGCUUGGUUUUGUAUGCAAGAGCAACGUAACAUUCUGCUCCUUUAAGUUUUGACGUACUCGAUACCUAAGGCGAAUCUUUGCUUGGUAGCUGUGGAACCUUUCAUUGGAAAAGAUUAAACCACAUGUUUGACCCCCAGGCUAACAAGCCUAGAUGCCGAGAUUUCACAUCUCAUGCGCUCAAACUCUUUGACACGCCACAUCGACAAAAGCCUUCAAUGGCAAUCUGUACAAAAAGUAAUGACCACAAAGUACUGUGGAAUUGACACGACCCACCUCGAAUUUCACCCUGAAACCCGGAGUAAGUGGUGCGGGGACCACCUCCAAGAAAGAUAUUACCGAAAAAUCGGCAUAACCUCCCUUGAAAAUGGACAACCCUUCUUAAAGAAAACCUGCAAACACUUCCAAAAAUUUUAAUCCAACCUUAACUCCUGGAGCCUACGUGCUCCCCAAAUACAACUACCACCAACAACACAACAUUAUCCAAACAUCAAAUAUAAUUAUCCAAAAGAUAACAUAAAUCCUCCAACAAAUAUUCUAAGACGUCAACAAGUCUUCACCCACAACCGAAAUAAUACACAUUAAACCCAAGUAUUCAGAGCUACUAACACUAGCGGAAAAAGAAACCACAGGUAGGUUAAAUAGGUAACCUACUGAUGAAAAGUGGUGGAAAUGCGGGUGACUAUGCCUCGUCUCCUACUAGGUCCAACCCGAACUCUGCAGACUGGGCAUUUUAAAACGAAGGGCCUAGGGGAAACAUUUGAACACGUUAGAGUGAGUGGACAAAAAUAAAAUAAAUGAAAUAAUUCUUUAUGCUUUCCCAAUUUUAUUUUUCCAUAGAAAAAUAUGCUGCAUGCGACAGCUCAAAACACUCAACACGAAAACUGGAAAUUUCAUGACUAGCUCCGGCCAGUCUCUAACGCUCAAUAAAAUACAGCCUCUCAGGCUAAAAUAAAAUAUGUAUGUAUUACACUCGUCAUAUCCCUUGUAUGAAUUUUCUUGAAACAACAAAAACAAAUAGAAAAUUCACACAAGGCUACGACGCUUGCGUCUAACGCUCACGUCGCACCAUAAUGGCAUUUUACCUCAUUAUGGUGGAAAGACGGUGUAUAAAUAUACGCGCAUAUCCCCUAUAUAAAUUAUUAUUUUUAUAUAGGGCUACGAUGAUUGCGUCUAACGCUCACGUCGCACCAAAAUGGAAUUUUACCUCAGUAUGGUGGAAAAGCACGUAUAGCUAGCUAGCAUUCUCUCAUAUACAUAUUAUUCUCAUAAUCAUCCACAUAUGGAUAUAUAUAUAUAUAUAUACUCACCGAAAUUUUCAAUUUCGGUUAUUCUCCAACAACAUAAAUUAUUUCGCAUGCACAUUAUUUAAAACAAAAGUCCACUCACAAAUUAGGCCUAAGCCUGAUGUCGAUCUGGGGCCUCGUCAGCUCGAGCCUCCUCACGACCUGUUCCAAAUAUAAUAUUAAGUUCCCAAUUAACAAUCCAAUAAUUAAUCAAAAUAGGCAAAAUUACCCGAGAGCCAUAAACACGCUCAUCAUUACCUAACUUCGAUAUUCUUGAAUCGGAACGAUCCGAACUUAAAUAUCAUCCUCGACAGUCGUAAAUAUAACCUCCCAAAAAUACGACUUAAAUCUUACGGCCGGAUUCUACAUUAAUUAACCGCCAAAAAUACCAAACUUCGGAAAUUCACAAACCUAUCCAAAUCUCAUCCAAAAAUUCCAUAAAUCACCUCAAUAUAAUCCCCUUAAUAUUCCACAUUUAAAACCCUAAAAAUCUCCCAAACCGGCAGCGGCUCCGCAGGCAGCGGCGGUCGGAGGCUAAAAUCAGCGACCUCCAAUUCCUAUGAAAUUUUAACAGCAUCUUACUCUCAUCAUGCUCUACAACUUUCCUAACUAGCACAAACCCAAAAUCCAAGCCUAGCUAUGCCAAUCGAACAAAAACAUCAAAAACGCCCUAGAGCUUCCACCUCAAAUUUCUCCUUACCUGAAGCAAACCGGAGUGAGUCCUUUUAGGGCAAGGCAGCUGGGUUGGAGACCUACAAAACCAUACCAAGCUUGCCCGGAUUGGUGGCCCGAGGAGGGAAUUCCGGCGAAAAGCUUCCCGGCGUCUCCGGCGAGUUUUCUCUUCUUCCAGCGGGCUAACGGCUCGGGGGCUAGGUCGGGGAGGGAGAGGAGGAGAUCGGGGUCCGAACUGGGGUGGAGCGGCGGCCGGUGGCUGGCCGGACGGCGGCAGACGGCGGCUGGACGAUCCGGCGGGGAGGAAGACUCGGGGGGGGGGCGCUGAAGGGAAAAACGGGAGAGAAGGGAGGGAAAAGGGUUGGGCCUCUCCAACCGGUCCACUCCCCAUUAUACCCAACUCCCACAAAAAUAAAACACCCCGAAAAAUAAUACCCGAAUAAAAAUUACCUUUUACUAGCUAAAAUUUACUAUUUUUACCGUCGUCGUAUUUUCCUCAUACGAAUAAUCCUCCGCACAUAAUCGUCCCCGAAACCCCUCUAGGGACCAAUUAAACUAUUAACUAAAUGAUCGAGACGGUAAAAUUCUUAUUAUAAUCAUGCUAGUAAAUAAGGUAAAAAUAUAAGGGUCGGGAUGUGACAGGAAUGUACUCUACUUGUUGACACGACCCACCCCGAAUUUCACCCUGAAACCCGGAGUAAGUCGUGCGGGGACCACCUCUAAGGAAAAUUUACUGAAAAGAUUAAGAAAAUCUCCCUUGCAGAUGGACAACCCUAACUCGAAAAUUCCAAAUUACACUCUUAAUUCAACACGUCCAAACAUCACAUAAUUAUCCUUCAGAAAUUCUACGCAUAAUAUACAAUAAUCCCAAAGUAUUCAGAGCUACUAAACACUAGCGGAAGCAAGAAAACACGAGUAGGUUGAACAGGUAACCUACUGACGAAAACUGGCAGAAAUGCGGGUGACUAUGCCUCGCCUCCUACUAGAUCCAACCCGAACUCUGCAGACUGGGCAAUUUAAAACGAAGGGCCCAGGGGAAAACAUUUAAUAACGUUAGAGUGAGUGGACAAAAAUAAAAUAAUAAAUAAAAUAUUUAUGUUUCCCCAAAUUAAUUUCUAAGGAAAAAUCGAAUGCAUGCCGCAAGCGAUAAAACUUUUAUCUCAUAAAAUAUUGAGCCUCUCAGACUCUAUAAUAUAUGUAUGUAUUUACACUCGUCCAUACUCCCUAUAUAAAUUCAUGGGUCUAUAUAGGGCUACUACGCUCGCGUCCAACGCUCACGUCACGCCUUAAUGCGGUGCUACACUACGCCAUCAAGGUGGACAGACGGGUGUAUAAAUAUGUGUCCAUACCCCUAUAUGAAUUAAACACACAAAUAGGGCUACUACGCUCACGUCCAACGCUCACGUCACACCAUAAUGCGGCUAUAUGCUACGCCAUUAAGGUGGACAGACACAUAUGGCUAGCUAACAUUUAUAUACAUACUCUCUCAUAAAUACAUAUUUAUAUCCACCGAAAAUCCCAUUUUCGGUAACUCUCCAAGAGAAAUAAAAAUCGUCAAAUUAAAAUGACAUUAAAAUAUUCUGCAACAUUAAUUGUUCAACCAUGAACUAUAGCAUGCAUUUAUAUAAAAUAAAUGUCCACUCACAAAUUAGGCCUAAGCCUGAUGUCGAUCUGGGGCCUCGUCUGCUCGAGCCUCCUCACGUCCUGUUCCAAAUAUAAUAUUAAUUUCCCAACCAAUAAUCCAAUAUUUAAUCAAAAUAGGCAAAAUUACCCGAGAGCCAUAAAUACGCUCAUCAUUGCCUAACUUCAAUAUUCUUAAAUCGGAACGAUCCGAACUUAAAUAUCAUCCUCAACAGUCGUAAAUACAACCUCCCCAAAAUACGACUUAAAUCCUACGGCCGGAUUUUACAUUAAUUAACCGCCAAAAAUACUAAACUUCGGAAAUUCACAAACCUAUCCAAAUCUCCUCCAAAAAUUCCAUAAAUCACAUCAAUAUACUCCUCUUAAUAUUCCACACUUAAUACCCUAAAAAUCUCUUAACCGGCGGCGGCGCCGCCGGCGGCUCCGCCGGCAGCGGCGGCCGGAGUCCAAUUCCGGCCACCUCCAAAACCUAUGAAAUUUUGACAGAAUAAUCUCCUCAUCAUGCUCUACAACUUUCUUAACCAGUACAUUACCCAAUUCCAAGCCUAACUAGGCUAAUCGAACGAAAACAUCCUAAAAGCCCUAGAAAAUUCAACUCCACAUUUCUCCUUACCUAGCUCAAGAGGGAGUGAGCUGAUUGGAGGGGUUGCUGCACGGGAGGAGGGCUACAAAACGAGCCAGGGAUCGCCGGUUUUGGUGGCCAGAGGAGGGAGUUCCGACGGCCGGAAGUUCGGGGCAGCCUAGCCUUUCGGGCGGCACCGCUCUCUCACGGCGGCGCUAGGGGGGCUGUCACCGGUCCUGGAAGAUAGCUGGGUCGGAGGGCAACCGAACGGGACCGGAGCGGCGGCAGAUGGUGGCCGGACGGCGGCGUACGGACGGCGAGAAGUUUCCAGCGGGGGAGAGGCUCGGGAGGAAAACGGGAAGAAGAGAGGAAGAAAAAGAAAAAGUGAGGGUUGGGUUUGGGCCUGACCAACCAGGUCCAUCACCUAUAUAACAACCCAAUUCCAAAAAUAAAACACCCCGAAAAAUAACACCCGAAUAAAAAUUACCUUUUACUAGCUAAAAUUUACCAUUUUUACCGUCGUCGAAAUUUUCUUUUACGAAUAAUCCUCCGCACAUAAUCGUCCCCGAAACCCUUCUAGGGACCAAUUAAAUUAUUAACUCAAUGACGGAGACGGUAAAAUUCUUAUUAUAAUCAGGCUAGUAAAUAAGGUAAAAAUAUAAGGGUCGGGAUGUGACAAUUCUCCCCUCCUUAUAAAAAUUUCGUCCUCGAAAUUUACAUACCUGUCAUUCGAAGAGAUAGGGAUAUUGCUGCAUCAUUUGCUCCUCCGAUUCCAAAGUAGCUUCUUUUACUUGAUGACUUCUCCAAAGCACCUUGACAAGUGGGAUUGUCUUAUUCCUAAGCACUUGCUCCUUUCGGUCGAGAAUCUGAACCGGUUCCUCUUCAUAGGUCAAAUCUCUCAUCAAACUGAUCGGCUGCUCUUGCAGCACAUGAGAAGGAUCGGCAAUAUACUUGCAAAGCAUGGAUACAUGAAACACAUUAUGUAUCCUAGCUAACUCUGGAGGCAAAAGUAGCCGGUAAGCAAGUGAGCCAACUCGCUCAAUAAUCUCAUAAGGGCCAAUAUACCUCGGACUGAGCUUCCCACGCUUACCGAAACGCACAACCCCUUUCCAAGGAGAUAAUUUCAGGAACACCUAAUCACCCACUUGAAAUUCAAGAUCUCUCCUACGGACAUCCGCAUAACUCUUCUGCCUACUUUGAGCAGUCUUGAGUCUAUCUCUAACCACUUUAAUCUUCUCAUUCGUACAUNNNNNNNNNNNNNNNNNNNNNNNNNNNNNNNNNNNNNNNNNNNNNNNNNNNNNNNNNNNNNNNNNNNNNNNNNNNNNNNNNNNNNNNNNNNNNNNNNNNNNNNNNNNNNNNNNNNNNNNNNNNNNNNNNNNNNNNNNNNNNNNNNNNNNNNNNNNNNNNNNNNNNNNNNNNNNNNNNNNNNNNNNNNNNNNNNNNNNNNNNNNNNNNNNNNNNNNNNNNNNNNNNNNNNNNNNNNNNNNNNNNNNNNNNNNNNNNNNNNNNNNNNNNNNNNNNNNNNNNNNNNNNNNNNNNNNNNNNNNNNNNNNNNNNNNNNNNNNNNNNNNNNNNNNNNNNNNNNNNNNNNNNNNNNNNNNNNNNNNNNNNNNNNNNNNNNNNNNNNNNNNNNNNNNNNNNNNNNNNNNNNNNNNNNNNNNNNNNNNNNNNNNNNNNNNNNNNNNNNNNNNNNNNNNNNNNNNNNNNNNNNNNNNNNNNNNNNNNNNNNNNNNNNNNNNNNNNNNNNNNNNNNNNNNNNNNNNNNNNNNNNNNNNNNNNNNNNNNNNNNNNNNNNNNNNNNNNNNNNNNNNNNNNNNNNNNNNNNNNNNNNNNNNNNNNNNNNNNNNNNNNNNNNNNNNNNNNNNNNNNNNNNNNNNNNNNNNNNNNNNNNNNNNNNNNNNNNNNNNNNNNNNNNNNNNNNNNNNNNNNNNNNNNNNNNNNNNNNNNNNNNNUUUUAUCCCAACUCCCUCUGAACUGCAUGGCACAAGCCCUCAACAUAUCCUCCAAAGUCUGAAUAGUCCUCUCGGACUGCCCAUCAGUCUGAGGAUGAAAAGCAGUGCUGAAGAGUAAUUGGGUACCUAAAGCUGCCUGAAGAGCUCCCCAGAAUUUAGAAGCAAAUCGAGGAUCCCGAUCUGACACUAUUGAUUCAGGAACACCAUGAAGCCUCACAAUUUCAUUCACAUAAAGCUCCGCCAAUGUAUCCAAUUUAUACUUUUUCCCACUGGCAAGAAAUGUGCAGAUUUGGUGAGUCUAUCCACAAUCACCCAAAUACCGUCAUGCCCUUCACGGGUAUGAGGUAAACUAAAAACAAAAUCCAUGUUGAUGUGGUCCCACUUCCACACUGGAAUAGGCAACGGCUCAAGCAACCCAGAAGGCUUCUGCCUUUCAGCCUUGACUUGUUGAAAAAUCAGACAUCUACUCACAUAAGCUGCAAUUUCCCUCUUCAUGUUUGGCCACCAAUAAUAAUCCUUCAAAAUCCGAUACAUUUUUGUGCUACCCGGAUGAGCAGCAUAUGCAGAGCUAUGAGCUUCCUCCAUAAUCUCACUUCAACUCUUCAUUUCUUUUUGGAACACAUAGCCGGUUCUUAAACAAUAGAGUCCCAUCUCUUCUAACUGAAAAAAAGAUCGGCUGCGGCUCCAUUCGAAGCUCUUUCCAUCAAUCGAACUAUGGAAGGAUCAUUAUACUGUGCUUCCCGCACUCUAUCAACCAAAACUGGCCUCACAUGAAAACUGGCUAUCAAAGCACCUACCUCAUCCACUGAUAAAUCCACUCCUGUAGCUCGCAACUCACAAAGAAGCGGAACAUGAACCAUCUUUAUAUGAGAUAAAGAUAUGGAGGGAUUUCGAUUAAGAGCAUCAGCUACCACAUUAGUUUUUCCAAGAUGAUACUCAAUAGUGCAAUCAUAAUCAUUGAUUAACUCCAUCCACCUUCUUUGUCUCAUAUUAAGCUCUCUUUGAGUGAACACAUACCGAAGACUCUUGUGAUCGGUAAAUAUCUGACACUUGGCUCCAUAAAGAUAGUGUCUCCACAACUUGAGAGCAAAAACUACCGCUGCAAGCUCCAGAUCAUGAGUAGGAUAAUUCCCCUCAUGCGGCUUCAAUUGCCUAGAAGCGUAGGCAAUUACUCGAUCAUGCUGCAUCAAAACUCCACCUAGACCACGUCUAUAAGCAUCACAAAAAACCACAUACUCUCCACUAUCAUCCGGAAGUGCCAAAACAGGAGCACUUGUUAAGCAAUUCUUCAAUUCUUGGAAACUUUGCUCACAUUGAUCUGACCAUUCAAACUUAACCCCCUUCCUGGUCAAUCUUGUGAGAGGAGCAGCAAUAUAUGAAAAAUCUUUCACAAAGCGCCGAUAAUAACCUGCUAAUCCCAAAAAACUACGAAUCUCCGUCACAGUGGUGGGUCUUCUCCAAUUCGACACUGCUUCCACCUUUUGGGGAUCCACACUAACUCCUUCUGCGGAAAUCACAUGACCCAAGAAUCCCACUUUAUCUAGCCAAAACUCACACUUGCUAAACUUAGCAAAUAACUGCGACUUUUCCAAAGUCCGCAAUAUUAUUCUUAGAUGCUUGGCAUGCUCCUUCUCACUUCUUGAGUAAACCAAUAUGUCAUCUAUGAAUACGAUCACGAAACGAUUAAGGUAUGGACUAAACACCCUAUUCAUGAGAUCCGUGAACGCCGCGGGUGCAUUAAUAAGUCCAAAUGGCAUCACGACAAACUCAUAAUGACCAUAUCGUGACCGAAAAGCAGUCUUGGCUAUGUCCCCCUCUCGGAUCCGCAACUGAUGAUAACCCGAUCUCAAAUCAAUCUUAGAGAAAACAGAGGCACCCCUCAACUGAUCAAACAAAUCAUCGAUCCGAGGCAACGGAUAUAUAUUCUUCACUGUGACCUGAUUCAACUUCCUAUAAUCAAUGCAUAGUCUCAUGGUGCCCUCUUUCUUCUUAUCAAACAACACCGGAGCACCCCAUGGAGACAUGCUAGGCCGAAUAAAACCCUUAUCUACCAACUCCUGCAAUUGAGUCUUCAACUCUUUCAAUUCCGCUGGAGCCAUUCUGUAAGGCGCCUGAGAGAUAGGCAUAGUUCCGGGAAGUAAUUCUAUAGAGAAGUCUAUCUCCCUUGCAGGAGGCAAACCAGGCAACUCCUCAGGAAAAACAUUCGGAAACUCUCCUACUUCUGGAAUAUCUUCUAAUCCCACAACUCCCAUACUUGUAUCCACCACAUGAGCUAAAAAUGCCUGACAGCCUUUACUCAACAAUUUCCUUGCAGCAACAGCGGAAAUUAUGCAACUAGAAAUAACAUCUCUUUCCCCUUGGAAAGCAACCUCAAAACCAUCUCGACUUCGAAGCACCACUACUUUUUGAAAACAAUCUACCAUAGCUCUAUAUGCUUCCAAAAAGUCCAUUCCCAAGAUCACAUCAAACUCCACUAUAUCUAAAGGAAUUAAAUCAGCCUCGAAAUUAACUCCUUCCACUAAAACUUCACAGCCACUAAAUACCCAAUUUAUUCUCAUCACCUCACCGGAGGGUAGAGACACAUGCCACUCGCCUGGAAGAGACGAUGAUGGUACAUUGGCAUGGAGGGCAAAUCUACUAGACAUGAAUGAAUGCGUGGCUCCGGGAUCAAUUAAAGUAAAACCAGGCUGACCAAAAAUUAAUAACGUACCAAUGAUGACAUCUGGAGAAGUACGACCCUCCUGCUGGGUCAUAGCAUGCAGUCUAGCGUGAGUCAUGGGACGUCCACGCUGACCACUUCCCCGCUGAGAGCCACCUCUAACCGAAACACUGCCCUGGGCACCACUACUAGAGCCUCCAGCUGAAGACUGACCAACUGGCUGAGUAGGGGUGGGAGUGGUCCUCUGAGCCAACAAUGGGCAAUCUCUCCUGAAGUGGUCCUGACCACCACACUCAAAGCACCCAGAAAACUGCUGCUGCUACCCAUAUGAAAAAGUCUGGCUACCGGAUGACCCACCAUGGAAACUGCCACCCGAACCAUACUGCCCAGACUGCUGCCUACCCAACUUACUCCUAGUAGGUCUCCUGUGACGUCCUCUAACCCUGAACCGAGAAUUAGAACCUGAUCCCCCACUACUGCCACUACCAGCUGAUGAACCUGAAGCGGAUGAUGAAGCAGCUUUCUUGGAUGGACCCUGACUGGGGCCACCGAAAUCUCAUGGCCGAGCACUAUAAAUCCCCAUAGACUCAAUGGCCAUGGCUGCAUGAACAGCGUCAGAGAAAGUCGGGUAAUAAACACCCGUCAUUUUAUCUGCAAACACUCCACCAAGUGCCCCAAUGAACAUCUUCAUCCUGGUCCUCUCAUCAGGAACCAGAUAUGACACAUGAUAGCUCAGGGAAGUGAAUCUCUCCUGGAACUCUAUAACACCCUCAUCAUCCCUCUUCUUCAUAUUCAGGAAAUCCGACUGAAUUCUGCUGCGGUGGGCAGGACUGAAAUAUUGCCCCAAGAAAAGCGUCUUAAACUGCUCCCACGACAUAUUCAGAGCAUCCUCAACAUUCCUGCUAGCGAGCGACCACUAGUGAUGUCGCUGAAUCAUCCAGGAAAGUCACUGCCAUCUUCUUCAUAUUCAGGAAAUCCGACUGAAUUCUGCUGCGGUGGGCAGGACUGAAAUACUGUCCCAAGAAAAGCGUCUUAAACUGCUCCCACGACAUAUUCAGAGCAUCCUCAACAUUCCUGCUAGCGAGCGACCACUAGUGAUGUGCUGAAUCAUCCAGGAAAGUCACUGCCAUCUUCACCUUCCUUUCUUCUGGCAAAUCUGUGCUCGCAAAAGCCUUUUUCAUUUUGUCCACCCAAGUAUAAGCAUCAAGGGGUCCCAUGGCACCCUUGAACUCUCUUGCUCCAGCCUCAUAAACUUCUCUCCUCUUCACUGCAUGAGGGUGUGGAGCUCGAUCUAUGACAUCCCUCAGCAUAUUUCCAAUAUCAUCAACCAGUCCCCUGACCUCAUUGCCCUCAUCGGCAUUGGUCGAAGUAGCCACACGGGGUUGCCGUGGGCGCCUAGGAGGCAUAGUACCUGAGGAAGAAGAAAUUUAGUAGUCCAUAAACAAGACUAACACAACAAUCACAUAUACCCAAUAACACAUAGCAUCAAAAGCAUAAAAUGCCAAUGAAUCCGCCGCGGUCGGAUCAUCACUCUAUAGACACUACGUGCUACUUAGGCAAAUAUGAUAGUGACAAGGAAGCCGGAAAAGGAAACCUAUAGCUCUGAUACCAACUGACACGACCCACCCCGAAUUUCACCCUGAAACCCGGAGUAAGUCUUGCGGGGACCACCUCCAAGAAAAAUUUACUGAAAAGAUUAAGAAAAUCUCCCUUGUAGAUGGACAACCCUAACUCGAAAAUUCCAAAUUGCCUAACUUCGAUAUUCUUAAAUCGGAACGAUCCGAACUUAAAUAUCAUACUUAACAGUCGUAAAUACAACCUCCCCAAAAUACGACUUAAAUCCUACGGCCGGAUUCUACAUUAAUUAACCGCCAAAAAUACCAAACUUCGGAAAUUCACAAACCUAUCCAAAUCUCAUCCAAAAAUUCCAUAAAUCACAUCAAUAUACUCCUCUUAAUAUUCCACACUUAAUACCCUAAAAAUCUCUUAACCGGCGGCGGCGCCGCCAGCGGCUCCGCGGGCAACGGCGGCCGGAGGCCAAUUCCGGCGACCUCCAAAACCUAUGAAAUUUUGACAGAAUAAUCUCCUCAUCAUGCUCUACAACUUUCUUAACGAGCACAUUACCCAAUUCCAAGCCUAACUAGGCUAAUCGAACGAAGACAUCCUAAAAGCCCUAGAAAAUUCAACUCCACAUUUCUCCUUACUUAGCUCAAGAGGGAGUGAGCUGAUUGGAGGGGUUGCUGCACGGGAGGAGGGCUACAAAAACGAGCCAAGGAUCGCUGGUUUUGGUGGCCGGGGGAGGGAGUUCCGACGGCCGGAAGUUCGGGGCAGCCUUGCCUUUCGGGCGGCACCGCUCUCUCACGGCGGCGCUAGGGUGGCUGUCACCGGUCCUGGAAGAUAGCUGGGUCGAAGGGCAACCGAACGGGACCGGAGCGGCGGCAGAUGGUGGCCGGACGGCGGCGUACGGACGGCGAGAAGUUUCCGACGGAGGAGAGGCUCGGGAGGAAACCGGGAAGAAGAGAGGAAGAAAAAGAAACAGUGAGGGCUGGGUUUGGGCCUGACCAACCCGGUCCAUCACCUAUAUAACAACCCAAUUCCAAAAAUAAAACACCCCGAAAAAUAACACCCGAAUAAAAAUUACCUUUUACUAGCUAAAAUUUACCAUUUUUACCGUCGUCGAAAUUUUCUCUUACGAAUAAUCCUCCGCACAUAAACGUCCCCGAAACCCUUCUAGGGACCAAUUAAACUAUUAACUCAAUGACGGAGACGGUAAAAUUCUUAUUAUAAUCAGGCUAGUAAAUAAGGUAAAAAUAUAAGGGUCGGGAUGUGACACUUGUUGAGUUAUUAGUCAUGUGGAUUGCUUACCACCUUAAUUGACUACAUAUUGUCGAUGAACUUUUAUGGCAUCAUGAUCCAUAAUUUUUAGCGGAUUCGAUCAUCAUCAAGUUCUCUAGGUCCUCCAAGUUGGUUUGGAAUUACCAACGGGACUUGAUUUUUAUCAUACAAUUGCAAACAGGAAUUGUAUAUACGCUAAUGUGAUAAACAUAUUUGACAUUAUCCCCUAAUAUGGGGACAACAAUAUGGGUCAUGUCAACGGCAUAAAAUGCCAUGCCGAUGUCUAGAAAAGAGGGGGAGGUGUCGCCGGCCCUAAUGGCGACACUCCCGGUCUAGACAUCAAUCUGUCAAAACUACUCACGUCCGCUUAUGACAAUGCAACCAUUGUGGAUCUCCGGAUCGUUGGUUGAAGAGUUAUCGAGCUAUCCUUCAAAUUGUUAAUGCAUACAAAAGGGUACAGAAAAUCAAUAUGAGGAGAAGAACGUCAUCCUCAUGAUCGCGGAUUUCAAAGAUUCGGAUCCUGCUCUAGCUACCCAUGACUUUGACGUCAUUGGCUAGACAUUGAUUUUCUUUCCAAGCUAUAUGUAAUACAGCGUCGUAUCGACGUCCUUCGUCUAUUUGAGACCUCGAUGUACUCACAUUAGCAAUAAUGAAUGCCUUGAGAAUUUUUUUUUCGAAGUGAAACUAUUCUCCUCUUAUGGUUCGUAUUGAUUUACAAAAAAUAUAUACAUUCUUACAUCGUCCUUAGAAACAUGGCAUAUUGUGCCAUUUUGGUCCCUUCCUUUGAAGGUGACUCAUGGCACCGCAUCCUCAAGGAGGAUCGCCCACGUGUUUCCGGUUGAGUCUUCUACCCUAUAGCGGAUUUUCCAUCAUCAAUUGUUCAACUAGGCUCAUCUAAGUUCAGUGUGAUGUCUUAGAAUUGUCCGAAAUUAAGAAGAUAGUGGUUUAAGUGUGCCUCGCACUACCGACCCUCUACGGACAAGCCUGGUCAUACUGAUUUGGAGUUACCGAAAGCUUUUGAUUUUGGAUCCCCGUACGCUAUUAAACCAAUUGUCGUCUUGCAAAAGAUGUUGAAGACUUAUCAAAACCGGACAAUCAUCAUCAUGAUCGAAUCCUCUAGGUCUUCUGAGUUAGUUUAUGUUCAUGUCAAGGAGCUUUUGCUAACUAGUCAUGGAGUUUACGACCUUGGAACGACUGAAAGGACUUGAUUUUGAUCAUGCACACAUCACUUUUGGCUAAGGCAAAAGCCUACAUGCAACCUGCAAGCUUCACAGCUUCGCACAUGCCAAUUCUGCGAAAAACAGCAAUCUGUCUCUUCUAGACAGUCAACUUCGUUUGAGCUUUGUGAACAGCUCUGGACGAACUAGAUAGUGAGCUUUAUAUCAUUGGAAAGCUCUACGAGUCUAGUUUUCAGAACCUUUCGCGGUUCAUCCAUAUCUAUUUUAACAAAGAAGUUAUGGCUGUUUUAGUGCGCAAAAGUCAUUCCGCACGGAAAUUUUAAUGCACUCUCAGGAUUGCAGCUUUUUGUAGCUUCUUUCAAUCCUUCUAAAUGGUUCAAGUGGAACUAUUUACUCUCCUAUCUACUCCAUUUUGUACAUCUGUCUCAUAGAGACAUUAAGUGCUUCGCAAACAGUGGAACUAUUCACAACAUUCUAAGGAACCGGCAACUAUCUUUGGAUAUUAUGCCUUUGUAAAUCUUCUGUAUUGAGAGACACGGUUUAGCUUGAAUUUUGAUGCCUCAUGGCACCAUGAUCAACGUCACAGAUGCCCUCUAUGCAUUGAGAGGCAACCGAACCAUGUUGAGCUUUAAAGACAUUCUUGCUAAUAGUUUUUAUUUGAAAACACAUUAUGAGAAUGAACAAGAAUUCUUUUGUGUAUACAUUCUCAUGAAUGUGGACUGAAAUGCAUCUUGGAGAAGUUCAUGAGUCAAUUUAAUGGAUUGUAUGUCACUACGAUUCGAGUAUCGAAUCCCAUGUUGUCGCCAAACAUGAUAUUUGGGACACCGACUCAUAGAGGCUUUGGUUUGACCAAAUCGGUCAACCUCGAAGAGAUAUAAUGGUCCAAAUUUUGAGAAACAUCCAUUCUUCUGCUCAAAACGAAGACAUUCGGGAUCUAACAUCACCAUGAAGCAUGGUGGUGACCCAGGGGACAUUUGUAACACCCCGGACCAAAUUCUACCUAUUUACUAGGUAUUCUACGAGUUACUGAAGAAUUUAACUGUGUUCGGUAAUUUGGUAAUUUAACACUCGAGUUUAUUGUUGAGUUUUUCUUAAAAUGUUAAAUUCCUCUUUUAAGGCCUCGAUAUAGUAGUACGUGUCGACACAGGUUCAACAGUGGCAUUGGAUUAUUUGUUGGAGCUUCGAGUUAUUUUUUCUAUUAUUUAUUAGAGGUUUGGUUUUAGAAAUUUAUUUUCUCGGAAGAAAAUAACUUUUAUCCGGGCUUCCAUUAGGGUUUUGAUAUGAGUUGUAGAAUUUAAGCUUAAAAGGUAAAGAGGAGGUUGACCCAGUCAAAGAACCCAACUCGGGUUUGACCGAGCCCAACAGAGUCUCCUCCUUCUCUCUCACUUCUCUCUCGUCGUUCGCCUUCUCCGGCGCAAUGGCGACGAUUCCGAGCACCUCCCACAGCGUAACUACCACCAAAAUAUUCUUCUCUUCAAUCUCUACAAAACCCAUACCUCAGUUCACACAGGCAUCCACAUACGAGGGAGAUCGAUGUCGAAGAGGCACGGCUGUGUUUCUCGUUUUCCGGCGAGCUCCGACGGCGACGGCGAUAGUGAGGGGUAGGAUUCUUCUCCUUUUUCCUUCUUCUCCCUUCCUAUGUCUUUAAUCUUUUGAUUCGUGCCCUAAUCAGAGGAACCCUUUUCUCCUGUUUUUGGGUUUUCACGGCGUAUCUCCGGCGACCGAGUUCUUGCCGUUUCCGACCUCUUCUCCAUGUUCCGACAAGCAAGGCUACUUCUUGGCAGACCCAGUGGCCGAGUGGAGGAGGUGGUUGGAGUUUGGUAGCAGAUGGGGUUCUUCUGGUUGGGACAGUGAGAGGCAGAGGGCUGCAGGUCGGUCUCCGGCAAGGAGAAGUUUCUGGGUUGGGGUUUUGAGCGGACUGAAGGUAAAGGUUAAAAAUCUGAGCUGCUGUGUUGUUGCUAUGUUGUGCUUAUUGUGUUGUUUAGGUGUUGAUUCGGCUGUUUCCUUUGUGAUAUGUCGAGAACUUGGUGUUUUGAAGAACACGGGGAGGUUAUGGCCAUUUUCUGGUGAGUGGCCGGAAUCCGGUAGAAUAUUCCGGCAAGUCGCCGGAAUCCGACGAAGGCAGUAAUUUUGGAAGAAGGUGAUGAGGUAGUUAUCGACGUUUUUCCUUUCUGAUUUGUAUCGUUUCAGAAAUGGAAAGUUUGUCGGUUUGUAAUCGGAAAUCUUUCUAAGGGAGGAAAGUUUCUAUUUUAGGAAACUUUCCCUUUUUUGGAAGCUUCCUAUUUAUGGAAACCCAUUUGGGUGCCCUUAGUAAAUUUUGGAAGUAAAUUGGUUGUUGUAUUAAAGGCAUGGAAAUUGAUUAUGACUUCGAUUCCAAGUUAAGGUUUUGUUUAGAGGCAACGUUCGAGGAGUAUUCCAAGCAUUAUAUUGAGAAGUUUAAGCCUAACACUGUGAGUGGACAUUUUGGUUUUUCUUAAAUAUGCGUGCAUGACUUUAUAAAUUAUGAUUUUAUUUUCCGAGCAUAUAUUAUAACUUCGGCUUACUAAAUGAUCUUGGAAAUUAUUUUAAGUUUGAUGCAUGGAUUAAUUGUGCACCAUGAUUUAUGGAUUUGAGCUCGGAUCAUUAAUUUGGUACUUGAGUUUGGAUAUCAUUUAUGAUUUCCGGAUUUAAUUAUUAUCGGCUUUAUUGUUGACUUUGAGAUUUAUUAAAGACUACCGAAACUGGGAUUUUCAGUAAUUCUCUUUUUAUAACUUUCUCGGUUAUUUGUGGUUUAUCGACCUUGACAUUGAGAAUAUUUUGACGUGUGAGACACGUCAUUGAGUAUUGUUACAUUGCUUGGUUGAGUGGGCCGGGAUACUUAUCUCGUGAGCUUUAUCUAGUGGGCCGGGAUACCUUUCUCGUGAGCUCUAUCUAGUGGGCCGGGAUAUUUAUCUUGUGAGCUCUAUAUGAUCUUCUUAUUUCAUUAUAUAAGGGUUGUUGUAUAUUAUUAUUGCUAGCUAGCCUUUAGCGUGGGACGUUAUUAAUAGAGUCUGGGAGGCUCCGACCCUAGCCUGGGAGGCUCAUCUUUAUGGUGAAACCCCUUUCUAGUUUCUUGGAUUUAUUCGAACCAACGGGAUUGGUUCGUCAUUUGUACUCUUUUAGAAGUAUUAUGAGUGAGCAUCAAGUGUUGCAUGCAUAGUUGUAUUUUCGUUGAUCAAAUCGGGAAAACAUAAAUAUUUUUAUUGGUUUAUUUCCUUUAAAUUUAUUCUUGUCCACUCACUCUAACGUUUUCGAAUGUUUUCCCCUAGGCCCUUCGGUUUUAAAUGCCCAGUUUGCAAGUUAGUAUAAUUGAGGUCGGGCGUACUUGGAGUCGAGGCAUAGUCCAUCGUAUAGCUUAAGCUUAAAUAUAUAUUUAUCUCCCCUUCACUGUUAGAAUUGCUCUGAACCUAUUAAUUGUUGGUUAUGGGAUUUUUGUUAGAUUAGUAAAUAUAAAUUUUUUAGAUGUUGUGAUUUGUGGGGAGCACGGAGGCUUCAGGAGUUUAUAAGAUUGAAGUUGAAAUUUUUAGAAGUGUUUGCAGGUAUUUUUAUUUAGGAAGGGUUGCCUAUUUUCAAGGGAGGUUAUGCCGAGUUUUCGGUAAAUUUUCCUUGGAGGUGGACCCCGUAGGAUUUACUUCUGGUUUCAGAGUGAAAUUCGGGGUGGGUCCUGACAACAUUGACGUCACCCGAACACGGCUCCAACUUCCCGAAGGCCGUCCGGUCAAUUCCUCAAGCAAUUGAGGUGCACCGGCCUUCCCUCUAUGUCUCAUUGGCCCCUGUAAUGCUCAUUGCUCGUUUUGAAAGCCUAUUUUUAACUAAAUUAGGAGUGAGACUCUCCUAUGCUAAAUUACACAAAGUGAACAUUCCAUUCUUACAUCAACCUAUGUUGAUAGAUACAACCAACUUGCGAACACCUUUUUUUAUGCUUUAUGGUGUUGGUUGAAGUGUUAACACACUGGUCACGUGUUACACUAUUAUCUACUGCUUAUGCUGCUUAUACUUCUACGGGCUCACUACCCAUUCUUUAAAAAAGUUUAUCGGGAUGUCAGUUGAAGUGUCUUGUACCCCAUGUUCACACGCAAUACGGUCUCACCGAGGCUACGACCAAGCAACUUUAGCUUGUCGCUCGAACAUUAUUGAUGCACACCAAUCUUUUUAUUGCGUCUUGGGGCUAUGCAAUAUUUGCAUGCAGCUUUACUAUUCAUCUACGACCCACCAUCAUUGAAUAUUUUUGUACUACAGCUCGUGACUGUCACUACCAGGACAAGCACUUUAGCCGACGAAAAAGUUUCAUCGGCCAGUUAGCUUAAUUCGUCGGCUAAGAUCUUACCCGACGAGCCUUCGUCGGCUAUAGUUUCGUCGGGAAAGAGGCGUCGGUGAUGACUUUAGCCGACGAAAUUAGAAAACGUCGUCGGCUAUUGUCCCAGUAUUUAGCCGACGACAGAAGACGUCGUUGACCAUAGUCUGAGACUUUAGCGAACGAAACAUUUAAGAUAUUCGUCGGCUAAAGUAUGUAAUAAAAAAUUAAAAAAUAACUAUAGCCGACGAAAUAUAGUCUGUUUCGUCGGCUUUAGAAGUGUUUAGCCGACGAAACAUGCCAUAAUUUGUCGGCUAAACCUUAUAAAAAAAUUAAAAAAUACUAUAGCCGAAUAUAGUCGGCUAAAGUAUUUAAAUAUCGUCGGCUAAAGUAUUUAAAUAUCGUCGGCUAAAGUAUUUAAAUAUCGUCGGCUAAAGUUGCUGGUUUUUGAAAAAAAAAACUGUAGAAACUUUCGGCCACCUCCAAUCAUCACCAAAAUUUGACAAAAUCUUCCUCUCAACAUUUCGAACAACUUUCUAGAAGAAGUCAAACCCAAUUCUAAGCCUAAACAGGUCAAUUGAAUCAAAAUAUAAAAAUCCCUAAUUUUAAACCCUAAAAACUUUAAAUCUUCGAUUCUCUUCACACACACCGAAUCGAGCUACCAAAUUCUAGGGGAAUGUAGUACUAAUCAAACUCAACUUAUCCAUAUAUAGAACUCACCAAAUGGUGACCUAAGGAAGGAGAAAUUCGAUCGACACCGAAUCCAAACCGGCGGAGUUUUAGAGCUCGAUUUAUCCCUCACGGCGGCGCCACUCAAUGCACCACCUGUCCAGCAAUGAAGUAGAGAUGACGGCGAAGUUUUUAGGACAAGUGUGGCGGUCUCCGGUGGCUUGACGGCGGAGCUAGGCCGAGAAGAAAAUCCGGCAGGCGAAACAAUAACUUUUUCUGAUUUUCUGACUUCUUACCAUCCACCUCUGGUAAAACUCCUAUAUAAAGAACUUUACCCGACGAAAUUCUUUAUUUUCAUCGGCUAAACUCUUUUGAAAAUUUUGAUUGACCGCAAAAAUUUUUUUGACAAUAGCCGACGAAAUCAUAUAUUUUCGUCGGCUAGAGUCCUUUGAAAAUUUUCCUCCAAAUUUGGUUUACCACCAAAAAAAUUUUGACCUUAGCCGACGACUUUUUUAAGAUCUCGUCAGCUAAAGUCUAUAAAUUCACGAAAACGCUCAUAUCUCCCUCUAUAGUAAGUAGUUUGGUCAAACCUUCCACACGAAAAACUUUCACGUAGAUGAGACGCAACCGCCUAUAUAAAAAUUUGAGACAUUUACCUUCCGACGAUAGGGCUCCCCAUAGGGAAUAAUAACGGUAAAUAGGGUUGACCGCUACUAUCGGUACCGAGACGUUACCUGAUUUACAUGAUUUUUGAACCAUAGCCGUAUUUCACCAUUCUAAACACAUCUUAUUUCACGAGAUUUUUGAUAAUUUUGCUUCCUAUGUAGAGUUGGUUCACAAAGUUGUAUUACCUACUAAACAAGUUAUACAACAUUCGUAGACACGUUGUGAUUACGAUGAUUAAAAUUCACAAACCAAAAUUCGACCAUCAGAUAUGAUCAUUAUGAUAAAAGAUGUCUGGAAUUCAACUGGAUCCGACAACGUUAAGGGCUCGAUCGAAACGGUCAACCCUAAUCCAUCGUCACUUAUCACACAAAAACGCUCAUAUCUCCCUCUAUAUUACAUAGUUUGGUCAAACCUUCCACAUGAAAAACUCUCACGUAGAUGAGACGCAACUGACCAUAUAAAAAUUUUGAGACAUUUACCUUCCGACGAUAGGGCUCCCCAUAGGGAAUAAUAACGGUAAAUAGAGUUGAUCGCUACUAUCGGCACCGUGACGUUACCCGGUUUACGUGAUUUUUGAACCAUAGCCGUGUUUCACCAUUCCAAACAUGUCUUAUUUUUACAAAAUUUUUGAUAAUUUUGCUUCCUAUGUAGAGUUGGUUCACAAAAUAUAAAAAUUUUGAGACAUUUACCUUCCGACGAUAGGGCUCCCCAUAGGGAAUAAUAACGGUAAAUAGAGUUGACCGCUACUAUCGGCACCGAGACGUUACCCGGUUUACAUGAUUUUUGAACCAUAGCCGUAUUUCACCAUUCUAAACACGUCUUAUUUUCACAAGAUUUUUGAUAAUUUUGCUUCCUAUGUAGAGUUGGUUCACAAAGUUGUAUAACCUACUAAACAAGUUAUACAACAUUAGUAGACACGUUGUGAUUCUGAUGACUAAAAUUCACAAACCAAAACUCGACCGUCAGAUAUGAUCAUUAUGAUGAAAGAUGUCUAUGGUAAAAAAUUCAACUGGAUUCGACAACGUUAAGGGCUCGAUCGAAACGGUCAACUCUAAUCGGAAAUAAGAAAACUGCAUUUUGAAGCCCUAAAUAGACUUGGAUGGCCAAAAAGGCCCAUAUUUCAUGGCAUAGCAAUGAGUUUGACUCGUAGGGCCGUUACGCUUCCGGAAAGGUAUCAUAAUAGUCAAUCGGACACUGAACGCCAAAUCUGCAGCAUACCGGGUUUCGAUUGUUCUACAUCAGAGACGUUACCCGAUUUACGUGACUUUUGAACCAUAGUCGUGUUUCACCAUUCUGAACACAUCUUAUUUCAUGAGAUUUUUGUUAAUUUUGCUUCUAUGUAGAGUUGGUUCACAAAGUUGUGUAUUUGUUUAAAACCUACUAAGCAAGUUAUACAACAUUUUAUUGUUUUUCUUUUAGCAGACGGAUAAUAGCCAACGAGAUUUUUUUUCGCCUACUAAAAUACUUUAGCCGACGAGUAAAAACUUUGGCCGACGAAAAAAAAUUUUGUCGGCUAAAGUAUAGUAUAGCAGACGAAAUUUUUUUUCCGUCGCACUAGGAAGAAAACAAACUUAGCAUAACCUGAUCCAUUGAUCAGUGAUACUCAAAUCUGUCUCAUGAAGUCUGAAUUGUGAUUAUCGUUGGGGGACACCUCAAUGUCAAAUCCAAUCCAUAUAGAGAUCUAUACAAGUAUUACACUAGUGUACAUGAGGACGCGGGAUAAUGAGUCUACUAUCGAACCACCCUUCGUUGAUUGGCCAAAUGGAAAGAUGCGAUCCAGCAUUAACAAAGAGAUAGGUCCUUGGGCAGGUGAUGCCGACACCGCAAGUUAAACCCUAUCAACUAUGCCUUUGUUAGAUAGCGUAGUGAGAACAAGAGCUUAGACUCACCUUAUGGCGCAAGGUCUCUCACUAACAAGCACUGAGAUCGACUACGAUGAGAUAUGCUCUCGUAAUGGAUGUCAUUGCACUCCACUACUUUGUCAGUUUGGUAGUUUUCCGAAUAACUGAACAUGCAGCCUAUGAAUGUGGUCAUAAUAACAUCUCUACAGGAUCAGAGAUAUACAUGAAGAUCUUAAACAGACUUCAUUCAUCUUAAUCAAGUUGCUCCAGACCACAGGAGCACGCGUUCGCUAAAGGUUUUGAAACGCACAUUAAGUAACUAAUUUGCGUGUUCAUUCUGGAUUUACAUGGACUCUUGAUGGAUCAAGAGAUGCCAAUAUGUAUCAACAUUUUAAGAAAAAGAUCUUGAGAAGACACAGUCUCGACAAGGCACUCGAUGAUUGUAUUGAUGAUGAUUUUCCAUCAAUCGGCUUAGGCGCUCUAUAACUAGUGAGGCCUACAUAUACUCCCAUGAUUAGUCAAAGUCUUUGCUUUAAAGAGAGAUCCGUUUUUUUGUCUAAAGCAAGAUGACAAAUAUGUGUUAAGAGAUGGAGUUCCCAUCUAAGUACAAUAAGAUGCAUCAAUGUACUCAACACAAUACGAAACACUUGACAUCUCAUUCGUUAUGAAAAGUUGUAAAGCUAAGUGUAGCUAUGCGCCCACGUAACGCCAAUGUAAUGGCAGUAACUCUUUUUUUAAAUAGUUAAUGGUAUGAAAGGUUGAGGCUUAUUCUAUCCCUACAUAAGAAAGACACAUCAAUAGCGAAAUUAGAAUCUGCCAAGUUUCGUAGGUCAAUUUCUACGGGACCUACAGGAAAUUUCACUCACUGGAAAAUGGUGAAAUUGGUGCCACUGGAAAGCUCUAUGUGUCUACUUUCCAGGGACACCAACCAUUUAAUCAUAUCUAUCAUAUUGAGUGAGUUAUGGCUUUUUUCGUAAAGUAGGACGAAUCUGUCCGAGAAUCUGAUUUUGGCAAAACAGUUAAAUUUGACAGGACUUUGUGAAUAGCUCCUGACGAACCAGAACAUGUGUAAUAUACAGUUGGAAAGCUAAAUGAGUCUAGUUUCCAAAACCGUUUACGGUUCAUUCAUAUGUAUUUCCUAGAGGAAGUUACGGCUGUUCUAGUAACUGAAGGUCAUGCUGUGCGGAAAUCUGAUUUCCUGCACGAACUUAUGUUUUGAGUUCACAAGCGGUCUUCUCCUCAAGAUCUAAAUGUAAAAGAUCAUGUUUGAGGACAAUACGGCAUGAUCUAGUUAAUCAUUGCCCAAUGCCACAUUUGAAGACAUGUUAAAGAGCAUUGACAUGCGAAGUUAUUGAAGUUUCCGUGAUUAGUAAGAAUCAGGAAGAGCCCUAUGAUUGAUGUAAGGGAAAAUUUCAAAAACAGUACACCAAUUAUGGUCCACUCUAAAGACUAGUACAUUAUCUUUUGAGAAAAUCAAAACAGUACAUGAAGUUGUAAUUAUGACCCAAAAUCGAUACAUGCCGUUAUUUUUUCUGUUAUUUGGUGUCUCUACCAUUAAACUUCAAAGGAUAAAUUCGUCCUUCUCUUGCUUCCUCCUUCUAUCUCUGAAACUAGAAAAAGCUGCAGCAAUUUUGCAAACUCUUUUAAAUAUAAAACAGAUGAGCAUGAACCAAAAAAAACCCAAAAUCCCAAAACCCUGUAUGGUUCAUUGGUUCUUCUACCAAGGGUUUUAAUCUCCAAUUUAUUUAUGAAACCCAUUGCUUCCUAGUGAGCCCAACCGCUGUCCUCUCACCAGAAUCAUCGUCUUAAAUGAAAAAAGUUAAAAAAAAAAAAAAAAAAGUAGAUUCCUCCUGCAAUUAUGAAUGGGUAUUGCAUGUUCUUCUAUUUGUUCAUAUCUGGGUAAUAUUGUUGCUUUUUUUUGUUGUUGCUAUGGUAUGGUAGGAUUGUCAAACUUCAAGAAUUUGUGAAGAACAUUUCAAACCCGUCACCAUGCGAACUGAAUUUCCAACCCCAAAAUCAAUAGAAAAAACCCAAACUCAUCUAUUUUAUAUUUAAAAAAGUUUGCAAAGUUGCUGUAGUUUUUUCUUGUUACAAAGAUAUAUAGAAGGAGGAAGCAAGAGAAGGACGAAUUUAUCCUUUGAAGUUUAACGGUAGAGACACCAAAUAACAGAAAAAAUAACGGCAUGUAUCGAUUUUGGGUCAUAAUUACAAUUUCAUGUACUGUUUUGAUUUUCUUGAAAGAUAAUGUACUAAUCUUUAGAGUGGACCAUAAUUGGUGUACUGUUUUUGCAAUUUUCCCUUGAUGUAAAGAUCAGGGGGAGGUGCGAACUUCAGGGGGAGUCUAGCACAUACAUACAUGUCACUAUCAAAUGUGAAGGGUGCGUUGUACUCUUUUUCUCCUACGAUUAAGGUUCAGUUUUUCUCCCACAGGGUUUUUGUGACUUGACGAGGUUUUUGACGAGGCAAAAAAUCAGCACCAUCGGCAUAUCAGCGCGCGGCACAAGGGAGAGUGUUCUAGGAUAUUCUGUAUCUUUCUAGAUAUUCUUUAUGUGUGCCUUGGCCUUAUGCCAAUAGGAUAUGUAGUUUGACUAAAUCUAUGUAUUCCUAUCCUUACCAUAUUGGUAUUGUGUAAUUCCUUAUAUAAAGGGCUCCUAUCUUUGAAUAAUACACACAUCUUUCACAAUUCUCUAUUCUCAAAUAUCUCUCACUUCAUCAAAUUAGUAAUUAAUGGUUAUUUGAAUUAUGAGACUAGAGUUAGAAUAAAAAUUAUGAUACUCAUCCUAAUUUAAAGAUAUUGAGGAAAAAGAUGCAGGAAAUGGCCUCAACUUGAAAAGUUAAAACUUAGAAGUAUAUACCUAUCUUCUCAUCAGGAAUGGAGGUAGAAAAUCCCUUUAAGAUUGGUUUAUAUUAGUAAGGAUGUCUAACACAACAUCACACACUAAAUUCAUAAACAAGAGAACCCUGACAAGCAACGAAUUGACAAACACAAUAUAGUAUGCAGGUCUUCAAAUUACAAAGCAAACCAAACUAUCUAACUAGUUGUGCAACAAAACCCCUCAAUUAUAAUUGGUUUUUAGACAACCCAUUUGAUAACUAUUACUUUGAAAAAUUAAUUAUGAUUUGUUGGCAAGUUUGGAGAGCAAGGAACGAUACUAUCUUUAGGGGUAAGAAUCCCAACCCCAAAUCUAUUCCAGUUCUUGCUGCUUGCCAUCAAAGCAAUGCCCUACAAAUUGAUAUGCAAAGGUCUACAAUGCAUGAUCCUGUUGAAAUGAACAUGAUUAGGUGGUCACCACCCCCUUCAAAUUGGGUUAAAAUAAAUUUUAAUGGUUCUGUAAGAAGUAAAGCUGCUGCUGGAGGUUUUAUUUUAAGAACAGAAGAUGGUAAACCUCUUGUGGCAGCUGCCUUCAACUCUAGUGUUGCUAGUCUCUCUCUUGCCGAAACUCUUGCACUAAGAAAUAGUCUAGUAUGCGCUAAAGAGAAAGGCUUAUCAAAGAUUGAAGUAGAAGAUGAUUCCAAGCUCAUCAUUGACAUUGUGAAUGGAGUUUGUGAUCCCCUUUGGAGGCUUCUGAAGAUAUUCCAAGAUAUAAAUUUUUUUGAGAUGUAAUUUUGUAUCCAUCAGCUUCAAACAUGUAUUGAGGAAAGCUAAUUUCGUGGCCAAUGUUUUGGCUAACAUAGGGCAUAGGGUUGAGAAUUGUCACUUCUGGGAGGAGUGUCCCGAAGCAUUUCUUGCCCUUGCCUUCGACAAUGUAAACUCUGGGUGCCGGCGAGCACCUCUAUUUAAUAGAUUUUCUUCUCAUCAAAAAUAAAUAAAAAACAAAACCCCUCAAUUUCCAUAAACUCUAACUGCUCCAAUCAUCAGAAACAACAGUUUCGUACACAUUCGAUUGCAUACACAGAGAAUUAAACCUAUAUUUAUGAAUCUCAAAAGACUGGAUUAUGAAAUUACCUCGAGCUUUUCCUCGUUGUUCGCCAUAUUGAGUUCGGAGCUCUAACACGAUCUCACCUCUCUUUCUUCCUCUCUACCUCUCUCCUCUCUCUCUCUCUCUCAAUCUCACACUGGCACUCUCUCUAUGUGUGUUUCUCGUUCAAUUUUGUGUUUCACUAUAAACCCGUCUAGUGGCAGUAGGGUUUGUUCAGCUUGAGGGGGACAUGUGGCGGCAUCCUACUUGAUUGUAUACUGUCCAAGUUUUAUGAAACAUCGCCGUAUUAAACUGAAGAGCAGGCAUGACAUUGGACAAAGAGAGUCCACCCUAAUAGUUUUACCUAUAUAACUCCACUUUUCUUACUCAAAUUAUUUCCCCUUGACUGUCUUACCCUUGUGCAUAAAGAUAUUAGACCUGUGGCGCUCAAAAUGUCUCUCAUUGCUGUCACCCAAAGGGCCAAAACCUCGCUCUGCAACGCCGGCUCGACUACGAUUGCGGUCACCACCGACAACAACGUCGGCUCGACCUCGACUGCAUCUCCAAUUCUAUCGACGAUGACCUCCGACUCGACAUCGGCUGAAUCUUCGAUUUUGACCUCGAUUGGAUCUCCGAUUCUGUCGUCGACAACCUUGAUUGGAUCUCUUAUUCCGUCCUCGACCGGAUCACCAAUUUGGCCGACAAAAACCUCGAUUGGAUCUCUGAUUCUUUCAAUGACCACCUCAACUCGAUCUCUGAUUCCAUCGACUGAGUCUUGCUCGACCUUAGCUGCAUCUCUAAUUCGGUGACAUAAGUUUCUAAUCUCGUUGGCUUUGGUUUACACGAAUUUAAAACAAGCAACUAUGUGCUUUGCUUAUAUUUGUUGUGUGAUGGUGAUGGUUUUUAGGAUGAAAGAGAAGCACGGGAGCCUCAAUGUGAAGGCGAAGUAGAGAAAUAACCAAUUAGGAUCCGGAUCGAGGGAUAUCUAUUUUUACACAAAUUUUGACACUCGUUUUUAGCUUUUAGAUUUUAAAUUUUUUAACGGUGUAGAUUAAUUGUGGAUAUGAUGUGAACCACUACUAGAAAUAAGUUCUUAGGUGACGAAAUUUUUUCGUCACCUAAGAGCUUCUAUUGUCCUGUAUUGAUGUAUACACUAAUACGACGAAAAUUUCGUCACCUAAGGUUCGUCAUCUAAGGGCGGUGGUUAGAGCACUUAGGUGACGAAAAUAUGAAUUUCGUCAUCUUAGUAAUGACUAAGAUGACGAAAACCUUUUUGUCGCCAAGAUACUUAGCUGACGAAAUAAUUUUCGUCGCCAAACUACUUAGUUGACGAAAAUAAUUUUGUCGCAAAUCUGGUUACAUGACGUAGUAUGACCAGCUAAGGUGACGAAAUCAGUCAUUACGAAAACACUAACACUACGAAAACAGUCAGUUUGCUGACAAUUCUUUCAUCGGGCUAGGGCCACGAAAGUUGAAUUUUCAUCACCUUAGUGCUAUUUAUAUUUAUUAAAUUUGAUCAUUAAUAAUUAUUAAAAUCACAUUUAAUAUUAACAAAAAUAAAUUUAAAAAAAAAGUCUCAAUAUUUCAAAAACCCACUAUUGGCCAAAGCAGCACCUAGGCAGUAGCAAACAUAUAUAUAUAUAUAUAUAAUCAAGUUCAUAUACAAACUCAUCAAGAGUAGUACUUGAUCAAUAUAGACUUGUUCAUACAAAAUAUAUACUAGCUAGAAAAUGAACUAGUGACUAUGAAGGGCUAUCAAUUGAAUCAAUGCCUCCAUCAUCAUGAUCAUCAUCAUUGGGAUGCUCCUGGGGUGGGACUGCCGGCUGGCAUACGCCGAAUUUGGUGAAAAGAAACUGCUCACAUUGUUGAAGACGUGCCAUGAUUUGUAUGUUCUCUUCCUUGGCUUUUCGGGCUUCCUCAUUGGCUUUCCGGGCUUCCUCCUUAGCCUUUCAAGCUUCCUCCACAGCAAUAUCAACAAGUGCAGCUCGUUGGGAACGUGAAGUGCAGCUCCUAUCGGGCCCUUGACUCAAACCAUAACUGCCUACUAGUCCCAUGACCCAGAUCUCAUUCAUGUUUCUAUGUCUAAAUGCUUUUUCAAACACAAUCGCUUGAGUUUGUUGGUCAAAAUGAAGAUCAAUAUCUUCUUCCGGAAUGCCAGGGUAUUCCUUCCUCACAUUGUCACGGAUCUCAUCAAGCUUAUCCAUCAGUUUAGCCUAACAAAAGAAGUAUAUGUUUUACAAAAACAAUUACUAUGGAGAAUAGAGUUUUGAGGGCAGUAAUAUCUAUAUUGCUGAAAGUCAUUAAUCAUAGGCUCUCAUCUAGCAUUAUUAACCCAUCUAUAUAUAUUGAUUACCACCACAUAUUAAUCAACCUCCAUAUAUCAAGGUAUCAAGAAACUUAGUCUGAGAUGCACUAUGAAUGACAUUAACUGCCACAAUUCUUUUUUGAGAAGUCACUAGUAUAUGUUCCUUAUUGUGGUUUUUGCUUAUGACAUGCAUUAUUAUAUAUUACAAGUUACUCAUGCAUUUGGCAGGAAGUAAUGCAAGUUAACUAGUUAAUAUCGUGCAAAAAAAAACUAAUUCACAAUAUUGUUGCUUCCAGAGACCAAGAAGUAAUGCAAAGGCAGGAUGUAAACCACUUACUUCAUUUUCAGCUGCUUUCAAGUUGUGAGCUGAGUCAUACACCUGUGAGUAACUUUUAAUAAAAUAGAGGUGUUCACCCUUGUCCUUCAAUUCCUUCGCAUUGUAGAUGAAAGGCCUCGCCCCGGUGUAGUGGUACAAUGUCUUCUUGUCCCGGUUACUCUUGUUUGCAGCCGAUCUUCUCUGUAAUUUCAUCAUAUUAACAAUUUGGUUAUUAACAUCAAGCUUAAUCAUCAAAAACCAUAAACACAAAACUGACCAAAUGAACAGUAGUAAUGCAAAACCCAGAUAUAUACUUGUACCCAGAGAAACUGUUGUAGUAAUGCAAGUAAUAUAUAUAUACUUGUACCUAGAGAAACUACUGUAGUAAUCAGUGGAAUAUAUAUACUUGUACCUAGAGAAAAUGCAAGCAAUAUACUUGUACCUUAAUCUACCUUGUACAGCAAAGAAAAAACUAAAGCCUUAUUUAUUUUCUGCUGGAUACAAAGUUAACCAAUUGAACUAAUCAUUCGAAGGAGCCAGAGAAUGGGGAGUAACAAUUGCAGCUGAUCAAUGGAUUGCCUUGUCAUCAGUUAAAAAAAUCUACCAACUUUUUGUGUAACACAAAAUGUCUCAAACUUUAAAUAGAUCAAUACUUUUGGUAGUCCAAAAUCCAGUAUACUUCUUCUCUACUCACAAGUUUGUGUUUGCUAAUAGAAUGAUGGGGCUAUUUCCGCAUUGCUUAAAAAAACCAAAUUCUAAACCACUUUGGUAAUUCAACAUGGAAGGAUUCCAUAAGGGAUUCCAAGAUUUCAAGUCCAUGGGAUAGAGGCGAAAUGGAUGACGUUAAUAUGAAAUAACAAGCACAAUAUAUGGAUGCAAUAGAGGUUCAAUAUCCUACACAGAUUCAAAACAAGGGUAUCUGAGGACUAAUUAAUCAAGAACUCAAGAAAAAGACAUGCAAAAGCCAAGAAACUGGUUUUCCAAAAAUCAAAUGGUCAGAAACAAGGCAGAACAACAAAGGUAAAACAACCUUGGCACCAACUAGCAAUAGCCAGCUACACAUAACACUGAAUACAAUAAGGGAGAAACUAAUCCUUUUGAUUAAACCAACAAAGUUUUGAAUAAACCAACAAACUUUCAGUAGCAACAGUUAGUUAUAAAAUGAAAGUAAUAUACUAUGAAUCCAUCAGACUCGAAGGGUUUGAGGAGCCAGUUCCACUCAUCCAGCCUGUCACACCCCGGUUCUUAAGUUAUUUUACGGUUAUCUUUGGUAUUAUUUUGGUCUUUUACUGUUUACUAUUUUAAGACUCCAAAAGUUGACUUUUUCUUCCAUUUGGACUUUAGGAAAAAUUCCUUCAUGAAAGUCGUAGAGGACAUUAAUACGAGUUCGUAGCAUGCUAUGCGUUAAAUUCGAUGUUUGCAUGACAAAGUUAUCAAUUAAAAGGGUAAACAUUAGUUGGUAAGGGGUAAAUUUUUAUUGGGUUUUAUUUUGUGGGUGUUUUAAGUGUUGGACCGGGUGUGGAGAAGCCCAACACCCACAUUCUCUUUCUCUCUCUCUUCACUCUCUCUCCCGAGCCUUCCCCGAGCUCUCGCUCCCGCCGAAAACUUUCCCAGCGUCGUCCGCGGCCGUCCGGCCACCAUAGACCGCCGCACCGGUCCCAAACGGUCGGCCGUCGACCCAGCUCUCUUCUUGGACCGGUGGGAACCGCCCUAGCUCCGCCGUGAGAGAGGAAAAGCUCUCGGAAGCUCCGGUUGCGUGGUGGAGUCCCGACGCAGGAACUCGCUCCUCCGGCCACCAUCUCCAGUGAUUUCAGUCCCAUUUGGAAGUGCUCUCCGUGUGUAACAUUUCCAUAGAAGGUAAUGAUCCAAUUCGAAGUGUGUAGGAGGAUUUUCGGGCUAGGGUUUGAAUUGGGGGAUUUUUGGAUGUUUUGAUUUGAUUACCCUAGUUAAGCUUAGAAUUGGACUAAGUGCUAGUUAUGAAAGUUGUUAUGCUUGAUGAGAGGAUUAUUCUGUUAAAUUUUGGGAGGCAAUGGGCACCGCCGGAGGUUUUUUUUCAGGUUUUUGGGUUUGUUAUAAUGAGAGGAGUCUAAUGAAGUAUAGUUUGGAAUUUUUGGAGGAGUUUUGAUAAGGUUUGGGAUUUUUAAAAGAUUAAGGAUUUUGCCGGUUAUUAGAAUGAAAAUCCGGCCUUGGAUUUCCUUGAUAUUUAUUAUUGGAAAAUGGGAAAGUAAUUAAGUUUGGUUAGUUAUGUUGCGAUCAGUUACUUGAUUAUUUUUCGUCCACUCACUCUAACGUUUUUAAAUUACUUUCCCUUGGGCCCUUUGGUUUUAAAUUCCCAGUUUGUAGGCUAAGUCUAAGUGAGGUCGAGCGUACAUGGAGUCGAGGCAUAGUCAGAGGCUGCUUCCGCUUAUUCUUUAUUCUUUGUUUUUCUUUCAUUAUAGAUGUGCUCUGAUAACUAUUUGAGAUAGUUGUUAGUUGAUUAAGGUUUGUUGUAUUUUUGGGAGAUGUGUGGAACUUGAGGAGCAGGAAGGCUCCAGGUUGAGGCUGGUUUAUUUGUUUAUAGAAGUGUAAAUUGGAUUUUUCAGGUAAGGGUUGUCCAUUUUCAAGGUAGAUUAUGCCGAAUUUUUGGAAAAUUUUCCUUGGAAGUGAACCCCGCAAGAUUUACCUCGGGUUUCAGGGUAAAUUUUCCAAGGUAGAUUAUGCCGAAUUUUCGUUAAAAUGCUCAAUGAAAUAACCAAUCCAAAUAAUCAACAUAUUUCAAACCUCAAAUCCUUGAAUCAUUAUAAUUAAUAUAACUUAAAAUACCAAAUCUUUUACCCAAGCUCAAAUUCAUAACUUCCUCAAUGAAUUCAUAAUCAAUGGGUCAAUCACACAUAAAUCCCAUAACCAAUUCAAAAGCCGUAAUUAUAAUUUAAGCUUGGAAAAAUGUAUAAUGAACAACUUAAAAAUCAUGCAUGCAUAUUAGUUAAUAACCAAAAUGUCCACUCACAGAAAAACCCGCUACGUCGGUCCGCGGUCAAAACCCUUCUCACGUGGGGUCUCCUCUCAUCCUGUACAAAAUGAGAUUUAAGACCCGAGACAACAAUCACAAAAUUAAUCAAUUAUAAGGAAAAGCUAUCCUAGCACUAAUCUCACUCACCCAAACUUUCCAAAAUCUACUUAUAGCUCUACUUUAUCAACAACUUCCUACAAUACGACGAGGAAUGGACCAAACGAAUGAGCCUCCUCAAUUUCUCCCCUACCAAAACUAAUUCCAACACCAUAUCCCAAAUUUCAAGCAACCAUCUCCAAAAAUCCCCUACACUAAAUCAACAUUAGUCCCUUCUAAAAAUCAUCACCAUGUAAGGCAGCAGCCACCAGCAGUGGCGGUCAACCACCACCACCAUAUCAACUUCAACCAAAACUAGUAAAGCAUAUACCAAUCUCUUCUUCUCAACAAACACAACAACAAUCAAAACUAGCACGAACUCUAGAAAUCAAAGACUUGGCCGAAAAUUACCUCUAAAGCACAACAACACCAAAAAUUCCGAUUUGCCUUCUACUCCGAAUCAUUCUACCACUUUUGGGUGGUUGAAUGGCCAAUCAAUGAGCUAUAAAACCCCUCAAAGAUCACUUGAAUCGGUGGCCGAAAAAAUGGAGUUCUGGCUAGGGCAAGACUCACGACGGCAGCAGCGUCACCGCGCCUCAACACCGCCGAUUCUGGGCCGGUCACCACCCUAGGCUGGACGAGCGGCGUCUCAACUAUCAAACGUGACCCGCGAGGCAGCCAGGCGUGAUCGGACGACGGCGAUCGGUAGGGGAGAGGUUGGACUGGUCUGGGUCGGGGUCGGGGUCGGGGAGAGAGAAGGUGAGGUGCGGUUAUUUCUGUUUUCUAUCUUAACCCAAAAAAAUAACAAGUUUCCCCCCACUUAUACCCCAGCCCAAAAAUGGUAAUUAUCAUUAUUUUAGCUACCCUUCACUUACAAACUCCAGUUCGGGUAACUAAAAGUCUACACGUUUGUCUACACCACCUCUACCGAAAAUAAAAAUAAAUUCCUGAGUUGACAAGCUACAGUUAAAUCGAAAACCACAAUAUAAAAAUAAUUACUAGGUUCGGGGUGUAUCACCACUUGUACCACUACUGCAAACCCACCUCUCGACAUGCAAACCCGACUUCUCCUCUAGCUCAGCAAUUCUGUCACUCAGUUAGCUACACGAAUCGAAGGCGUUGAGAGUCGCGGGAGCCAGCGACCUCUAUUCUCGGGGUAUGGACAUCGCCCAAGUCCCUUCACGGCACGGGUGCAAAUGGAAAAGAGGCCACCCAAGGCCAAGCCUUUCAAAGUGGACAAAUAUAAGGGGACUGGGGACCCUCAUCUCCAUCUCGAAACAUUCCUUUCGUUGUGUAGUUCCACUCGAUACACAGAUGCCAUGGUUUGUCAUGCCUUCUAAGAAACCCUCUCAAAUGAAGCACUCAGUUGGUUCCUCAACCUGCCACACAACUCCAUUGAUAAUUUUAUGAAAAUCUACCGAAAUUUGUAUUCAUGCAUCACUGGUGUCUCCCUUCUUUCUAUUUUCAUAAUGUAUUACAUGCUAUUCAUAUAUUGUAAGUUUGCAUACAUCUAUAUAUAUAAGCGAAGAGUGUUUUUCACUGUUCACGUGAACAGUGACGUGACCCUUUUGUCUUUCCUUUUUAAAUCUUUUUACACCUCUGCCAUUCAGUUCUUAGGUUUUUUUUUUUUUUUUUUNNNNNNNNNNNNNNNNNNNNUUACAAUCCACCCCCCUUCGGGAGUCCGACGCCCUCGUCGGCACACUCGCACCACACGGCAGAGUGGCUCUGAUACCAUUUGUCACACCCCAGGACCCAUUCCGCCGUAACACGAUAUUGUCCGCUUUGGGCCCACCGGCCCUCACGGUUUUGUUUCCGGCAGCUCAGGAGCAGCUUCCUAGUAGGUCACCCAUCUUGGGAUUGCUCUAGCAUCAACAUGCUUAACCUCGGAGUACCCAUCCCCUCCGAAGCCGCUGAGCCACCAAAAGGCCUCGUGUUAGAUUGGAGGUGGGCAUGUAUAUAUACAGCACAUAACCCCUCUCCGUUUGGCCGAUGUGGGAUAUUACAAUAAAAAAUUUGGACCAUUUCUAGAUUUAUGCGUGUCAUCCUUGCGCAGGGGCCAUGCUAAUCUUCUCUAUAUCGUUCCAAUUUUAUCGGAUGUCCACGUAACACGAUAUUGUCCGCUUUGGGCCCACCGGCCCCCACGGUUUUGUUUCCGGCAGCUCAGGAGCAGCUUCCCAGUAGGUCACCCAUCCUGGGAUUGCUCUAGCAUCAUCAUGCUUAACCUCAGAGUACCCAUCCCCUCCGAAGCCGCUGAGCCACCAAAAGGCCUCGUGUUAGAUUGAAGUUGGGCAUGUACAUAUACAGCACAUAACCCCUCUCUGUUUGGCCGAUAUGGGAUAUUACAGUUUAAUUCAUAUAAGGGGUAUGGACACAUAUUUAUACACCCGUCUGUCCACCUUGAUGGCGUAGUGUAGCACCGCAUUAAGGCGUGACGUGAGCGUUGGACGCGAGCGUAGUAGCCCUAUAUAGACCCAUGAAUUUAUAUAGGGAGUAUGGACGAGUGUAAAUACAUACAUAUAUUAUAGAGUCUGAGAGGCUCGAUAUUUUAUGAGAUAAAAGUUUUAUCGCUUGCGGCAUGCAUUCGAUUUUUCCUUAGAAAUUAAUUUGGGGAAACAUAAAUAUUUUAUUUAUUAUUUUAUUUUUUGUCCACUCACUCUAACGUUAUUAAAUGUUUUCCCCUGGGCCCUUCGUUUUAAAUUGCCCAGUCUGCAGAGUUCGGGUUGGAUCUAGUAGGAGGGGAGGCAUAGUCACCCGCAUUUCUGCCAGUUUUCGUUAGUAGGUUACUUGUUCAACCUACUCGUGUUUUCUUGCUUCCGCUAGUGUUUAGUAGCUCUGAAUACUUUGGGAUUAUUGUAUAUUAUGUGUAGAAUUUCUGAAGGAUAAUUAUGUGAUGUUUGGAAGUGCUAAAUUAAGAGUGUAAUUUGGAAUUUUCGAGUUAGGGUUGUCUAUCUGCAAGGGAGAUUUUCUUAAUCUUUUCAGUAAAUUUUCCUUGGAGGUGGUCCUCGCACGACUUACUCCGGGUUUUAGGGUGAAAUUUGGGGUGGGUCGUGUCAUUGACUAUGCCUUUUCUCCAUGUACGCCCGACCUCAACUAUACUAACCUGCAUACUAGGCAUUUUUGAAACGAAGGGCCCAAGGGAAAACAUUUGAAAUUGUUAGAGUGAGUGGACAAAAAUGAAUUUAAUGAAAAAUGUCACGCCCCGGUUCUUAAGUUAUUUUACGGUUAUUUACUUUAGUAUUAUUUUGGUCUUUUACCGUGUUAAGUAACCGGUUACCCCUUAAGGACCCUAAAGUUGACUUUCUUUUCCGUUUGGAUUUUGGGGAAACUUUCUUCAUGAAAGUUGUAGAGGACGUUAAUACGAGUUCGUAGACAUGCUAUGUGUUAAAAUCGGAGUUAGCAUGAAAAAGUUAUUAUUAAAAGAGUAAAUUUUGAGUUAGAAAAGGGGCGUAAUUAUUAAUGGGUAUUAUUUUUUGGUCGGGUUUAUAGCUGGGCCGGCUGUGGAGAAGCCCAAAACCCUCACCCCUCAUUUCCUCUCUCUCCCUCUCUCCCUCACCCGUCACUUUCUCUCCCUCCCUCACCCGUGCAACUUGACCGCCGGAGAAGAGCCUCUGUCCGCUGCCGUCCGGCCGCCAGGGACCGCCGGACCACCUCUACCUGGACCCCCCGCCACCUCCUCUCCCUCCCCGGCCUAGCCCCCGAGCCGUUAGCCCGCUGGAAGAGGAGAAAACCCGCCGGAGACGCCGGGAAGCUUUUCGUCGGAAAUCCCACCUUCGGCCGCCAUAAGUCGAAAUCUUUAACUCAUCUUGUAGCCCUCAUCAAGGUGAGUAAUCCCUCAAAAGGAAUUAGUCUAUCUCGUUGUGGUUAUAGAGAAAUGUAUAAUUGAAGUUUUAGGGAUUUAUGGAUGUUUUGGUUCGAUUGCCCUAGUUAGCCUUAGAAAUGGACUAAGUGCUAGUUAUGAAUGUUGUUGAGCAUGAUGAGAGGAAUAUUCUGUGAAAAUUUGAGAAGUAUUGGAGGUCUCCGGAAAACGGCUGCCGGCCGCCGCCACCGGCAGGGCAGCUGCCGCCGCCGCCCCUUAAGGGCAGUUUUUCCUGUUUUUGAGAUGGUUUUAAUAAGAGGAGUUUAUUGAAAUAUAGUUUGGAAUUUUUGGAUGAGUUUUGGUUUGGUUUGGAAUUUUUCGGAGAUUGGAGAAAAGGCCGGUUAUUAGAAUGAAAAUCCGGCCGUUGGAUUUCCUUGGUAUUUAUUAUAGAAUGUUAGAAUUGAUGAAUUAAGGUUGUGGUGGAGUUUGGUGUGAAUCCGGCAAGUUUAACCCUAUUAAGAGUAGAGGGUUAAACGGAGGAGAGUUAGAUAUUUUAAUUCACGUAUUUAUUUUCUAGAAUUGAAGUUUGGUUCUAAGCAUGGUUGUUGUACCAGGAUGCGAAGGGAACCUCGCUUGAGUGGCGUUGCGGUUAUCGUCGGGCUUAUGCCCAAAUUUCUGAGUGGACAUUUUGGUUUUAAAAAUAAAUAUGCAUGCAAGAUUUUAUAAUCUAUCAUUUUAUUUUCCGAGCAUAUAAUAUAAUUUUUCAGUUCAUGAGAUGAGCUUGAAAAUUAUUUGAGUUUGGUGCAUUUAUUAAGUGUUGGUCAUGAUUUAUGGAGUUGAGCUCGGAUUAUUAUUUUGAUAUUUGAGUUUGGAUAUUUUUAUAAAUUCCGGAUUUCAUUAAAUGGUUUUAAUGGUGGAUUUUGAGAUUUAUAUAAGAUUUCCGAAAAUGGGAUUUUCGGUAGUUUCCUAUUUUUAAUUCUCGAAAUUAUUGGUGGAAUAUCGAUCUUGACUUUGAGUUUUAUAAAUGAUUACCGAAAAUGGGAUUGUCGGUAGUUCUCCUCAUAAUUUAAUUGUUCAUUUGAGGCAUAAUGAUUUUGACUUGGAGAAUAUUUUAGCGAGUAUUUCGGGCGUAGAUACUAUUAUUUAUGAUUCAUAUUUGUUAUUGAAAUCUCGCUUAUAUUUAUAAAUUGGAGAAUAUUUUGACGUGUGAGACACGUCAUUGAGUUGUGUUAUGAUUUCUUCUGAUGAUUUUCAUGUACGGUUGGGAACCGUACCAUUCGUUUGGUCUUGGGGGAAGUUUAAUGGAUUUAAGUGACUUCGUAUGUUUUAGUCACCAUAUUAUAGGGUCGUUUAUCUUAAUUAUUGCUAGCUAAUCUUAUUGGCGGUCCUCAUCAUAUGUGAGUCGCUAUUAUAGCCUUAUUAGCGGUCUUCUUCAUAUGUGAGUAGAGCGCUUAGCAUGGGACGCUAUUAUAGCUUGGGAGGCAACCGAUCGGUAUUUAUAUUUAUUAGUUAGCUAGCCUUAUUAGCGGUCCUCAUCAUAUGUGAGUUGAGCACUUAGCGUGGGACGCUAUUAUAGCCUUAUUUAGUGGUCCUCAUCAUAUGUGAGUUGAGCGUUUAGUGUGGGACGCUAUUAUAGCCUAGGAGGCAUCGACCUGAGCCUGGGAGGCUCCUUUUUCAUGGUGAUAACUCUUCCCCUAUUUUAUUCUUCUCAAUAAUAUAUUUGAUUAACCAGCGGGGCUGGUUUAUCUCCUCUUAUGAGAUUUAUGUUUUAACUAACCAGCGGGGCUGGUUUGUCCUUUAUUAAGUGAUUUUGGAUUUAAAGUUUUAAGGACGUUUAAGUUGCAUGUUGUUAAGUUUUAAAAGUUGAAAAGUGGGAAAGUAUAUAAGUUUUAUAAUUGUUAAGUUACUGAAUUUAUUUUCGUCCACUCACUCUAACAUUUUUAAAUUAUUUUCCCCUAGGCCAUUUGGUUUAUAAAUGCCCAGUUUGCAGGCUAAGUUAUUUGAGGACGAGCGUACAUGGAGUCGAGGCAUAGUCAGAGGCUGUUUCCGCUUAUUCAUUUUCAUUGUUUUCAUUCAUCAUUAGAUAUGCUCUGAAAGUCCAAUAAUAGCUUAUUAAAUGUCUUUGUUGUUGAUUGUGGAAUUAUUAUUAGAUGAGAAAUUGUUAUUGGGAGUUUUGAUGAACUUGGGGAGCAUGAAGGCUCCAGGAGACGAGGAUGGAUGUUUGUUUAUAGAAGUGUUAAGUUGGAUUUUUCAGGAAAGGGUUGUCCAUUUUCAAGGAAGGUUAUGCCGAAUUUUCGGUAAAUUUUCCUUGAAGGUGGACCCUGCAGGAUUUACCUCGGGUUUCAGGAUGAAAUUCGGGGUGGGUCCUGACAAAAAAUAUUUACGCUUUCCUAGUUUAAAUUUCCAUAGAAAAUAUACUGCAUGCGACAGCUCAAAAGCUCUCAACUCAUCAAUUGGCAAUUACAUGACUAGCUCCGGCUAGUCUCCAAACUUAAUAAAAUAAAGCCUCUCAGGCUAAAAUAAUAUAUAUAUAUAUAUAUAUAUGUAUUUACACUCGUCAUACUCUUUGUACGAAUUCCAUGAAGGAAUAAGAAAAAUAGAAAUUCAUACAAGGCUACUACGCUUGUGUCUAACAUUCACGUCACACCGUAAUUGGAUUUUACCUCAUUAUGGCGGAAAAGCACGAGUGUAUAUAUACGUGCAUAUUCCCUAUAUAAAUUACUAAAUUUAUAUAGGGCUAUGACGAUUGUGUCUAACGCUCACGUCACACCAUAAUAGAAUUUUACCUCAUUAUGGCGGAAAAGCACGUAUAGCUAGCUAGCAUUUAUUUAUAUGCAUACUAUCCUCAUAAUCAUCCAUAUACAUAUGCACCGAAAAUCUCAUUUUCAGUAACUCUCCAGAAAGAAUGAAAAUUGCCAAUUAUAAAAGACGCAAUAAAUAUAUGACUCCACCGAAAAUCUCAUUUUCGGUAACUUUCCAAAUAGCGAAGUUAACAAAUAAAAUAAGAGCAUUUACUUCCAAAAAUAACUUCGCGAAAAUAAACAAUUCCACAAAUUGAUAUUCAAUAAAAUCACCGCAUGCUUAUAAUUUAAAACGAACGUCCACUCACAACUUUAGGGAUAAGCCCGACGAUAUCCAAUUUGCUACUUAAGUGAGGUCUCCUCGAAUCUUGGCACAAUAACCAUGCUUAGGACCAAACUUCAAUUUCAGAAAAAAUAAUUCUUAAAUAUAUCACCCAAAACUCUUCCGCCUAGUCCACUACCCUUUCUAGGGUUAAGCUUAUUGGAUUGACGCCAAACUCCACCCAAAGCCUCAAUUCAUUCAUUUCAACAUUCUAAAACAAUAAUAAGGGAAAUCCAACGGUCAGAUUCUACCCCAUUAACCGCCAAAUUCACCAAUCUUUCAAAAAUCUCAAACCUAUCCAAAACUCCUCCAAAAAUUCCAAACUUCACAUCAUUAAACUCCCCUUAAUAUUACACAUUUAAAACCAUGAAAAUCCCCCUAGGGUCGUCUGCUCCGUCGGCAGCAGCGGCCGGCGACUGACUCUGGAGACCCCCAAUGCCUACUAAAUUUUAACAGCUUCAUCCUCUCAACACGCUCUACAACUUUCCUAACUAGCACCAAGACCAAUUUCAAGCUUAACUAGGCCAAUCGAACAAAAACUUACAAUAAAACCCUAGAACUUCAAACACUUGAAUCUCCUUACCUAGGCCAAGAGGGAGUGAAACCUUUGGAGGGAUGAAUGCACGGGAGAAGAGCUUCCUUUUGAGCUAAGUAGCUUCGGCUAUGGCAGCCGGAGGAGGAAGUUCCGGCGACGGAACACCACGGACAGCCCGAGCUUCCAAGCGCGAUUUCUCUUUCACAGCGGCGCUAGGGAGGCUGCCACCGGUCCAAGAAGGAAGAGGAGAUGAUGGCCGACCGUUUGUGACCGGUACGGUGACCUACGGUGGCCGAACGACAGCGGAUUGACGACGGGAAAAUCCGGUAGGAAAGAGGGAGGGCGUCGGGAGGAAAGAGAGAGAGAAGAGAGAAGAAAAGUGUUAGGCUUUUCCCAACCGGUUUCUACCGAAACCAAAUAUAAACCCAACUCCAAAAUAACACCACCAAAAUAAUACCCUAAUAAAAAUUACCUUUUUACUAGCUAAAAUUUACUAUUUUACCGUCAUCAAAUAUUUCUUCUACGAAUCAUUCCUCCGAAAAAAUCGCUCCUCAAAACCCCUCUAGGGACCUUUGAAACUAUAAACUCAUUUAUGAAGACGGUAAAACUCUUAUUAAUACCAAGCUAGUAAAUAAGGUAAAAAUUUAAGAGUCGGGAUGUGACAUGUCUUGUCCGGACCCGUCCCGGAUUUCACCUUGAAACUCGAAGUAAAUCCUGUGGAGUCCACCUCUGAGGAAAAUUUACCGAAAAUUCGGCAUAACCUCCCUUAAAAAUAGACAACCCUUCCUAAAUAAAAACACCUGCAAACACUUCUAAAAGUUCCAACUCCAACCUUAUAACUCCUGGAGCCUUCGUGCUCCCCAAAACACAACAUCUCCCAAUUUAUUUACUAACUUUAACACUUAAAAUCUCACAACCAACAAUCACAGUUCAGAGCAACUCUAUUAGAGGAGAAAAGAACUAGAAAUAUAGAAAUGAGCAGAAGCUAUACUAUUAACUAUGCCUCUUCUCCAUGUACGCUGGACCUCAAUUAUGCUAACCUGCAUACUGGGCAUUUUUAAAAUAAAGGCCCAGGGGAAAACAUUUGCAAACGUUACAGUGAGUGGACAAAAAUGAAUUCAAUAAAAAUUAUUUAUGCAUUCCCAAUUUAAUUUUCAUAGAAAAUAUGCUGCAUGCGACAGCUCAAAGCUUUCUACUCACAAACUGGCAAAUACAUGACUAGCUCCGGCCAGUCUCCAAAACUCAAUAAAAUGGAGCCUCUCAGGCUAAACUAUAUAUAAAUAUAUAUGUGUAUGUAUUUACACUCGUCAGACUCCUUGUACGAAUUCUAUGAAUAAAAUAGAAAAAUAGAAAUUCAUACAAGGCUACUACGCUUGGGUCUAACGAUCACGUCACACCAUAACGGAAUUUUACCUCAUUAUGGCGGAAAAGCACGAGUGUUUAUACGUGUAGACUCCCUAUAUGAAAACCUAUAUGAAUCGGAUAAGAAAGUAGUUUUCAUAUAGGGCUAUGAUGCUUGUGUCCAACACUCACGUCACGCCGUAAUAGAAUUUUACCUCAUUAUGAUGGACCAAGCACGUAUGGCUAGCUAGCAUUUAUAUACAUACUAUACUCAUAAACAUCCAAUAUACAUAUCCACCGAAAAUCUCAUUUUCGGUAACUCUCCAAAAGAUGAAAAUUGCCAAAUAUCAAAAAAAGCAAUAAAUUUCAGCAGAAGAAUAACUGAUCAACAAUAGAAUGCAUCGCAUGCUUUUAAUUAAAACAAAAGUUCACUCACAGUGAUUCUGUUGCAUUUGCUGUCAAGACAAGACAACGAAGACGAGCUCGGAAAAUCCUCCUAUUCUUUUUCGAUUUAACCCCCUUCUUUCACUUCUAAGAAUGCACAGUAAAGUCCCUAAUAAAAACUAAAGGGUAAGAGAACAAUAUAACCAACUCCCCUUCAUAACCAUUGAAACCAAUUCUCUUAUAUCCUUUUAAUUAAACAAACACACACAUGACUCCCAAAACAAUAAUACCCUUAACUACCAUUUAACUUAGGAGAUUCACCUCUCGGUCAAAAUGGCAAAUGCACCCAAAAUACUCUUUGCAUUCAGAAGUUUUCAUUGUGCACCCAAACCUUUCCUCUAGUCCAAGCCUACAUGCAACCCCACAAUUCCAUAAUUAUAUUCAAAACUCACAACACAAUUCCGAAUUCAAUAGCCGAGAAUUAAAACCUUCUCACCUUGCGGUUUCAAAAGAUUAACACACGGUGCUCCUCCAAUUACUCUUUGCACCCAAAGUGGAAAUUAGCAUCCAACACCAAUCUUCAUUUGCUACACUGCCCUCCACCAAAACUAAACCCAAUAAUAACAUUAACUCCAUCUCCCUAUCCAACACCAAUCUUUCUAACUGUUAAUUUGCUGCCACCUAUUAAUGUAAAAACACUUGAAGUUUAUCUUCCAGUGCCAGUAGUUGUUUUUAAACUUGAUGCCCAAGUUUAAGCUGCUCACUCGGCAGCUAUUUGCAACCCACAAGUCUGAUUGAGGUUUUCAGACUUUCACUUGUGAUUGGCUGCAUGUAGUCAUGUGUUAGGCAUAAGCUAGCAAGUAGGUGAACCAGCAUUUCAAAUAAGACAAAGCAGCAAUCCAAAUUAUUGUUAUUAUUAUUAUUAUUAUUUUUUUUUUAAGUUUGGGGUUUCACAGAACGUCACGGGGUUAAGACUUAACAUGGAUCUCCUGGAAGAGCGCCGCGACAGGGUACACCUCAGGAAUGUCAACUACAAACAAAAGAUUGCUCAACACUACACCAAGAAAGUUGUUCCCCGCCCCCUAAAGGUAGGCGAUUGGGUUAUGAAGGAAGUCAUUCCCCACCCCACUGGACUCAAAUCAAAGUGGGAAGGCCCUCUCGAGAUAGUCAAUGCCUCAGGACCAGCUACAUUCUAUCUCCGGGACACUGAUGGCUGAGUACUACCCCGCACCUGGAACGCUCUCCACCUCCACCUCUACCCCAUUUAAAUUAACAGACCCGGCAUAGUAGCUAGUACUUCAUUAUUGUGUACUUCAACCCGUUAGUGGCUCACAUUAAGUGUACACCUUGCCCAUUAGCGGCCUACCCUAAAUGAAGAUGUUAUGUUUUUUAUCAUUUUUAUAACAUACCGUAUCAAGAACACGAAACAACAAAGCAAACAGUAGUCCACAAACAAAAGCAUUCAUUAAAACAAAUAAGAAUCAACAUGGACUCCUAAGCAAUGCAUAAAAAACAAAUUGUUCAGAUGGCUAACAUUGUUUUACAAGCAAACAAAAGAAAGCAAAUAAACCUAACAAUAACAGCAAAUUACAAAGCAUCAUCAUUUCUCCCCAGAGGACGCGCCACUUGACUUAUUCACGCUUCUGCCACUCCUUGAACCGCUACCACACCCACGACUGUGGCUGAUAUUCACCGACACCCUCUGUCCAUAAGCAUGCUUAGAGCGGUCACGUGACGUUGGUGGAGGCCUCACUGAAACAUUAGGGCGCACCAGGGAACUCACUUGUUGCACCUCAGUGAUAGGGGACUUGCUCGCUGAGGUCUUUUGCACUUCAGAACGCGGUGGCGCCACAAGUCUAGGUGCUUGAGGGAUAGUUGGUUCAAUAACAGAGGAUGUGACCUGAGAUACCACCACUUGAGCAGAAGGGGAUCCCUCAGGACGCGAAGCCCUUAGUGGAGAAGCAACGAUCACCGCAAGUGGCUGAGGCGUACCCACAGUAGGAACUUCUUUUGGCACGGCAGAGGAUGUAGCGCGCUAGGCCUCAUGCUGCUUAGCCAGAGAUCAAGAGAUCUCAGCUUGCUUCCUUUGCUCUGAGGUCAUCUGUUCCCAAGCCUUCUUCGCCACAUCCCUCUCGGCAUACCACUUGCGGAUGGCCGCUUCAUUUAUCCAGCCAAUUUGGCACCAGUCUUGCUUAGCUCAUCUUGUCCCCGGUUAUAAGCGCUCCUCAGUUGCUGCUUACACACUUCACUCUCCCGAAACACCCUCUCCCCAGCCCCAGCAGCCCUUGCACACUUCAGCUUCCACACUCUCUCUUACUUCGCCAGGGCUUGCGUUAACCUCGCCACCUCAGCUUCCAGAGACACCGCCUUGGCAAUGGCCACCUCCCCAGCCUCCACCUGCUUGUUUUUCUCCUGCACAGCUUCCUUCAACUCAGCCACCUCCUUCCCAGAUGCAGCAGCCUGAUCUCGGAAGAUAGCAACAUCUUGCUCCAGACGCUGCGAGAGGGCUCGGUUAUUCUCUUCCGCCUCCCUCAACUGCUGGCAUUUAGCCUCGGCAUCCCCCUGCAAGUGAGCAACAACCCUCUCACUUGCAGCAUACAUCAGCAGCGUCGCCUGCAGACAGCACCAAAAUGUAAGCAAAAAGGCAGGGAACUAAAGGACAAAAUGACCAUUGUGCACACUUACCCGAGUUAGUUUCUCCUUGGCAAGAGCUACACAAGCUAGAGGAUCAAUCUCCUCCAUGCAUGGAUGUCACGAGAGCGGUGACACAUGUCAUAUGCCAUCUGAGCUAGGGAAGGCUGCACCUCCCCGGUCCCCUCUAGAGCUUGGGUGAUCUCGGCCAGGCUCCCCAAGCUCUUGGAACGCCCCUCCUUACGGGACUUCUUUGGUUGGCCUUCACGUGACGACUCGACCCUUUCUUUCCUCUUUCGGGUCCUUGUCAUGACAACCUCUUCUUACCCUUGCCCAAUGGGUUCCACCUCCUUCACCACAACAUCCUCGCCACCAGUUUGGGGCUCACCCACAUUACCCAAAGACGUAUCUUCCACUCCUACUGGCUCCGCAUAAGCUCUUCCUCCACCGGAACCUGCUCAUGAUAGUCCCCGUGGUCGCCACCCUCAGUGUCCGUUUCCUCGUCAUUCACCUCUUGAUCACCCAAGCCCAUAUAUUGCUUCUGCCACCAAGGGAGGCAAAUAAGCAUAAUCCUCGUCCGCCAGCUUCAACCUCAAAAAAUCAUCCUCACCCUCAUCCAGCUCCACCUCUUUCCUCUCGCUAGUCUCCAAGUCGAUAUCGUACCGCUUGACAUGAUCAACCUUGGCACGUAACCCAUCCAGUACGUCCUCAUCCGACACCUUGUCAUAAGGACCUUCCUUCUUCCGCGACCCACCGUCCCGAGGCAUUGUCACUACACCAAACAAAAGAUGAGGAUCAAGUAGAGACCAGAAAGCAUAACCGAAAUGACUAUAUAUGCCAAGGCAGCAUAUCCGAUACGAGCUCCUAGACUCGAAUGCCCACAGCACCCGGCGUAUUCGACGCUCCAUCAGCUCGGUUAAUUUAUACUCUUGGGGCAUGACUUGUAUACAAUUCAUGCAAGCGAACGUAUCGUUGUCAAGAUAGGGAAGUAUUUGUGCCCAAGUUAUCGUACCAUGGGGAUUAGUGGCUAACCCACAAUCCUAAGCUAAUCGGAACAAAAGUCACUAAGCAAACAAAGAAAAAGAAAAAAAAUACUACUCUAAAGCACCAAGCCUUAGCAAUGCUCGGCCUCAGUUAUCACCAAAGCCUAAUCAAUACUAAAUGCCUAGUGAUGGGUAAUUACAAUGAGUCGAUAUAUAAAAUGGAGAUUGAAUGGGGAAUUAACUAAAUUGACGAAAAACUAAAUAAAAAUAAACUACUAACUAAUGAACUAGAGAAUGAUGAGAACAUGGGAGUGUCGGGUGAUUCACACUAACUCAUAUGCAAACAUCGAUACCAAUUUCACAAAUGCAUAUCCUAUUGUAUCAAAUCCCGUAUCUAAUACCGGUUAAGGCUACUAGACCAAUUAUCCUUUCGGUGUAUCGAUUAUGCCGGUUAAGGCCACAAUCAACUCUCUAACAUGGGCAUUACAUCGGUUAAGGCCGUAACAUCCAAAUUAGAGGCCUAGAGUGCAAGAUAAUAGAGACCCAAGCAAGCUUAGCUACAAUCAAGCUAGCUAAUGGUUACCACACUUCAAAUCCUAGAUGCACAAGACUAAUAAGUUGUCAAUUUAUCAAUCUAUCCAUCAAAUUGUCCACAACAUAAUCUCAAAGGGUGACAAAACCUAGAAACAUAUUUCUAAGGACCAACACAUUCAGAUUCAAAGCAUACACAAUGUAAAUUGCAUUUAUAUCAAUCAAAGUACCAACAUUAUACAAAAUGAGUUUAGGGCUUCAAUACCCUAACUCCCAAAAUUAAAUCACUCACAACCCAUAGUCAAAUAGAUCAUCAAUAGCAUAUAAGUUAAAUAGCUAUCAUUCUAGCAUUGGUAUGGCGCCCUUUGAGGCUCUUUAUGGGAGGCAGUGUCGUACGCCUUUGUGUUGGAAUGAAGUAGGGGAAAAAGAGCUUUGUGGCCCAGAGUUAAUCCAUGUUACGAAUGAGAAGAUUAAAGUGGUUAGAGAUAGACUCAAGACUGCUCAGAGUAGGCAGAAGAGUUAUGCGGAUGUCCGUAGGAGAGAUCUUGAAUUUCAAGUGGGUGAUUGGGUGUUCCUGAAAUUAUCUCCUUGGAAAGGGGUUGUGCGUUUCGGUAAGCGUGGGAAGCUUAGUCCGAGGUAUAUUGGCCCUUAUGAGAUUAUAGAGCGAGUUGGCUCACUUGCUUAUCGAUUAGCUUUGCCUCCAGAGUUAUCCCGGAUACAUAAUGUGUUUCAUGUAUCCAUGCUUCGCAAAUAUAUUGCCGAUCCUUCUCAUGUGCUGCAAGAGCAGCCGAUCAGUUUAACGAGAGAUUUGACCUAUGAAGAGGAACCGGUUCAGAUUCUCGACCGAAAGGAGCAAGUGCUUAGGAAUAAGACAAUCCCGCUUGUCAAGGUUCUGUGGAGAAGUCAUCAAGUAGAAGAAGCUACUUGGGAAUCAGAGGAGCAAAUGAUGCAGCAGUAUCCGUAUCUCUUCGGAUGACAUGUAUGUUAAUUUCGAGGACGAAAUUUUUAUAAGGAGGGGAGAAUUGUCACAUCCCGACCCUUAUAUUUUUACCUUAUUUACUAGCGUGAUUAUUAUAAGAAUUUUACCGUCCCAGUCAUGGAGUAAAUAGUUUAAUUGGUCCCUAGAGGGGUUUCGGGGACGAUUAUGUGCGGAGGAUAAUUCGUAUGGGGAAAAUACGACGACGGUAAAAAUAGUAAAUUUUAGCUAGUAAAAGGUAAUUUUUAUUCGGGUAUUAUUUUUCGGGGUGUUUUUAUUUUUGGAAGUUUGGGUUAAGUGUUGUGGACUGGGUUGGGGUGAGGCCCAAAACCCUUUUUCUCUUCUCCCUCUCUCCCGAUUUUCUCUCCUCCCACCCGGUUUUCCCCUCUCUACACCCAGAAGAAUUUCCGGCCGUCCUUCCGCCGCCGUCCGACCUCCGUUCGCCGCCGGACCGGUCCCGUUCGGUCGGUCUCCCUCCCAGCAACAUUUCUAGACCGGUGAGAGGAGCCCUAGCUCCGCCGUGAGAGAGCGGUGCCACCCGAAAGCUCCGACUGCCGAAUCGGUUUUCUCGCCGGAACUUCCUCCUCCGGCCACCAAUCCGGGCAAGCUUGGUACGGUUUUGUAGCCCUCCUCCCGUGCAACAACCCCUCCAAACAGCUCCCUCCCUCUUGAGCUAGGUAAGGAGAAAUUUGAGGUGGAAGUUUUAUGGUGUUUAAGUUGUUUUCGUUCGAUUAGCCUAGUUAGGCUUGGAAUUGGGUGAUGUGUUAGUCAUGAAAGUUGUAGAGGAGAUUGAGAGGAAGAUUCUGUUAAAAUUUGGUAGCAUUUGCAGGUUGCCGGAAAACGGCUGCCGGCCGCCGCUGCCGGCGCCGGCGCCGGUUAGGAGAUUUUUAGGGUUUUAAAUGUGGAAUAUUAAGAGGAGUAUAUUGGUGUGAUUUAUGGAAUUUUUGGAUGAGAUUUGGUUAGGUUUGUGAAUUUCCGAAGUUUGGUAUUUUUGGCGGUUAAUUAAUGUAGAAUCCGGCCGUAGGAUUUAAGUCGUAUUUUGGAGAGGUUGUAUUUACGACUGUUGAGUAUGAUAUUUAAGUUCGGAUCGUUCCGAUGUAAGAAUAUCGAAGUUAGGCAAUGAUGAGCGUAAUUAUGGCUCUCGGGUAAUUUUGCCUAUUUUGAUUAAAUAUUGGAUUUUUUUGGUUGGGAAUUAAUAUUAUAUUUGGAACAGGACGUGAGGAGGCUCGAGCAGACGAGACCCCAGAUCGGCAUCAGGCUUAGGCCUAAUUUGUGAGUGGACGUUUAUUUUAAAUAAAUGCGUGCUAAAGUUCACGAUUGAAUAAUUAAUGUCGUGGAGUAUUUUGACGUCAUUUUAAUUUUUGACGAUUUUUAUUUCUCGCGGAGAGAUACCGAAAAUGGGAUUUUCGGUGGAUAUAAAUAUGUAUUUAUGAGAGAGUAUGUAUAUAAAAUGCUAGCUAGCCAUAUGUGUCUGUCCACCUUAAUGGCGUAGCAUGUAGCCGCAUUAUGGUGUGACGUGAGCGUUGGACGUAAGCGUAGUAGCCAUAUUUGAGUGUUUAAUUCAUAUAGGGGGUAUGGACACAUAUUUAUACACCCGUCUGUCCACCUUGAUGGCGUAGUGUAGCACCGCAUUAAGGCGUGACGUGAGCGUUGGACGCGAGCGUAGUAGCCCUAUAUAGACCCAUGAAUUUAUAUAGGGAGUAUGGACGAGUGUAAAUACAUACAUAUAUUAUAGAGUCUAAGAGGCUCGAUAUUUUAUGGGAUAAAAGUUUUAUCGCUUGCGGCAUGCAUUCGAUUUUUCCUUAGAAAUUAAUUUGGGGAAACAUAAAUAUUUUAUUUAUUAUUUUAUUUUUGUCCACUCACUCUAACGUUAUUAAAUGUUUUCCCCUGGGCCCUUCGUUUUAAAUUGCCCAGUCUGCAGAGUUCGGGUUGGAUCUAGUAGGAGACGAGGCAUAGUCACCCGCAUUUCUGCCAGUUUUCGCCAGUAGGUUACCUGUUCAACCUACUCGUGUUUUCUUGCUUCCGCUUGUGUUUAGUAGCUCUGAAUACUUUAGAAUUUUUGUAUAGUAUGCGAUGUUCAGAAGUGAUAAAUUAAGAGUGUAAUUUGAAAUUUUCGAGUUAGGGUUGUCCAUCUGCAAGGGAGAUUUUCUUAAUCUUUUCAGUAAAUUUUCCUUGGAGGUGGUCCCCGCACGACUUACUCUGGGUUUCAGGGUGAAAUUCGGGGUGGGUCGUGUCAUCGGAGCUAUUUUUAAUAAUAUUUGGAAGUUGGUAUUAUCCAGAAAUUUAUUAAAAAUAAUAUUCUAAGUCGGUUUAAUCUCAGCCGUUAGAUUGGGAAUACAUAUACGUUUGGGUUAGAUUGUAAAACAGAAGAACCGAGCUUGGACCGACUCGGUCUCGAGUUGCGAUUCCUCCUCCGUCGAGCGGCUGUCUCUCGACAUCCAACCGGUGGCCAGAGCUCCAUAUCGUCGUCCCCAACAUGACUGUGUUGUUAGAUUUCCAAAACAAGCUCGGAGAAGGGAGAAUCGAGUAGAAGAAGGAUUUCUGGGUUCGCCGGUGAUCUUCGGAUUCCGGCCACGGCGGUGAGCAUGAACGGUGCUGGUAGCUUUGCCUCAACUCCCUGAACAUCGUUGUGCUAUUGGUUUUUGAAUAGAAGCCUUGAGGAGGGAGAAUCGAACCUCAAAAGUUUUUAGGGUUUUCCGGUCGUGUUCUUCAUUUUCCGGCGAGCUUCAAGUAUCAAUUCAGGUAUCAAAGUUGGUCCAUUUGUCGAACUCUACCUGUUUAUAUGCUUGAAUUCGAGUUUGAUUAAGUUUUGGAGAAGUUGGUGUUUGGGCAGACGUCAGCCGCCGUGAGUACUGCUGUGUACGGCGAUGACAGGUGGUGGUUCUUGUAGUUUCUGGUUUUUCAUAGUAUACUGAUUGUGGAGGGAUGCUUUGAUAUGUAUUUGAAUGGCAGGAGAUUGAAAAUUGGAUGAAGUGGGUUUUGGGGCAGUGUUGUUCGGUGGCGAAAAUGAUGGUUGAUAGUUCUGGGUUUGGUUUAUGUUUUGGAUGAAAUUGCAGGACAUGAUGUUGGUGUUGUAUAUGCUUGAAGUCUAGAAAUGGAAGAGUUGGGAAGUAGAGGAUUCAAGUCGAAUUGUGUUGUUGGAAUGAAGAACAGUAGUGUUCUUCUAUUCAUUGAAGUGCUUGAAUUCAAGAGUUUGAAAGUUGAUAUCGGCAAAAUAGAACAUGGGUGUCCAUAGUAGAUUUGGAGUCAAGUUGGUACUUGGAGCGCAAUUUGGAUAUGAUGACGGCAUUGAGCGUAAAGGCGAAUAAGAAUGUGGAAAUAAAUUGAAAUGAGUACAUUUGAUUCGGAAAUCAUUGGAAAAGAAAAAGGAUUCGGUACGAGGAUCGAAUGCGAGUAGCUGGAUUGCAGAAGGAUAAGGAUUUCUGAAUGUGUGUUGCAAAGUUACUAAUUUUAGCUAGUGUCAGAAGUAGCACUUGGAUUCCAGGUAGGGUCUCUCUCGGGGAACUUUUCUUUAAAUCGGUAAUUAGAUUUUAAUUGAAAUGGGUGAUUUGUGUGUCAUUGAGUGAUUAACUCUUGGUUGUUACCAUUUUCGAUAAAAGUAUGUGAUAUCGUUGAAAUAUAUGAACGAUGUUUUCGCUUAUCAGAAAAGAAUGUAUUGAAUGUUAUGAUAUGAGUAUUGAUAUUUGUUGCAUACAUUUUGCAUUGUGAGAAAUUGUGAGAUUAGUGAGAAUGGUGAUUAUGGAGAUGUGAAUGAGAUUUGAUAGAAUGGAUACAUUUUGUGUAGUUGAGUUUCCUGAUGGGUUGUCCAAGAUCCAAGGUAGCCCACACGUGCACAAAUUCAGGGAAUGUAUGCCUUUCGAUGGCAGACAUCGACAAAACGAUCUUAUCGGGUUUCGGGUUUGGAGGCCAUGAGUAUAACAAGAUGACUAACAAAAGAGGUACAAGCGGUGAGAUAUUACUGAUUGUUAGAUCAUAUAUUCGAGACAUCUGAGUCACCCCCGGUUGGUAAAAUACACGGUAUGGGACGUGUAGGCUCACAUGUCUUUGAUGUAUGGACUGAAUGCCAGUAAUCGAGGAAGUCAUUCAUUAGCAUAAAUGCAUCAAAUUUUCGUUAUAUAUUUAAAGUAUUGUUUGAUUGUUUGAUAACUUGUUUGUGCGAAGUAGUUAAGAAUAACUUAAGAAGGUUAGGCCCUACUGAGCGUAAGCUCACCCCUAUAGAGUUUUUGUUCAGGUUUGUACGAGGACACAUGUUUCUAGAAGACUAACUGUGACGUUAGCUUAAGUGUACAAGAGACGAGAAGUACUGAAGAUUAGAAGCCUCAAGACCUAUUUUGUUUUUGUAAUUGGUUUUGUUAUUUGUAAACGUUUUAUUUUCUUUUAUUUCUGGAAAAGUAGUUGAAAUUUGUAUUAUUUUUUUUACUUUUCCCGCUCACGCCUCGGGUUCGGCGUCAGGUGCUUGGAAACCACUGACACCGGGUUCGGGGUGUGACACCACACGUAUAUACACCCAUCCUCUUCGGUCAUAAUGAGGAAAAAUUUGAUUAUGGCGUGACGUGAGCGUUAGAUGCAAGACUCGUAGCCUUGUAUGAAUUUCUAUUCUUCUACUUUGUUCAUAGAAUUCAUACAAGGAGUCUGACGAGUAUAAAUACAUACAUAUAUAUAUAUAUAUAUAUAUUUAUGUAUAGUUUAGCCUGAGAGGCUCCAUUUUAUUGAGUUUUGGAGACUGGCCGGAGGUAGUCAUGUAUUUGCCAGUUUGUAAGUAAAAAGCUUUGAGCUGUUGCAUGCAGCAUAAUUUCUAUGAAAAUUAAAUUGGGAAUGCAUAAAUAUUUUUAUUGAAUUCAUUUUUGUCUACUCACUUUAACGUUUGCAAAUGUUUUCCCCUGGGCCUUUAUUUUAAAAUGCCCAGUAUGCAGGUUAGCAUAGUUGAGGUCGAGCGUACAUGGAGAAGAGGCAUAAUCAAUAGUAUAGCUUUCGCUUAUUUUUAUAUUUCUAGUUCCUUUCCUCUCAAUUAGAGUUGCUCUGAACUGUGAUUGUUGGUUGUGGGAUUAUUCUUAUUAAAGUUAGUAAAUAAAUUGGGAGAUGUUGUGUCACACCCCGGUUCUUAAGUUAUUUUACGGUUAUUUACUUUGGUAUUAUUUUAGUCUUUUACCGUGUUGAAUAACCGUUUAUUACCUAAGGACCCUAAAGUUGACUUUCUUUUCCGUUUAGAAUUUGGAGAAACUUUCUUCAUGAAAGUUGUAGAGGACGUUAAUAUGAGUUCGUAGACAUGCUAAGUGUUAAAAUCGGAGUUAGCAUGAAAAAGUUAUUAUCUAAAAGAGUAAAUUUUUGAGGUGGUAAAAGAAGGUAUUUUUUUAGUGGGUAAAAUUUAUUGGGUUUAAGGGUUAUGGAUUGGCUGUGAGCAGCCCAUAUCCUCCUUCACUCUCUCUCUUUCUCCCUUCCCUCUUUUCCCCGAGCUCCCCGAGCCCCUCUCCGCCGGAAGCUCCCAGCCACCAGCUGCCAUCGUCCGGCCAGCGUUCGGCUGCUGCUCCAGCCCAGUUCGGACCCCCAUCUCCUCCUCUCCCUCCCCGGCCUAGCCCCCGAGCCUCUAACCCGCCGGAAGAGGAGAAAACCCGCCGGAGACGCCGGGAAGCAUUUCGCCGAAAAUCCCAUUUCCGGCCACCAAAACUUGCAAUUCUUAGCUCAUUUUGUAGCUCUCAUCAAGGUGAGUAUCCCCUCAAAAGGAAUAAAUCUUUCUCGUUGUGGUUACGGAGAAAUGUAUAAUUGAAGUUUUAGGGAUUUUUGAUGUUUUUAGUCGAUUACCCUAGUUAGCCUGAGAAUUGGACUAAGUGCUAGUUAGGAAAGUUGUUGUGCUUGAUAAGAGGAUUAUUCUGUUAAACUUUGGUAGAAAUUGGAGGUCGCCGGAAUCGGCCUCCGGCCGUCGCUGCCGGCCGAGCCGGCGCCGGCGCAGGAGCUGUUUGGGAGAUUUUAAUGUUUUUAGAUUUGGAAUAUUAAGGGGAGUUUAUUGAAGUGAGUUAUGGAAGUUUUGGAUAGGUUUGUGAAUUUCCGAAGUUUGGUAAUUUUGGCAGUUAAUUAAUAUAGAAUCCGGCCGUAGGAUUUAAGUCGUAUUUUGUGGGAAGUUGUUUUUACGGCUGCCGGUAUGUUCGGUGAAGUUUGAACCGUAUUGAGUUAAGAAUGGCGAAUUUGGGCAAUGAUGAGUGUGUGGGAGGCUCACGUUUAAUUUUGCCCAUUUUGUUCAAUUAUUGGAUUUUUGGUGGGAAAUUAAUUAUAUAUUUGGAACAGGACGAGAGGAGGCCCGAGCAGAGGAAGCCUCGGAGCGUCAUCAGGCUUAGGCCUAAGUUGUGAGUGGACCUUUAUUUUAAUUGAAAAGCAUGCGAUGAAUUAUCUGUUGAUCAUUUAUGUCUUUUCCUGAGAUUUAUUUAUUUCUCGGAUAUUUGGCAAUUUUCCUCCUUUGGAGAGAUCCCGAAAAUGAGAUUUUCGGUGGAUAUGUUUAUUGGAUGUUUAUGAUGAUAGUAUGUAUAUAUAAAUGCUAGCUAGCCAUACGUGUUUGAUCCGCCAUAAUGAGGUAAAAUACCAUUAUGGUGUGACGUGAGUGUUAGACACAAGCGUAGUAGCCCUAUAUGAAAAAUAUUUUCUUAUUUGGUUUAUUUAAGUUUUCAUAUAGGGAGUCCACACGUAUAUACACUCGUGCUUUUUCCGCCACACUGAGGUACAAUUCUAUUAUGGUGUGACGUGAGCCUUAGACGCAAGCGUAGUAGCCUUGUAUGAAUUUCUAUUUUUCUAAUUUGUUCUUAGAAUUCAUACAAGGAGUCUGACGAGUGUAAAUACAUACACUUAUAUAUGUUUAUAUAUACUUUAGCCUGAGAGGCUGUAUUUUAUUAAGUUUUGGAGACUAGCCGGUGCUGGUCGUGAAGUUGUCAGUUUUUGAGUUGAGCGCUUUUGAGUGAUUGCAUGCAGUAUUAUUUUAUUUGGAAAUUAAAUUGGGGAAGCAUAAAGAAAUACUUUUAUUUUAAUUUAUUUUUGUCUACUCACUCUAACUGUUCCACAUGUUUUCCCCUGGGCUCUUCGUUUUAAAUUGCCCAGUCUGCAGAGUUCGGGUUGGAUCUAGUAGGAGGCGAGGCAUAGUCACCCGCAUUUCCGCCCGUUUUCAUCAGUAGGUUACAUGUUUAACCUACUCGUGUUUUCUUGCUUCUGCUAGUGUCUAGUAGCUCUGAAUACUUUGGGAUUAUUGUAUUUUAUGUUUAGAAUUUCUGAAGGUUAAUUAUGUGAUGUUUGGACGUGUUGUAUUAAUAGUGUAUUUUGGAAUUUUCGAGUUAGGGUUGUCCAUUUUCAAGGGAGAUUUUAUCAAUCUUUUCAGUAAAUUUUCCUUGGAGGUGGUCCCCGCACGACUUACUCCGGGUUUCAGGGUGAAAUUCGGGGUGGGUCGUGUCAUGUUGUGAUGUGGGCAGCACGAAGGCUCUAGGAGUAGAAGGUUGUAGAUGGAUUUUUUUGAAGUGUAUGCAUGUAUUAUUAGGAAGGGUUGUCUAUUUUCAAGGGAGGUUAUACCGAAUUUUUUCGGUAAUAUUUUUUUUGGAGGUGGUCCCCGCAGGAUUUACUUCAGGUUUCAGGGUGAAAUUCAGGGUGGGUCUUGACACAGAAGCUGAAGAUACUAGGAGCUGAAAAUACUUACCUGUCUUCCGUACCGUCUCUCCCAAACAGGGCCAAACAAACUAGAUGGCAAAUCCACAACCCAACCUCUGCCGCUCAGAUUGGGCCUGACACGAAGUACGUUCUCGCCCAUCCAACGACACCGCCUCAAGGAUGUGUCGUCGAACUGGGCAUGCACUAUGAACAAGGGGCUGCUAGAUAGGGUUUUGAAGAGAAAAGUCUCUUUGUUUUAUCAAUUCUUGUUAAAAUUUGUAGCCCUGAUUUGAUGUCAACAGGUGAAAUCAAUCCUAAAAAUUAAUCAAAUAGUAAUUAAUCAGAGAUCUCCAAUGACCUAAUGUAUGGAUUUGUUACUAAGACAAUUGCGGUAACAAAAUUUGGGUACAAGGUUGGUUGUAACAGCUUGGAAACAGUCCCGCAUUGAUCAAAAAGAACAAAUUGUUUUUUUUAUGGAAGGGCCCUUACGACCAAUUUCAUUGAUCAAAAGCCAAAAUGGCGCGGAUACAUGCUUUCCCUUGCCAAACGUUUGGGAAAGUUAAUGACUUGACAUGGCAUGCUAGUACCAUUCAUUACAAAUUCCACUCACUUAAUUCGAUACAGAAAAGAAAAAAGUGAACCUAAUUAGACCAUGAAACAAAUCACAACAAUUAGGCACACACACAAAAUGCUUAGACUCCUAAAAAAGGAAUUAUUGUAAAUAGACAAGCUACAUACUUAGAAAAUGAGCUAAGGCAUGAACCCUAGCCCAAAUCUAGGCCCAAGCAACUCCAAAAUGGCCCAACCCAAAGCUCGAACAAGGGAGACCCAUGCCUGCAUCCACCACACCCUUUGCCGUCACUACUUCCCAAAGCAUCUUUGAAUCCUUCGUCCACGCCAUCGCCAUCCGAAACGAGUCAGAUCCACCAUGACCCUUACCACACAUGACAACAGCCAUGAUACCAUCAAUUUGCACCGAUCCAACAAGCUUCGCUGUCGACAAUAGAUAGCAAAAAAAUUCUGACGAAAACACGCCGUCGCAAUGCUCAGAUGAAAACAUGCCGCCGCAGGACUCAAAGCCAACAAGCCCCGAUCCCUUCGCUCAAAACUUCAAGCCAAAAAAACCAUGAAGAAACUACUUGGCAACUUGUAGAUCCCGUCCGACGGUCUCUACUCGGAGUCAUCAAAGCCCAAAGGCCAGCCUCUAACCGAGUUCGGCCACCGGAUGAGAUGGAGAUUUGGGUGUGGGAGUCGAGUGUCUUUCGGUUAUGUGUCUUGACCUAAUCGUUUCUUUAUUAUAAUAGAUUACAACAAAAUAACAAAAUGACAUGACAUGGACAAAGAAAAACGUGGUGUUAUAAGAAGUACAACACGAACAAUCAUAGAAAGUGCCAUAUAAGUUGAAGAAGCGGAGACACCAAUGCAAAGAGGAGUUAGCUACACUUCACUAGACUACAGAUUACAGAAUAAAUACAUAGAGCGAGGGAGUGUGUGAGGAAGAAAAGGGAUCAUGUUCCAUUGCCAGCCAAUCGUUCAUAAAUAUACGUCCCCCAUCUUUGUAAUUACCCAAAAAGCCCACUUCAAAGCUGGCACACCCAAACCUCAAAAACUUAAAUAAAAAAUAAUAAUAAUAAAAAGAAAAUAGAAACGGGAUGUUGUGGACUGUAGGAGCACUCUGCACUCCUAUUGAAGAAGCACCGCCCAAUUACUAAACUAGCAGCAUUUUUUCAGUCUUAGACCUAUUUUUGAAAGAUAAUAGUAAUUAAAAAUAAAUAGAAUAAUAGUUUUGGGAUUUGAGUAGUGCCCCCAGAUUAUGUAUUACAGAAAACAACCAAAUGGAGUGGCGCCCAUGUUCUAGUCAAUAUCAAAAUUCCCCACUUGGUCAAUCACCAAACCCCCGCUCUCUCUCCACUGCCCUACUCCCCUCGUCCCCUCACUAUCUUUAAGAUCAUAGCAAUCCCACAUCACAUAUCAACAUGCUUAACUGAUUUCUGAAAUUCUAGGGUUAUAAAAAAGUAACCCAACAUUUUUCUAUUUAACCCUUUCCCAAAAAAAUCAACUCUAAACUUUGAUUGAUCGUAACUUUAUCGUACGACAUCCGUUUUACGCGUGCCACAUGUCUACGAACUCGUAUCGCCGUGCUCUACAAAUUCCGUGAAAGAAGUUUCUUGAGAAACCCAAUGAAUAAAAAGUCAACUAAAAAGUCAACCAAAUAAAAUAAAUAAAUAAUAAUAGAAACUAGUAUCUAAAUUCCGGGGUAUUACAUGUACUCUUGGUUUACCUUAUGUGAUGUUGGGUUGAGUCCGUUAAUGUAGAUUUACUCAUACGACCUGUUAAAGCUUACCGGGUUUGUUGUUUAUAACCCGGUGCACUAAUUCAUGAUGUAGGGGUUAUACCUGCAAGUGAUGAUCAGCAGGGUUGAGGCGGAGGCAUAGUAGCUGGGUUCUAGAGGCUGUACAUUUUAUUUUUAAUAUUAUGGCUGUUUGUUUUUACGCUCUUGCAAGCGACUGUAUUUUACUAGACUUUUUGAAGUUGAUGUAAUUAAGGAGAGAUAAUGUUUAACUCAGUUAAUGAGUUUUGUUGACAUUUACAUUUCUAGCAUUUGAUUUUAGUUGGAAGUUGUUAAGCAGGUUUUGGAAUAUUAAGAUUUUGAGUUAUAUCAUGCCCAAAUUUUUGAAAAUUAUCCUUAAAAAAAUUGGGGUGUGACAAAUGACAUCCAUUACGAGAGCAUAUCUCAUCCCAGUGCGUGUUAGUGAGAGACCUAGCGCUAUAAGGUGAGUAUAAGCUUUUGUUCUUACUACGCUAUCUAACAAACACUACAAGAAUUCGGGGCAUUUACCGAGCAAAAUUUAUGGUGUGCACCAAUGCACACCGUAUUAUGUGCUCUUUUAUGGCGUGCUUUUAAUGCGUGUCGUAAAAAACCUCUGACAUGUAUUCUUUUACUGCGUGCUUUUAAUGCAUGCCAUAAAUGACCAAUCACAUUAAGUCUUUCGUUGCACGCAUGUAUAACGUGCCGUAAUCGUGAUAUGUUUUUACUGCACACAUAUCAAAUGUUUUCCUCUUCUAAGAAGUCCCGCACCUUUGCAAAGCCUCAAACGUCAACCCCCAAACCUCAAUAAUCUCGAUAGAGUUAGAAAGAAGCUCUAAUCCUCCAUCGAAUUCUACAAUGAGUUGCAAACCGGAAAGCCUGCAAAUCGGUUUCUAGGGAUUUCUGGCUGUGGUGGUGCAAGGUAGGUUUGUUUCUUCUUCUUCUUCUCUCUUAUCUUAAUCGAUUUUUGUAUUCUACUUUCUCUUUGAAGCGAUUAGAAUCGCUGAAACCCUUAAUCCUUUUAUUUCUCCGGUUAUGAAUGUCGUUGUUUCAACCCCAGCCGUCAGCCUUCCUCAUCAAUCGCAGCCCCAAACUAUCGUCGGCCACAAACUCUUGGGCUAUCAGACUUCGUGACAUUCGUUGUUGUGUACGGCUGAGAUUGUGAUUCUUAAUCAUAAAAUUCAGGUAUGGCUAAUAGUAAUCCCUAUUAUAGUGUGGGAUUGUAAAUUUCACAGUAAUGUCAAAAGUAAUUUUCUUUUAUAACCUAAGUAAGCUGUGAGUAGGUUGUUAAGUGUUUCAUUGUUAUGUCGAUUGCAAUAUGCUUAUAUGCAGAAGUGUAAAUGUAUUUUUUUGCUAGUAUCAAUUUUGGGAGUGUAAUGAUCUCAAUUUUAUUUAGGUUUAUUUAUCGAAUUGCUUUUGUGUGUUUUUUUUUUCUCUGACUAGGAUUUUGAUUUUGAUUAUAUUUUGGACUACCAAUUAUAUUUCCAAAUUAGAUUUUCUUUUCUACGUGUAUAGUUGUUCUUUAUUUAAUUUUGGGUGAAAAUAUUUAUUUGGGUCUAGAACUAUCCAGUCAUCAUCAGAAGCAGAACACGUUGCCCAUUCUUUUUCGUUCACGUGUCCCUAACUGAUUUCUCCAGAAUUUACUCGUCAGUCUCUCUUCCUCUUCUCCCUUCUCUUCUUGUUCUUCUUCCCCUUUUCUCUACUCUUCACUUCUGUCUCUACUCUGAUCAUCACUCUCUUCUCUAAAUCAACAACACCGAUUUCACUAGCUCACAAGGAAGAGGGGAGGAAUCGCCAUGAAAUUCGUUGCCAAAGAAUCUGAAAUUCUUUGUCUAUUCGCAGCUAACUCCUAUAAGUUUCAAUCUCUUGUAAGUUUCAGUCUUCUCUCUCUCAAACUAGUUAUCCAAUCUCAGUUGUUUCUGUCAAGACCCACCCUGAAUUUCACACUGAAACAUGAAGUAAAUUCUACGGGGACCACCUCUAAGGAAAGUUUACCGAAAAUUCGGCAUAACCUCUCUUGAAAAUGAACAACCCUUCCUAAUAAAACCUGCAUACACUUAUGAUAAACCAAAUCCAACCUUAAACUCCUGGAGCCUUCAUGCUCCCCCAAAUCACAACAUCUCCCAAUUAUUUACUAACUUUAAUAAGAAUAAUCCCACAACCAACAAUCACAGUUUAGAGCAAUUCUAAUUGAGAGGAAAUGAACUAGAAAUUUAGAAAUGAGCGGAAGCUAUACUAUUAACUAUGCCUCUUCUCCAUGUACGCCCGACCUCAACUAUGCUAACCUGCAAACUGGGCAUUUUUAAAACGAAGAGCCCAGGGGAAAACAUUUGAAACCGUUAAAGUGAGUGGACAAAGAUAAAUUAAUAAAUAAAAUAUUUAUGUUUCCCCAAAUCAAUUUCCAAGGAAAAAUCAAAUGUAUGCUGCAAGCGAUAAAACUUUAAUCUCGUAAAAUAUCGAGCCUCUCAGGCUCUAAAAUAUAUGUAUGUAUUUACACACGUCCAUACUCCCUAUAUAAAUUCAUGGGUCUAUAUAGGGCUACUACGCUCGCGUCCAAUGCUCACGUGACGUCUUAAUGCGGUGCUACACUACGCCAUUAAGGUGGACAGACGGGUGUAUAAAUAUGUGUCCAUACCCCCUAUAUGAAUUAAACACUCAUAUAGGGCUACUACGCUCACGUCCAACGCUCACGUCACACCAUAAUGCGGCUAUAUGCUACGCCAUUACGGUGGACAGACACAUAUGGCUAGCUAGCAUUUAUAUACAUACUCUCCUCAAUAUACAUAUUUAUACUCAACGAAAAAUCUCAUUUUUCGGUAACUCUCCAAAAGAAAUAAAAACGUCAAAAAUUAAAUGACGUCAAAACUCCAACAAUUUAAAUGUUCAACCAUGACCAUAGCAUGCAUAUUAUUUAAAACAAAAGUCCCCCCACAACUUUAGGCCUAAGUCUGACGUCGAUCCGAGGUCUCUUCUGCUUGAGCCUCCUCACGUCCUGUUUCCAAAUGUAAAAAUAAUUUCGCAACUAAAAAUCCAAAUAUUUAUACAAAAUAGGCAAAAUAAACAUGAGCUACUAUAUGAACUCCCUAUAUGAAAGCCUAAAUAAACCAAAUAAGAAAAUAGUUUUCAUAUAGGGCUACUACGCUUGUGUCUAACACUCACGUCACACCAUAAUGGUAUUUUACCUCAUUAUGGCGGAUCAAACACGUAUGGCUAGCUACCAUUUACAUAUACAUACUAUCAUCAUAAACAUCCAAUAAACAUAUCCACCGAAAAUCUCAUUUUCGGGAUCUCUCCAAAGGAGGAAAAUUGCCAAAUAUCCGAGAAAUAAAUAAAUUUCAGGAAAAGAAAUAAAUAAUCAACAGAUAAUUCAUCGCAUGCUUUUCAAUUAAAAUAAAGGUCCACUCACAAAUUAGGCCUAAGCCUGAUGACGCUCCGAGGUUUCCUCUGCUCGGGCCUCCUCUCGUCCUGUUCCAAAUAUAUAAUUAAUUUCCCACCAAAAAUCCAAUAAUUAAACAAAAUGGGCAAAAUUAAACGUGAGGCUCCUACACACUCAUCAUUGCCCAAAUUCGCCAUUCUUAACUCAAUACCGCUCAAACUUCGCAGAACAUACCGGCAGCCGUAAAAACAACUUCCCACAGAAUACGACUUAAAUCCUACGGCCGGAUUCUACAUUAAUUAACCGCCAAAAAUACCAAACUUCGGAAAUUCACAAACCUAUCCAAAACUCAUCCAAAAAUACCAUAACUCACUUCAAUAAACUCCCCUUAAUAUUCCAAAUCUAAAAAAACAUUAAAAUCUCCCAAACAACUCCGGUAGCGGCGGCCGGAGGCCGAUUCCGGCGACCUCCAAUUCUUAUGAAAUUUUAACAGCAUCUUCCUCUCAUCAUGCUCUACAACUUUCCUAACUAGCACAAACCCAAAAUCCAAGCCUAGCUAUGCCAAUCGAACAAAAACAUCAAAAACGCCCUAGAGCUUCCACCUCAAAUUUCUCCUUACCUGAAGCAAACCGGGGUGACUCCAUUUAGGGCAAGGCAGCUGGGUUAGAGACCUACAAAACCGUACCAAGCUUGCCCGGAUUGGUGGUCGGAGGAGGGAGAGGAGGUGAUGGGGGUCCGAACUGGGGUGGAGUGGUGGCUGGUGGCUAGUCGGACGGCGGCAGCUGGCAGCUGGAAAUUUCCGGCGAAGGGAGAGAGAGCACGGGAGGGAGAAGGAAGAGAAAAGAGAGAAGAAGAGAAAGAGAGGAAAUGGGUUGGGCCUCUCCAACCGGUCCAACUCCACUAAUAUACCUAACUCCCACAAAUAAAACACCCCGAAAAAUAAUACCCGAAAAAAAUUACCUUUUACUAGCUAAAAUUUACCCCUUUUACCGUCGCCAUAUUUUCGUCCUACGAGUAAUCCUCCGCACAUAAUCGUCCCCGUAACCCCUCUAGGGACCAAUUAAACUAUUAACUCAGUGACGGAGACGGUAAAAUUCUUAUUAAAAACAAGGUAGUAAAUAAGGUAAAAAUAUAAGAGUCGGGAUAUGAUAAUUCUCCCCUCCUUAUAAAAAUUUCGUCCUCGAAAUUUGCAUACCUGUCAUCCGAAGAGAUAGGGAUACUGCUGCAUCAUUUGCUGCUCUGAUUCCCAAGUAGCUUCUUCUACUUGAUGACUUCUCCAAAGCACCUUGACAAGUGAGAUUGUCUUAUUCCUAAGCACUUGCUCCUUUCGGUCGAGAAUCUGAACCGGUUCCUCUUCAUAUGUCAAAUCUCUCGUCAAACUGAUCGGCUGCUCUUGCAGCACAUGAGAAGGAUCGGCAAUAUACUUGCAAAGCAUGGAUACAUGAAACACAUUAUGUAUCCUAGCUAACUCUGGAGGCAAAAGUAGCCGAUAAGCAAGUGAGCCAACUCGCUCUAUGAUCACAUAAGGGCCAAUAUACCUCAGACUAAGCUUCCCACGCUUACCGAAACGCACAACCCCUUUCCAAGGAGAUAAUUUCAGGAACACCCAAUCACCCACUUGAAAUUCAAGAUCUCUCCUACGGACAUCUGCAUAACUCUUCUGCCUACUUUGAGCGGUCUUGAGUCUAUCUCUAACCACUUUAAUCUUCUCAUUCGUAACAUGGAUUAAUUCUGGGCCACAGAGCUCUUUUUCCCCCACUUCAUUUCAACACAAAGGCGUGCGACACAGCCUCCCAUAAAGACCCUCAAAGGGAGCCAUACCAAUGCUAGAAUGAAAGAUAUUAUUAUAGGCAAAUUCCAUCAAAGAUAGGUUUUUAUCCCAACUUCCUCUGAACUGCAAGACACAAGCCCUCAACAUAUCCUCCAACGUCAGAAUUGUCCUCUCGGACUGCCCAUCAGUCUGAGGAUGAAAAGCAGUGCUGAAGAGUAAUUGGGUACCUAAAGCUGCCUGAAGAGCUCCCCAGAAUUUAGAAGCAAAUCGAGGAUCCCGAUCUGACACUAUUGAUUCAGGAACACCAUGAAGCCUCACAAUUUCAUUCACAUAAAGCUCCGCCAAUUUAUCCAAUUUAUACUUCUUUCCCACUGGCAAGAAAUGUGCAGACUUGGUGAGUCGAUCCACAAUCACCCAAAUACCGUCAUGCCCUUUACGGGUACGAGGUAAACUGAAAACGAAAUCCAUGGUGAUGUGGUCCCACUUCCACACUGGAAUAGGCAACGGCUCAAGCAAUCCAGAAGGCUUCUGCCUUUCAGCUUUUACUUGCUGACAAACCAGACAUCUACUCACAUAAGCUGCAAUUUCCCUCUUCAUGUUUGGCCACCAAUAAUAAUUCUUCAAAAUCCGAUACAUUUUUGUGCUACCCGGAUGAGCAGCAUAUGCAGAGCUAUGAGCUUCCUCCAUAAUCUCAUUCUUCAACUCUUCAUUUCUUUUUGGAACUACAUUAGCCGAUUCUUAAACAUAGAGUCCCAUCUCUUCUAACUGAAAAAUGAUCGGCAGCGGCUCCAUUCGAAGCUCUUUCCAUUCAAUCAAACUAUGGAAGGAUCAUUAUACUGUGCUUCCCGCACUCUAUCAACCAAAACUGGCCUCACAUGAAAACUGGCUAUCAAAGCACCAACCUCAUCUACUGAUAAAUCCACUCCUGUAGCUUGCAACUCACAAAGAAGCGGAACACGAACCAUCUUUAUAUGAGAUAAAGAUAUAGAGGGAUUUCGACUAAGAGCAUCCGCUACCACAUUAGCUUUUCCAGGGUGAUACUCAAUAGUGCAAUCAUAAUCAUUGAUUAACUCCAUCCACCUUCUCUGUCCCAUAUUUAGCUCUCUUUGAGUGAAUACAUACCGAAGACUCUUGUGAUCGGUAAAUAUCUGACACUUGCCUCCAUAAAGAUAGUGUUUCCACAACUUGAGAGCAAAAACUACCGCUGCAAGCUCCAGAUCAUGAGUAGGAUAAUUCCCCUCAUGCGGCUUUAAUUGCCUAGAAGCGUAGGCAAUAACUCGUCCAUGCUGCAUCAAUACUCCACCUAGACCAUGUCUAGAAGCAUCACAAUAGAUCACAUACUCUCCACUAUCAUCCGGAAGUGCCAAAACAGGAGCACUUGUUAAGCAAUUCUUCAAUUCUUGGAAACUUUGCUCACAUUGAUCUGACCAUUCAAACUUAACCCUCUUCCUGGUCAAUCUUGUGAGAGGAGCAACAAUCUUUGAAAAAUCUUUCACAAAGCGCCGAUAAUAACCUACUAAUCCCAAGAAACUACGAAUCUCCAUCACAGUGGUGGGUCUUCUCCAAUUCGACACUGCUUUCACCUUUUGGGGAUCCCCACUAACUCCUUCUACCGAAAUCACAUGACCCAAAAACCCCUCUUUAUCUAGCCAAAACUCACACUUGCUAAACUUAGCAAAUAACUGCGACUUUUCCAAAGUCCGUAAUAUUAUUCUUAGAUGCUUGGCAUGCUCCUUCUCACUUCUUGAGUAAACCAAUAUGUCAUCUAUGAAUACGAUCACGAAACGAUCAAGAUAUGGACUAAACACCCUAUUCAUGAGAUCCAUGAACGCCACGGGUGCAUUAGUAAGUCCAAAUAGCAUCACCAUAAACUCAUAAUGACCAUAUCGUGACCGAAAAGCAGUCUUGGCUAUGUCCCCCUCUCGGAUCCGCAACUGAUGAUAACCCGAUCUCAAAUCAAUNNNNNNNNNNNNNNNNNNNNUUAGAGAAAACAGAGGCACCCGUCAACUGAUCAAAUAAAUCAUCGAUCCGAGGCAACGGAUAUUUAUUCUUCACUGUGACCUGAUUCAACUUCCUAUAAUCAAUGCAUAGUCUCAUGGUGCCGUCUUUCUUCUUAACAAACAACACCGGAGCACCCCAUGGAGACAUGCUAGGCCGAAUAAAACCCUUAUGUACCAACUUCUGCAAUUGAGUCUUCAACUCUUUCAAUUCCGCUGGAGCCAUUUUGUAAGGUGCCUGAGAGAUAGAUAUAGUUCCAGGAAGUAAUUCUAUAGAGAAGUCUAUCUCCCUUGCAGGAGGCAAACCAGGCAACUCCUCAGGAAAAACAUCCGGAAACUCCCUUACUACCGGAAUAUCUUCUAAUCCCACAACUCCCAUAAUUGUAUCCACGACAUGAGCUAAAUAUGCCUGACAGCCUUUACUCAACAAUUUCCUUGUAGCAACAGCGGAAAUUAUGCAACUAGAAAUAACAUCUCUUUCCCCUUGGAAAGCAACCUCAAAACCAUCUGGACUUCGAAGCACCACUACUUUUUGAAAACAAUCUACCAUAGCUCUAUAUGCUUCCAAAAAGUCCAUUCCCAAGAUCACAUCAAACUCCACUAUAUCUAAAGGAAUUAAAUCAGCCUCAAAAUUAACUCCUUCCACUAAAACUUCACAACCACUAAAUACCCAAUUUAUUCUCAUCACCUCACCGGAGGGUAGAGACACAUGCCACUCGCCUGGAAGAGACGAUGAUAGCACAUUGGCAUGGAGAGCGAAUCUACUAGACAUGAAUGAAUGCGUGGCUCCUGGAUCAAUUAAAGUAAAAGCAGGCUGACCGAAAAUUAAUAACGUACCAAUGAUGACAUCUGGAGAAGUACGACCCUCCUGCUGGGUCAUAGUAUGUAGUCUAGCGCGAGUCAUGGGACGUCUAUGCUGACCACCACCCCGCUGAGAGCCACCUCUGACCGAUGCACUGCCCUGGGCACCACUACUGGAGCCUCCAGCUGAAGACUGACCAACUGGCUGAGUAGGGGUGGGGGUGGUCCUCUGAGCCAACAAUGGGCAAUCUCUCCUGAAGUUGUCUUGACCACCACACUCAAAGCACCCAGAAAACUGCUGCUACCCAUAAGAAAAAGUCUAGCUACCGGAUGACCCACCAUGGAAAUUACCACCAGAACCAUACUGCCCAGACUGCUGCCUACCCAAAUGACUCCGAGAAGGUCUCCUGAAACAUCCUCUAGUCCUGUUUCGAGCACCAGAGCUCGAUCCCCCACUACUGCCACUACCAGCAGAAGACCCAGAAGCGGAUGAUGUAGCAGCCUUCUUAGAUGGACCUUGACUAGGGCCACCGUAAUCACGAGGCCGAACACCAUAUGUCCCCCUAAACUCAAUGGCCAUGGCUGCACCAACUGCAUCCUCAAAAGUCGGGUAAAUUACCCAUGUCAUCUUGUCCGCAUACACUCCACCAAGUACCCCAAUGAACAUCUCAAUCCUGGUCCUCUCAUCAGAAACCAGAUAUGACACAUGGUAGCUCAGGGAAGUGAAUCUUUCCUGAAACUCUAAGAUACCCUCAUCGUCCCUCUUUGACAUAUGCAGGAAAUCCGACUGAAUUCUGCUGCGGUGGGCAUGAUUGAAAUACUGCCCCAAGAAGAGAGUCUUAAACUACUCCCACGACAUAUUCAGCGCAUCCUCAACAUUCCUGUUGGCAAGUGACCACCAGUGAUGUGCUGAAUCAUCCAGAAAAGUCACUGCUAUCUUCACCUUUCUUUCUUCUGGCAGCUCAGUGCUCGCAAAAGCCUUUUCCAUCUUAUCCACCUAAUUGUGAGCAUCAAGAGGUCCCUUGGCACCCUUGAACUCUCUGGCUCCAGCAUAAAAAACUUCUCUCCUUUUCACAGUAGGAGGGCGUGGAGCUCGAUCCAUGACAUCCCUUAGCAUAUUUCCAAUAUCAUCAACCAGUCCCCUGACCUCAUUGCCCUCAUCGGCAUUGGUUGAAGUGGCCACACGGGGUUGCCGUGGGCGCCUAGGAGGCAUAGUACCUGAGAAAGAAGAAAUUUAGUAGUCCAUAAACAAGACUAACACAACAAUCACACAUACCCAAUAACACAUAGCAUCAAAAGCAUAAAAUGCCAAUGAAUCCGCCGCGGUCUGAUCAUCACUCUAUAGACACUACGUGCUACUUAGGCAAAUAUGAUAGUGACAAGGAAGCAGGAAAAGGAAACCUAAAGCUCUGAUACCAACUGACACGACCCACCCCAAAUUUCACCCUGAAACCCGAAGUCGUGCGGGGACCACCUCCAAGAAAAAUUUACUGAAAAGAUUGAUAAAAUCUCCCUUGAAAAUGGACAACCCUAACUCGAAAAUUCCAAAUUACACUCUUAAUACAACACGUCCAAACAUCACAUAAUUAACCUUCAGAAAUUCUAAACAUAAUAUACAAUAAUCUCAAAGUAUUCAGAGCUACUAGACACUAGCGGAAGCAAGAAAACACGAGUAGGUUAAACAUGUAAUCUACUGAUGAAAACUGGCGGAAAUCCGGGUGACUAUGCCUCGCCUCCUACUAGAUCCAACUCGAACUCUGCAGACUGGGCAAUUUAAAACGAAGAGCCCAAGGGAAAACAUGUGGAACAGUUAGAGUGAGUGGACAAAAACUAAAUUAAAUAAAAAUAUUUCUUUAUGCUUUCCCAAUUUAAUUUCCAAAUAAAAUAAUACUGCAUGCAAUCGCUCAAAAGCGCUCAACUCAAAAACUGACAACUUCACGACUAGCACCGGCUAGUCUCCAAAACUUAAUAAAAUACAGCCUCUCAGGCUAAAUUAUAUAUAAACAUAUAUAAGUGUAUGUAUUUACACUCGUCAGACUCCUUGUAUGAAUUCUAAGAACAAAUUAGAAAAAUAGAAAUUCAUACAAGGCUACUACGCUUGCGUCUAACGCUCACGUCACACCAUAAUGGAAUUGUACCUCAGUAUGGCGGAAAAAGCACGAGUGUAUAUACGUGUGGACUCCCUAUAUGAAAACCUAAAUAAACCAAAUAAGAAAAUAGUUUUCAUAUAGGGCUACUACGCUUGUGUCUAACACUCACGUCACACCAUAAUGGUAUUUUACCUCAUUAUGGCAGAUCAAACACGUAUGGCUAGCUAGCAUUUACAUAUACAUACUAUCAUCAUAAACAUCCAAUAAACAUAUCCACCGAAAAUCUCAUUUUCGGGAUCUUUCCAAAGGAGGAAAAUUGCCAAAUAUCCGAGAAAUAAAUAAAUCUCAUGAAAAGAAAUAAAUAAUCAACAUAUAAUUCAUCGCAUGCUUUUCAAUUAAAAUAGAGGUCCACUCACAAAUUAGGCCUAAGCCUGAUGACGCUCCGACGCUUCCUCUGCUCGGGCCUCCUCUCGUCCUGUUCCAAAUAUAUAAUUAAUUUCCCACCAAAAAUCCAAUAAUUAAACAAAAUGGGCAAAAUUAAACGUGAGCCUCCAACACACUCAUCAUUGCCCAAACCAAAUUCGUCAUUCUUAACUCAAUACAGCUCAAACUUCGGCGAACAUACCGGCAGCUGUAAAAACAACUUCCCACAGAAUACGACUUAAAUCCUACGGCCGGAUUCUACAUUAAUUAACCGCCAAAAAUACCAAACUUCGAAAAUUCAUAAACCUAUCCAAAACUCAUCCAAAAAUUCCAUAACUCACUUCAAUAAACUCCCCUUAAUAUUCCUAAUCUAAAAACAUUAAAAUCUCCCAAACAGCUCCGGUAGCGGCGGCCGGAGGCCGAUUCCGGCGACCUCCAAUUCCUAUGAAAUUUUAACAGCAUCUUCCUCUCAUCAUGCUCUACAACUUUCCUAACUAGCACAAACCCAAAAUCCAAGCCUAGCUAUGUCAAUCGAACAAAAACAUCAAAAACGCCCUAGAGCUUCCACCUCAAAUUGCUCCUUACCUGAAGCAAACCGGAGUGAGUCCUUUUAGGGCAAGGCAGCUGGGUUAGAGACCUACAAAACCGUACCAAGCUUGCCCGGAUUGGUGGCCGGAGGAGGGAUUUCCGACGAAAAGCUUCCCGGCGUUUCCGGUGCGUUUUCUCUUCUUCCGGCGGGCUAACGGCUCGGGGGCUAGGCCGGGGAGGGAGAGGAGGUGAUGGGGGUCCGAACUGGGGUGGAGUGGUGGCUGGUGGCUGGCCGAACGGCGGCAGCUGGCAGCUGGAAGUUUCCGGCGAAGGGAGAGAGAGCACGGGAGGGAGAAGGAAGAGAAAAGAGAGAAGAAGAGAAAGAGAGGAAAUGGGUUGGGCCUCUCCAACCGGUCCAACUCCACUAAUAUACCUAACUCCCACAAAUAAAACACCCCGAAAAAAAAUUACCUUUUACUAACUAAAAUUUACCAUUUUUACCGUCGCCAUAUUUUCCUCCUACGAAUAAUCCUCCGCCCAUAAUCGUCCCCGAAACCCCUCUAAGGACCAAUUAAACUAUUAACUCAAUGACGGAGAUGGUAAAAUUCUUAUUAUAAACAAGCUAGUAAAUAAGGUAAAAAUAUAAGAGUCGGGAUGUGACAGGAGCAGUCGGCGUUUCCGGUGGUUUUCUUCUCUCCGGCGGCGCUACCAGCUCGGACACUAGGCCGGGAAGAGAGAAGAGGUGGCAGGGCUCCAAACUGGGCUGGAGCGGCGGCCGGUUGCUGGCCGGAUGGCGGCAGGCGAUGGUCGGAAGUCGGACGGAGAGAUAAGCUCUGGGGGAGAGGGAGAGAGAAGAGAAAGAGGAGGAAAAAGAAGGAAGAAAAAAAAUGGGCCACUCCUCUAACCCAGUCCAACACCUUAAACAAAACCCCAACUCCCAAAAAUUAACACCUCAGAAUAAUACCCAAAUAAAAAUUACCUUUUACCAGCUAAAAUUUACUAUUUUUACCGUCGUCAAAUUUUUCUCUUACGAAUAGUUCCUCCGAAAUAAUCGUCCAUCAAAACCCCUCUAGGGACUAUUUAAACUAUAAACUCAUUGACAAAGACGGUAAAACUCUUAUUAUUACCAAGCUAGUAAAUAAGUUAAGAAUUUAAGGGUCGGGAUGUGACAGUUUUCCUAAUAAAAUUGGACUCUGAAUUGUAUCAUGAAUCUCAAAUUAGGGAACUUGAAUUGCUUGGGUGCAAGCUGGGACUUUGCUUUCGGAAUCAAACUGCUAUUGUUUGAUUUGGGUGCUUAUGUGUUUGGAGUUGCUUGCUUAUGCCGGUUGCUAUGACAUGAGGUAGGGAAAACAAACUUUUCUUUAUAGCUUUGAUUCUAGUUUCAUGUGUAUUUGGUGUGAUUGUGUUGGAAUGUCUUCUCUGCUAUUUUUCCUUGAUUGAAACUGUCAAGCAUACAUAGCUUGUCGAAUAGAAAUCUUGUUGAGUGUCAUUGUUACUCUGAUUCAAGGUAAUAUGUACCCUUGUCUUAUAUUUAAUAUUGAAAUGAUAGCCUUGAGUAUUUUGGCUGGUAUUCUUUGAAGAAGUUCACAUUGGACAAGGUCCUUCUCGUUCCCAACUCUCUUCUUAUUAUGUUAGUUGCAGCCGUGGCUUGUAUCUUGUUAUACCAUCUAAAGUGGUUUUAUCUGUGUCUACUUUGUCUUAUGUUACUGCUUUCUUGGCUUCUCCUUUGAGUCUAUUACUUAGUUUAGUCCUGCUCUCUGUUAAUGCUCAUGAACUCACUGUACAAAGCUGCUCAAGUUAGUGUCUUUACCCAUUGAUAUUUAUAUUCUUGAGGCCGAUACAAAUCUGAUUCUUGCCCUGUUCUUUAUAAUUUAAAAGGAAGUUUUUAUACAUGGUUUUACUUGAACCAAAAAUUCAAGGCUUUGCUUAUUUUCACUGAUAUGACCUCUGUAAGGGAAUAGAUAAAUGAGAUAACUAGAUUUCUUGCUCUUAGCUAUUCUACUUGUUUGUUUUAUUCUUGGUGCCCGCUACCCUAUAAUUUCUGAAAUUAAUCAAGUACGACUUUUGAAACUGAAGUAUGUCUUCUCACAAUUAUCUGAUUUGUAGCAAAAAGACGUCGUACAUGUGUUAUAUACUUACCUAUACAUACGUUCUUGGUCUUUUGACCUCAAAGUGAAAUUAGCUUUUGGCCUAUUUCAUGUCCAGGCUUACCUAUCAAAUGUUGGUGUUUAAAAUAUACCACUUUUACCUGGUUUUCGACCUAUGAUGCGGCUCCUUAUUUAACGUAUUUUGAAAUAGUCUCAUACUCAUUACCUGGACUUCAUAACCAUAAGUACUGUACAGUUUCUAUGUUAUAUAUCUUAAGAUGCAGCAAAGUGAUUUAUGCAUCCUUUCAAAACCAAAGGUAUAUCUUGUGUACUUCUGGCCAUAUGAAACCAUGAAUUCCAAGUCAAUUUGUACAUGGUUGUACUUGAGUUUAUUCCUACCACUUGAUUGCAAUUUGAAAGUGAUCGUACCUCAUUGUCAUUAUUCUUAGAAAGCUACUUUUGUUCAUAGAAUGAUCCAAUGCUUUGUAUUAUGAGUUGGAGUAUGCGCUUAUUACUAGCUCAUUGUUCGUUGAGGUCUUCUCCAUCAGUCAUGGUCUUUGUUGUUGAUUACUCCAACAGUUUGAAAACCCAAGUCUUUGCUGCUGGCUUUGAAAUCCAUGUAUUGAUGCUUAUCUCAUAACCAGUUUGCUAUUGAAAGUUGAUUCCUCUGUUAUGCCUGUUCAAAUUUACUUGGAAAUAAGCUCCCAUUCUUUGAUAAUUUCCUCUUGUCAUCUGUGAGUUUAUGAACUCAAGUUCUCUACCUCAUUGUCAUUAGUUCUAAACUCGUGUACCUAUUGCUUUGAUCUUCACCUAAAGAUCUGCUCUGUUCAGAUUCCUUUCUAUUGAAAGAACAGAGGUCCAUGUUACAGUACUAUUUCUGGGCAGUGUCAUAUGAUAUUCUGAAAAGGGAUUUCAAGUUUGUUUCUGAAAUCCUUGUUUGAUCAGUUGGUUUGGAAAAUGAAACUUCCUGGAAAGAAAUGAUUGUAUUUCAAAUUUUCUGUUCGGUUAGGCCCGGUGAAUUAUGUGAGUGGGGAUUGUGCCUCCCUUGGGUUGUUUAACCCUAAACCUGAUCAGGGUACCGCAUGUGCGGGGUUUGCUCGGUGGUAUAGCUGGGCGAUGGGCUCUAACCGGCAUCUUAAGGAUUUGUUGAAAUUCGAGUGAAAGAAAGUUCUAUGAGCUUCAUGAGUUUUUCUCAUCAACACCUUUGUUGGUUCAUGAUUAUUCUUAUUUGUUGACCUGGUUGUCAGGUUAUCCUUAUGAUUAGCUUUCUUCUACCUCGUAUGUGUAUAUUGACUGCUGAUGCUUGUUAUACUUGGUAAAGUGUGAUAUCUGAAAUUCCAAUGUUAUGUUUGAGUCGAGUUCAUUUAUUCUACUUCCAGACUUCUGAUUUUCUCUCUCUCACUAGUGUAGCAGCAAUUAUUGGGGUUAAUCUCAUUUCAUUGGUUAUAUCUCUUAAGCUUCAUGUAUGUUCCUACCUUUCAUUUCCAAGUGCAUAUUGAAUUAGAGUCUUUGUUAUAAAGAUUAUUUUGGUCGUACCUACUGAGCUUGUGAAGCUCAUUUCUUAUAUUCUUAUUGUUUUCAGGGAGUCUAUUAGUGGACAAGAUAAUGAUAUUCUGGAGUUUCUUAAGCUUAAGUAUGUUUGUUUCUUACUUUGGGUUGGUGUUGCUGCUAUGGUGUUGUUGGAUGUGUUAUGUUUAAAGGAUUGGAAUAGUUGUCAAGCUCUUAAGCAAUAACCUGGUAUGGUUAUGAUACAAAAUGUGAUGUUUCUUCUAAAAAGUAUCUUCCAUGUUUGUACAAAAUGUAAAGUUGUAUUCAGCCUUCCUCUUAUCAGAUUUAAUUAUUGCUGUGUACUUUUAAAAGGAUUCUACAUUUAUCCAUUGCUUCUGUACAGUUUUACAAUCUUUGGAAAAGAGUGUAGUUUUAUUUCAUGGGAUGUUUAUUGCUCAAGUUCAUGCUUAAUGUUGUUAUUAGAGUGAUUCUUCAGGCAAAUAUUUUGAAUCAGUUGGUUUUAACAAAAUGGUUAUUCCUUCAAAGUUUUAGUGACUAUUUUCGGGUUUUUAUAAAAGUUCCUCAUUCCAAAAGUUUGUUUUAAAAAGAAAUAAUAAUAAUUUCACCGAUCUUUCUUUCGAUUUAUUCCAUCACAUUAGUCAUACCUUGAGGUCAGGGUGUGGCAGGGAGUGUGAUGUUUAGUGGUAGUAGACAGUCAACCUUUUCGCUGGGCUUUUGAUUUGAAUAAAGUUUUGAACUUGGUUGUAAAGGAGGGUUUUAGUUAAUGAUUCUAAUUGCUUGAGAUGCAGGGAUGCACUUGAUGCAUUGGGGUUGGUUCGUUACUGCUACAGGCGCAUGCUUAUGACUCAUGUUAAUCUCAUUGAGAAGCUUCUCAACUACAACAGUAAGUUUUAACUCUUUUUCUAGCUGUCUUUCUCCUGCACAUACACGCAUAGAGUUCCCACAGGUGUAAUCUGUCCUGAGUGUGGCUGAUUUGUUUAUUGGAACUGAGAUUGAAUCUUUGUUACAGCUUUGGAGAAGUCAGAUUUAGUGUCCUGAGUAAUACUUAUGGGAUACUCAUCAGAAUUGGGAGUUGGCUUGAGUUUUUAUCGAAAUGUGACGUUUCUUGUUAGAUUGGAUGAUUCUCUUACUCAUGUGUUGUUUUGUUGAAUGCAAAUAUGGCUUUAUUUUGUUGGAUUUUUAUUUCUUUUUAUCAAUUGGGAUAUAAAUUUUAGCUUUUUAAAACUUCAAUUGAGUUUCAUAUUAGCUUCUACUUGUUGAAAUGUAGAAGGAACAAAGUGAAAAUCUAGAAGCAAUAACAAGGUCUAUUGUAUGGGUACAUGCUUAUGAAACAAAGAAGAAGAAGGGCUCAGAUGAAGUAGUUGAGGAUCAUGAAAUAGUGGUUAGUAUACUCUUCUUGUCGUGUUUGCAGAUAUCAUGUCAAUUUAUCAAAGUUGCAUGAGAUUAACAUUAGUCUUUUUUAGAAACAAGUGAAAUAAUAUCAUGCAGAGGAACAACCUUCACAACCUUGUUCUUUAAAACACAAUGUUGUAGCAAAAGUUCUAGGUCCGGAUCCACGAGGAAGGGUAAGAGGGUUAGGAUUUGGAGAAGUUCCUUCAAGGGUAGAAUAUCAAACUACUGUUGGAAACAAAGUUGCUAAAUUAGAGAAUGCUUUGUCCGCUCAAGCACAAGAGAUGCUUUCUCAAUCGCAAGAGAUUGAACGAUUAAAAGAAGUGUUUAACACUCUUUUAGCUCGAUCAGAGAAAGAAGGGGAUAACUAUGUAAGUUAGUUAGAAUUAUUAACUUUUGGCAGAUAACUCAACUAGGUUACUGAUUUCCUGAACUUUAAAAUGACAGGGUAGUACCAGUGUUCAGCAUUCUGCUAAUAAGGUUGCACAAUAGAAAGAGAAUGCGAAUCAAAGUGUAACCCAAAGCAAGCAAAACAGUCCAAGUGUUCAGAGAUCUGAAAUUCGAAGUCCAAAGAGAAAGCAGAGUAACCAAAGAAAAACUUCACGUCUUCAACACUCUACUGAUCAUGGGAUGCAAAGUAAAGACAAGGAAGGUACAAGGGCCAAAAGUACAAAGGAUGAUCAAAAUAGAAUUGAAUUGUUAAGUUGGUUUGAGAUGAGCAAAGGUGUUGUUGCAAUUGCAAAACUUGAUUCCAAAGAUCCAAAUGCUAUGGUUCAUCAUAUGCCCUUUGGUCCUGAAUGCUGGAAAGUUUGGGUGCUUGAUGUUUUUGAUGAUAUAGCUUUAUAUCGACCAACCAGGGAGUUUGGAACACUGAGCGAGGCUACAGGAAGUACAAUUGCCUAGCCUAUCCAAUACAUCAGACAAAUUUAAUCUAUUAACAAGAUAUAGCAGGUAACAUACUCUUAACAUAUACUUCUUGCAAUAUUUGUUUUCAGUAUUGUACUCUAUUCAUUCAUUAAAUUAAACUCAGUAUAUAUUCAUCGAGAUUCUAUGUUUUGGUUUGUUCUUGUAGAUAGUGCAACCACUCAAUUUGCUUAUAAAUUAAUUACUUUGGCGUAGUUGUAGAUUUGAUAGGUUAUAUGAGGACUGCCACAUUCUUGUCAGCUGGAUACCUAAACUCAAUUUUACAUGUGCUAGGAGACCAUAACUCAUCAUAUUUGGAGAUCUAAACUGAACUCAUAUUUUCUUUUUUCUUGAGUAUUGCCUUAUAUAUGUACGCAAUUAUUUGGAUUCUUAUGAUUCUUAGAUCAACCAAUGUGUAAUAUGUAUAUUUUCAAACUUGUUUCUAGCAGGUAAUGUGAAGUUUUGAGGUGAAUGAAGAUUAAUGCUUAUGUUGCUACUGGUGGGACAUUUUGCAGUUGGAUAAUGGAGUUUGAAAGCUUCCAAGUACUAUGAAUUGUAAUGUUAUUUUUUGAUGGAAUUUUUAGGGGCAUAUAUGCAGUUGUUAUGUGUUGAGAUACAUAAUGAAUAUCCAAAUUGUUCAGAUAUGAAUGUGUAUAUAUAUAUAUAUGAUGUUAGUUCACCUUUGCUAGCUUUAAAUUAGAUUGUUGUUCUUGUAUAAGGUUUUGAAGUUAGUUAUUGUUAACUCUGAUUUGAGUAGCCAAUGGAAUGUAGUACCAUGAAUUUGGAAUAUGAUCAGUAAAUCAUAUAUAAUUGUGGAAACAAUAAAUGCAAAAAGCAACAUGCAGAGCAAAUAGGUUAUUACGGCAUACUUGUGCGCCGUAAAUGUCUUUAAACUAAUACUCUUUUACGGCACGCUAGAGCGCCGUGAAAACAUUCUAAUCCAAGUCUUUGACAGCAUUCUUUUGGAUCAUAUACGGCGCACAAAUAUGCUCAUUUGGAUGUUAUAACGUUGGAGGGAACAUGUCACACCCCGGUCCCGGCGUCAGUGGGUUUUAAGCACCGGACGCCGAUCCUGAAGCGUGAACGAGUGUUACAAAGCGGAAUAAAACAAAAACACUGUCUUCUAGGCUCGUCGGCUACCCUUUCCCGGCUCGAUCAAAUCUAAGUACUUCUCUGCAAAAAAUAUUAGAGAUGGGUGGGUGAGCAUAACCACGCGCUCAGUGAGUAGACCAAUGUAAUAUGCCCGCAAAGCCAUGUCAUUUUACAUACGCUACAAAAUACGUAUAUCGUAUACACAUCACUUCAAGCAAUUCAUCACAUCGCACAAUCCCUUUUUAUUGGAUAUCCUUCAAUUUAGUGAUCCCCAUGGGAACUUAAUGACCUUCAAGUCCAAUACCUCCAUGUGUCACAUCCUUACUUCGGCAUAACCAAUCAAGAAGUUCACAUGUUUUAUGACCAGUCAAACAAUGGAUCCAACACAAAAUAAUAUAUAAAACUCCAUAUAUUUCGCAAAUCGACAUGCUUCACUAUAAAAAUAGAGAGAUAUUUUGUAAAUAGAUCAAAAUCAUGCUUUUUGAAUAUUUGAUAACAAACAAGAAUAUUUAAAACAUAUUACACAAAUCCACUCACCUCGUCAAUACGAAUCCCUACCAAAAACGUCGAGUAAACUGAGCCUCCUAAAACAAGCCAUCUAGAAUCACCGUUGGAUCUAGCUCAAACCUCUAGGGAAGAAAGAGGACAUCGAGACGAACUCGUAGCACUUCACGGAUUCGAAAUCAGAGUUACAGAUCAAAAGUUAUGAUCCGCUAAAGUUUAGUCACAAAAUUCUAGAGAGAGAAAAUUUAGGAGAGAGAGAGAGAAUCUCUCGAAAAAACUACAGAAUGAGAGAAGAAAUGGUGCUGCUCCUCUCUAUAUAUAGCUUCACAAUUGACACGUGUCAACAAAUGAUUGGUCUAUUUGUUGUCACGUGUCAAACCCACACAAUACCUCUCCACUUGAUGACACAUGGGAGGUGACUAAUUGCAGAUGAUGACAUCAUCAGCCCACAUGGGUGACGUCAUCGUCAGCUGUUAUCUUUUUAAAAUGCCACGUGUCAGCUUCUUGGCCAAUUCGAGUUCAACACGUCAUCGUCUCUAUCUUCUUCCGAGAAACUUCGAAAAAUCGUUAAAAAUAGCUCGGAAGUCUGAAAAAUUCACCGAAAAAUACGACGAACUCGUGGCAACAUCUAGUUUCUAAUUCUAAGAAGAAAAAUGAAUUUUGAGAAAUUUCAAAAAUUCGGAAUGUUACAAUCUACCCUCCUAACAAGAAUUUCGUCCCCGAAAUUCAACACACCUCCAAAAACUCCAAAAACACUUAUGGUUCUACGCUAAGAUGCUAGAAUCCUAAUCUACCACAGAUCCUGGGGUUCUAAUCCCUAGUUUGCUCUGAUACCAUUCUCACACCCCAGUCCCGGCGUCGGUGGGUUUUAAGCACCGAACGCCGACUCGAGGCGUGAACGAGUGUUACAAAGCGGAAUAAAACAAAAAACACUAUCUUCUAGGCUCGUCGGCUACCCUUUCCCGGCUCGAUCAAAUCUAAGUACUUCUCUGCAAAAAAUAUUAGAGAUGGGUGGGUGAGCAUAACCACGCGCUCAGUGAGUAGACCAAUGUAAUAUGCCCGCAAAGCCAUGUCAUUUUACACACGCUACAAAAUACGUAUAUCGUAUACACAUCACUUCAAGCAAUUCAUCACAUCGCACAAUCCUUUCUUAUUGGAUAUCCUUCAAUUUAGUGAUCCCCAUGGGAACCUAAUGACCUUCAAGUCCUAUACCUCCAUGUGUCACAUCGUUACUUCGGCAUAACCAAUCAAGAAGUUCACAUGUUUCAUGACUAGUCAAACAAUGGAUCCAACACAAAAUAAUAUAUAAAAAUGGAGAGAUAUUUCGUAAAUAGAUCAAAAUCAUGCUUUUCGAAUAUUUUGAUAACAAAUAAGAAUAUUUAAAACAUAUUACACAAAUCCACUCACCUCGUCAAUACAAAUCCCCACCAAGAACGUCGAUUGUAAACCGAGCCUCCUAAAACGAGCCAUCUAGAAUCACUAUUGGAUCUAGCUCAAACCUCUAGGAUAGAAAGAGGACAUCGAGACGAACCCGUAGCACUUCACAGAUUCGAAAUCGGAGUUACAGAUCAAUAGUUAUGAUCCGCCGAAGUUUAGUCGCAAAAUUCUAGAGAGAAAAUUUAGGGGAGAGAGAGAGAGAGAAUCUCUACGGAAAAACUACAGAAUGAGAGAAGAAAUAGUGCUGCUCCUCUCUAUAUAUAGCUUCACAAUUGACACUUGUCAACAAAUGAUUGGUCCAUUUGUUGUCACGUGUCAAACCCACACAAUACCUUUCCACUUGACGACAUAUGGGAGGUGACUAAUUGCAAAUGAUGACAUCAUCAGCCCACAUGGGUGACGUUAUCGUCAGCUGUUUUCUUUUCAAAAUGCCACGUGUUAGCUUAUUGGCCAAUCCGAGUUCGACACGUCAUCGUCUCUAUCUUCUUCCGAGAAACUUUGAAAAAUUCACCGAAAAAUACGGCGAACUCGUGGCGACAUCUAGUUUCUAAUUCUAAGAAGAAAAAUGAAUUUUGAGAAAUUUCAAAAAUUCGGAAUGUUACAGAUCAGUUUUACAGCGUGUAUUUAUCUAUUUUUAUGGCUCGCAUUGGCGCGCCGUUAAUGUAAUGCGUCUUUUACGGCGUGCAUUGCUGGCCGUAAAAGCCUGUUUUUGGCGUAGUGGAAGACAUAGUUGAUAGGUUUUAGCUUACGGUGUCGGCAUCACUUGUCCAAGGACCUAUCUCUUUGUUAAUGCUGGAUUGCAUCUUUCCAUUGUUCUUACUACGCUAUCUAACAAAGACAUAGUUGAUAGGUUUUAGCUUGCGGUGUCGGCAUCACUUGCCCAAUGACUUAUCUCUUUGUUAAUGCUGGAUCGCAUCUUUCCAUUUGGCUAAUCAACUAAGUUGAUAUCCAUCAAUAAAGGGUGGUUCGAUAGUAGACUCAUUAUCCCACGUUCUCAUGUACACUAGUGUAAUACUUGUAGAGAUCUCUAUAUAGAUUGGAUUUGACAUUGAGGCGUCCCCCAACGAUAAUCACAAUUCAGACUUCAUGAGACCGAUUUGAGUAUCACUGAUCAAUGGAUCACGUUGUGCCAAGCUCGCUUUCUUCCUAGUGCGAGAAAGUAUCGAACCUAAGGGCCUCCUUCCUUUUUAGGGAGCCACACGGCCUUCUGACACCAAUUUUGCCACCAUAUGGUGUCAGCCUAUCACCAUCUAUGGUGAUGGCAUCAAGACCAACUCCUUUUGGUCGUGCUUGAUAGGACAUCAAUCCUUGCAGACAUAUUUGUAGCAUGUGAUCUCAUCACUUUAAAACUUUAAGCAUUUGGGAUUAAGAUGAGAUUUAGUGGGAACAAACCACGACAAUUCAUGACGUUCCACUUGAACACUUGUGUUCUUAUCUCCCCCUAACGGUGGGAAUAUUGUCUCACCAAAAUGAAUCCUACGGAGCUCAAGGAUUGCAAUUUCGUGUCAAUCCUCGUACACAGUCACGAGUUGUCACACCCUGACCUUAGAGUAUGACUAAAGUGGUGGAUUUUUGAAAAUAGAAAAUCUGUGGAAUUUUUUUUUUUUUUUUCUGGAAUUUAGAAAAUAUGAAUCUGCAUCCUUUUGUUUUAAAAGCAUUUGAAUUUGAACAAAAUAAUAACUAGUAUGUAAUGCAUAUGGUGAGCCAAAGAAUUUGGUUUAACAAUAAAACUGAAAGCUUGUAAUAUGUUCUGAGUGAAACAAAACCUAUACAAGGUUCAACAAAAGAAAAGGCUAACUGUACAAGGAUAUUUUCCUAUUGUAAAAGAGAGUACAUUUAACACCAAAGUGGACAUUUAGGAAUUUGAGUUUAACUUUAAAGAUCAAGUAGUUCAAGUCUAAAACAUAAACAGUUGCUGGAACUUAGUAAGAUAAAAUACUUCAUUUUUAUACAUGUGCGAAAUAUACAUUUUACUUACAAAAUAUCUCACCACUUAGCAUCAAAAUUUACAUCAAAUUUACCCAGAUCAGUGUGGACUUUCUACUUCAUACAACUAUCUUAACAAAAACCUCCAUUCCGAACAAAAUGCAUACUGAGCACAAACUAAUGAAAACCAUAGCACAUACUCAAUAAAGCCAAAAUAGAGGCACUUAAUCUACAAGUAAGCAAAACUUGAUCAUGAACUCUGAUUUAAGACAACUCUGGAAUGUCAGAAAUAUCACCAAACUUUUUUCCUGAAAACACAUGAAACAUAGGGAAAUGAGCUUCACAAGCUCAAUAGGUACAACAUAAUAAUCGUUAUAACUAAGAUUCUAAACCAGCAACUACAUCUGAAAUGUGAAGGAUGGUAGAGAUGCUUCAAAUGUACUUUUAAAUGAGAAUAAGAAUAUGGCUGCAAACAAAUUUGGAAUUAAGCUUGAGGAACAAAUGCCAACCGUUAACUGAAUCAAGCACAGAUGAUAACAUGAUAACAUAGAAUUAUUAGGCUGCAACUCACCAAGCAACUCAUAUCAAAUGAGCAGACAACUGAACAUGAAGGAAUCAAGGACAGAUAAUAACAAUCUAAAAUACUUUACUGCAAAUAGACCAAUCAAUUCUGAUCCAAAUCAAUAGAUAACUGAACAAAUGAAGGAUCAAGAGAUAGAUUACGACAUAUAAUCAAUUAUUUCAGAUCAACUAAGUAGACUAAUAAUGAACAGGAAAGGAAAAGUGAGCAAACUGAAAUUCGAGAUUUUCUCACUGGAUACUCAAACACAAGGGAAAGAUUUUCUUUAACUUCCUUUUCUCUUUUUCAAAGUCUAAAAUCUUUCCUUUCCUUUCCAAAACAUUUGUAAAACUCUUUUCCAUAAACCAAACUUCAGCGAAAUCCUUGGAAACCGGUUAGAGCCCACUGCCCAGCUAUACCACUGAGCAAACCCCGCACAUGCGGUACCCUAAUCAGGUUUAGGGUUAAACAACCCAAGGGAGGCACAAUCCCUACUCACACAAUUCACCGGGUCUAACUAAAUAAAACAAAUAAAACCAAAUCUGAUCUUUCCAUGAAACACUUUGCUUUUCCAAACCUAGUCAAUCUGUGACAACCCGGAAUUUUAUUAUGUAUAUAUUAUGUAUAUACCUAUUUACAAACUUGCUUAUAUAUAUAUAUAUAUAGGUAUGAUUGUUUUAAGUGUGUGUGUAUAUAUUUAGUGUUAUAUAUGCUGAAAAUUAAUAUAGUUAUUUAGUUUUUUUUUUAUUAAAAUUUAAUGAGUAGGGUUUUUAUCCAAGCCCAAUACCCAAAUACAAAGCCCAAGCCCAAACUUGAUAGCAAGGAAAAGAGAAGUGUUUGUCGUUCAGGCAAAACGAUGUCGUCCUCUUCUUCUUCAUCUCCUUCACCGCCUUCUGCUUCUUCUCCUCCGCCUUCCUUCCGACCUCUAAACUCGAAGUUUUAUCCUCUCUUCUUCACCGACUUCUUCUUUCUUCCGACCAGAUGUUUCCUAAUCCGAAACAUUGCCGCCAUAAAACCCAGAAACCGUCCUUGAAACGCCUAGCAGCCGACUUCAUUAAGCAGGAGAUGUCAAGAUUCUUGGAGACUAAGUUUCCAGAUGGAUAAGAAUUGGGUUGAAGUGCUCAAUUUGACUUCCUUGAGUCUUUCUUGGACUCCACGUUCUUCCCUCUUUCUAGACCCUAUAAAUAGAGGUUAGUAUUCAGAGUUUUCCAUAUGGUUUCCUUGAAUUCACUGAUAGAGAGAGAGAGAGAGAAGAGAAGAGAAAUUGGUGUUGUAGGAAAUUGGUAGAACUCAGGUUAGAUUCUCUUUAUGUUCAGACCAAUUAAUUGUGUUUAUAUGCUCUUAGUUUGUGAAUUUAGAAUUUGACAUCACUUUGGAAUCUUUGUAUGAUUGUUUAUUUGAUUGGAAUAGUUCCUAUUAAGAAUUGGUUUUGGUUUUGUUGCUGUUGAAUUCUGUGGCAAGUAGGAUUACUAAAUCCUUUGGUUUUGGUUAUCUUUGAUUUGAUUUCUUUGUUAGCCAAAUCAGUUCUUAUAUGUUAUUAAUAGCUAGAGAAUCAAGUAUAUGAUGUUGUUGUUAUUGUUGUUGUUGCUGUUGUUUGAAUUAGCUUAAAAUUUUGUUCAUGUAGUAGAUUUAUUCUUUUGUAAACAGAAUAGAAACUGAUGAAGAUGAUUAUCUUUAGUUCUGCAAGUUUGGGUGUCCUGAGUAAUUACAAUGUUGUUGUUCGAAUUAGAGAUUCUUGUUUUCUCUUACACAACAAGGGCUUAGAGUGACUAAGAAACCUAUAUGAGUAUUUAGACAUCGAUAGAAUUGAUUAGGAACCUUAGACUUUGCAUGAACUGAAGUGACAUUUGAAUGGAAAAGUUUUUGUAACUUGUUCAUUUAGUUAACUUUGAGCAACCAUAUCUUUGAAUUAAUCAUGCUUUUUAGAAAUCAUUUGCAUGUAUUGAAAGUUCAUAUUCUUAGCUUGAUAUCUGGGUAGUUUCAUGCAAGUUCAUUUAGAAUUCGUUAGUCAAGUUUGGAGCCGAAAACAUAGCUGAACAUUCUGCAAAUCAGCUUUCUUGUAUUUUGGAGUCAGUCACCUUGAUUUCUAAAAACCGUACAUUUAGGUUGGUUAUUUGAAGUUUGUUUCUUCAUAAAAGGUGUAGUAGACAUCUUAAAUAUUAUUUUAGAAUUUGAAUCACUUCAAAAGGAUUUCUUUAGGUUAAGAUAUGAUUUUUCAAAGUUCAGGGUCUGCAGUAAGAAAUUCUGCAGAUCAAUUUUCUGUGUUUUUGACCCAGCUGUAUUUUUACUAAACCCUGUGCAUUUCAGUUGAGUAUUUGAAGUUAUUAUCUUCAUAAAAGUUAUAGUACACAUGUUAAAUAUCAUUCCUGAAUUUGAAUCUCUUCAAAAGGAGUUUUGUAGAUUAAGUUAUGAUUUUUCAAAGUUAAGGUUCUGCAUCAGGAAAUUUCUGCAAAUCCGUUUUCCAAGUUUUGGACCAAGUGACCUUUCUAUUAAAACCUGUACAUUUUGGUUCAGUAUUUGCAGUUUGUGUUUUCUCAAAAGUUUUGGUAGACAUCUUAGUUAUCAUUUACUGAAAUCUCCUGAAAAUGAUUUAUGUACAUUAAGUUAUGAAUUUUCAAAGUUGAAGGUUAGCUUUAAAUGGUUUAUGUAUUUGUUACUAUUUUACUGUUUGUUCAUUUUGAUUUCAAUGGUUUCUUUCAUUCAAACUUGUUUAGAUUCACCACCAACUGAACACACACAUUCUCAACUUUCAAACAAAGCUUGUGACAUUAUUUUCCAAAUUUAUUUGAGAUACUUAUGCCAUUUUGAAAUUAGCUAUGUGUAACAGUUUUUCUUCAAAAUAAAUCUACAUCACAUUUUGCUUAGUUUUUUUAACACGUCAAAUGUUAUCUUAAUGGCCUGAGAUUUUAGGUAGUAUGUUUUUGAGACGUAUGCUUUAAAGUAAAGCAUGUUCUUAAAACAUAUGAGGUCACACCCAAUUUUCGAAGGAUAAUUUUCAAAAAUUUGGGCAGGAUAAAUCUAAAAAAUUUGGGCAUGAUAAAUCUAAAAAAAAAACACUCCCAAAACCUAUUCAACAACUUCCAACUAAAUUCAAAUGCUGGAAAUGUAAUGUCAACAAAACUCUUUAACUGAGGUAAACAUUAUCUCUCCUUAAUUACACCAACUUCAAAAAGUCCAGUAAAAUACAGUCGCUCGCAUGAGUUUAAUACUGUCUACCAGAAAUAAUAAAAUAAAGUGUACAACAUCUAAAAUCCUGUCACUAUGCCUCCACCUCAACCCUACUGAUCACCACCUGCAGGUCUAACCCCUACACCAUGAAUUGGUGCACCGGGUUGUAAAACAACAAAACCGGUAAGCUUAAAAGCUCGUAUGAGUAAAUCCCAAAAUAAUAACUCAACAAUUCCAACAUCACAUAAGAUAAAACUGGUAAUUCCUGCAUUAGCAACUUAGUUUAGAAAUCGCCUAAAAGCAAGAGAAUUCAAAAGAAAUAAUUAAGAAAACACGACAAUUCAAAAUGAUAAAUGAAUCCUGCAAAAAGCGUAGUUUAGGAAUUCUAUUAAAAUCACAUAAUUAAGAUUAAAAAAUCUCCUGUGAAUAAGCAUAGUUCAAGAGAUACUCAAACCAAGAAAUUUAAAUGAUAACACAUAAGAACAUCACACAAUCGUUUCUCUACUCUUAUUUAUGAGUUCGUCAACACUUAGUCAUCCCCCAUAAAUAACCAAAAAACGCAUACUCAUGGGUUUGUCAACACUUAGUCAUCCCCCAUGAAGUCCCGACAUACAAACUGGAGCUCUAUACUGACCGUAACCAAUCACCCGGUCAAGACUUGGUUCCUGGUCCACCACGAAGGCUCAUAAUCUAAUGCACACAAUCACCACUAAGGCACAAAUCCACAACUAAUUGAUAGGAGCAUAAAAUGCGACAUUCUUAAUGUGUUAUUAUCUCCAUUUGUACUUUGAUUAUCUCUUAUUGUUGUAGAAUAGAGUCAUAAUGUAAAGUCGAAAGUUUUUGGUAGAGUUGUGCGUAAAAUGUGUUAAACAUAGAGGAAUGAUGUAGAAAAUUGUCAAAAGCCGAUUUGUGGAGCCUUAGAGAUGUUCUUAUGAUUAUGUAAAGCUUUUACAUUGUCACAAAUUGAUUUAACUUCUCUGAUACUUAGGUGAUAUGAGAAGAGUUAUGGGAGAAAGAAUCAGGAGAAUUGAAGUUAUGCUUGAAUCAUUGCCGAGAGAAGUCUUCCUGAUGGACCUAGGGAAGCAAAGCAGCUGAUCCACGAAGCCUAGUCCAUGAAGGAGAGGUCCAAACCAAGUCCAAUAUGGAGAAGAAGAUCUAAAUUCGGCAGAAUAUCAAGGAAUAUCCAAGUCUUGAAAAUCCGGAUUAAAUCGGGAGAAUCCCUGUGCACGUCUGUCAAUUUCAACGGACUCUCCAGGACAGAUCACAAUGAAUCAGAAAACGUGCUAGAUAUGGAUAGAGAGCUACGGGAGUCUAGUUUCCAAAUCAAUUGGAAUCACCUCAAUAUCUAUUUUCUAGAGGGAGUUAUGAUGUAAUCAUCAGACGGAGGUCAUUCUGCCGAAAUUGAGAAGAACUAGGAAUCCUAAACCAACUUGGUUUAGGCUUUGUGGCCGACUUCUCUAGGGUUUUUCCUCUAUAUAAAGCAUGACUUCAAGAGCAGAAAAACAUCAUCUCUACUCUUGCAAUUACAUAGCCGAAACUCUACCAAACCCUAUACAGAAAAUUACUUAGCCGAUUCAUCCACCACAAACCAUAAGAAUCAUUCCAUCCUUCCACCGAUUUUCCCCACACUUGCCGAAUCUUUCAAGGUUGUAAAAGUGUGAUUUUCUCAUGGCUUCUUGUAUUAUUUUCUGUAUGGUUUCGAACUCUAUUGUAAUAUACUUUUCGAUUUUGGUUUUAUUUAUCAAACAUGGUUUUCGGAUUUCUUUGUGAUCUUUGAUUGUUCUUUGUUUUGAUUUGUAACUUCUUGAAUAUAUGAUGAUUUCGUGAUUUAGGUUUUGGGGCAGUAGCAUGUUCUUAUGUGUUUUUGAUUUCUAAUUGAUUAAUUGUCAUGAAUUCGUGCAUCUAAAUCAAUCCUUGAGGCUGCCUCGGCCAUGGUUGUCCUUAAGGUGCGGUUUCAUCUACCAUAAUAAUUUUGGAUCGAUUCAUAUGCAAAGUUGUCUUGGUCUCUGUUAUUAACUUAGGGCCGAUAUAAUUCUGAUAAUUUGCAUGCUAAUAGGAUGAGUGACGCCAUGCCUUAGAUCAUGUUUCCGAUUGACUCGUGUGCUAAAGUGUUUUCUUGUUUAAUCUCUACGCAACGUGUCUUUAAAUGAGUUAGCAUUCAUGUUUAAGAUCAAGCGCAAAGAUGGUUCUAAAUACUUGAGGAGUCUUAACAAUUAGAUAACCGCAAAGGCUCUAAUUAAAUCGGAAUUGGUUAGAGUCUAGGAUAAUUUGAACGUUGUUGCCCGGCCUUGCAUGAAGUUGUUAUGUGUUCUUGAUGGUUUUUCGUGUUAUGUGUUGCAUGAGUAUGUUGAUCACUUGUAUAUAAUAAUCUUAGGUUAAAUUUUCAAAAGGUUAUUUGUUAGAAUUAAUCAAUCUUAAACCCCCAAUAUUUCGAUGUAUAUAUGUGAAUACUUGUUUAUAAAUUGUUUGGUUUCUCUUCUUUCGAUCGCCCUUUGGUUUCCCCGGCUAGAACGAUCCCUACUUGUCCAUAUUACUACGAUUGCAGGGUAAUUAAAUUGAAGUUGUUUGACCCCGGUUACGCGACACGUCACUAAUGCACACAAUCACCACUAAAGCACACAUUCACAACUAAGACACACAAUCACCACCAAGGCAUCAUUCCACAACGAAUGUACACAAUCACCACUAAUGUCACAUCCCGACUCUUAAAUUUUUACCUUAUUUACUAGCUUGGUAAUAAUAAGAGUUUUACUGUAACAUCCCGGACCCAAAUUUUACCUAUUUACUCGGUAUUUCACGAGUUACUGGAGAAUUUAACAGUGCUCGGUAACUUAGUAAGUUAACACUCGAGUUUAUUUGUGAGUUUUUCUGGAAAUGUCAAACUCUUCUUUUUAGGUCCCGAUGUCGUAGUUCAAGUCGAUUCGAGUUCUUCGGUGUCUUCAGAAUUGUUUUGCGGAGCUCCGGAUUAUUUUUCUAUGUUUUAUCGAAGGUUUGGUACUAGGAUUAUUCUUACUGAGAUUAGGGUAUAAAUUUUUUUCGAGUUUUAAAGGAAAAGAAGUGGUGGACUUCGGUCAAAAGCCCAAAGUGGGUGUUGACCAGCUCUUCCACUCCUCUCCCCGACUCCCUCUCUCUCUCGUCUCUCAGUCUUGCCGUGCCGGAGUGGCGCCGUCCGGCCACCUAUGACGACAAGACCCCCACCAAUUCUCUUCCUCUCCCUCUUCUUUACAACGUCUAGCUUUCAAUUCACCAGUGUCCGAACUUUGGAAGGAGAUCGACGGGAAGAAGCACAGCAGCCCUCCGGCGAUUCUUGUUGAUGUCGGCCAUGACUUGGCACCCGAACGGUAGGGUUCGUCUCCUCUAUCCUUCUUCCUUCUUUCUCUGCCUUUGACUCUUCAAAACGAGUUCAAAUUCGGGAGCCCCUUUUUGUGUUUUUAGGUUUUCGUCGGGGUUUUCCGGCGAGUUCGUUCUUGGAGCUCCGGCGGGACUACCGUGCUCUAGUGAGUCUAGAAUCAGUUGAAUGGAGCCCAGACACGUCUUGGGAAGGGUUGGAGGAAGCAAUGGUGGUAUUGAACCGAGGUAGAGGUUUUCUGCCAAAGGGAGGUCCCCUAUUCUUCUAUUGGUUCUUUAUUUUUGUCAAGACGAAGGCUUGGUGAGUUUGGCUUGUGAGGAACCGAAGUAAUCUGGAACUGUUUCGGUGAAGGUGGCAGCUAAGGCAGCCGUUGGGAAUGUUUGGAGGUCUUUCAUGUGGAGUCUGGCAAGGAGGAGCUCUGGUUUGCGAAAUAGAGCAAAUUGAAGGUAAGUUGGUGUUUUCGGCUAUUGUAUUGAGUUGUAUUGAGGUUUGGGUGCUAGUUAGGUGAUUUGGAAUUAUGCUCGGUGUUUUUCGGAAAUGGUUAAUGACUGUUCUUGUUGUUGUGGUUGUUGCAUGUCGAGAACUUGGAGUUCUGAAGAAUACGGGGAGGCUAUGGCGAAAUUCCGGCAAGUCACCAGAAUCCGACGAGUAUUUCUGGCAGAACCCAUGAAGGUAGCUUGUCGACUUUUCUUUUCGUGUAAGUGGUAGUUUACGGUUUAGGAAAACCUGCCAUAUUUAGAAAGUCUCUUUUUAGGGAACUUUCCCCUUUAUGGAAACUUCCAUUCUUGGAAACCCUUUUGGGUGCCCUUAGUAAUUGUUGGUGUGAAGUUGGGUAGAAAAGAAAUGUUGGAAUUGUUGGUUCUGGUUGGCUUAAGCUAGGGGACCAUAAAAUAAUUUUUGUUAAUAUGAUUACUAUCCAUAGUAACCCUAAAAUCUAGACCAUUGGCUUCAUGGUGAUUUUGGAAGUGAAUUGCUUAGUGUGUUAAAGGCAUAGAGAUAGUGUGUGACUUCGAUUUCAGGUUAAGGUUUGGUUUGAAACCGAAUAAGUUUUGGAUGCGAAGUUAGUAGUAGAAAAUGAUUCUUUUAUCUAUUGGUCAACCUAGGAAAUCUUAGUCAAACCAGGAAGAAGUCGAUUCGUUAAUGUUGAUGGAGUCCGGUCUGACCAAUUUAUUCUUCUGUUUAUCGUCAGACGUGGGAUUGGCUAGAGUGUGUAAUUAGUUGGAGGCAGCGCUCGAGGAGUAUUCCGAGCAUUGGAAGGCUUAGGCCUAAUACUGUGAGUGGACUUUUAUUUUAAAUAAUAUGCAUGCUAUGGUUUUGGUUGAGCAUUUAAAAUUGUUGGAGUUUUAACGUCAUUUAAUUUUGACGCUUUUAUUUCUUUUGGAGAGUUACCGAAAAAUAGGAUUUUUCGGUGAGUAUAAAUAUGUAUAUUGAGGAGAGUAUGUAUAUAAAUGCUAGCUAGCCAUAUGUGUUUGUCCACCUUAAUGGCGUAGCAUAUAACCGUAUUAUGGUGUGACGUGAGCGUUGGAUGCGAGCGUAGUAGCCCUAUAUGAGUGUUUAAUUCAUAUAGGGGGUAUGGGCACAUAUUUAUACACCCGUCUGUCCACCUUAAUGGCGUAGUGUAACACCGCAUUAAGACGUGACGUGAGCGUUGGACGCGAGCGUAGUAGCUCUAUAUAGACCCAUGAAUUUAUAUAGGGAGUAUGGACGUGUGUAAAUACAUACAUAUAUUUUUUUAGAGUCUGAGAGACUCGAUAUGUAUGGGAUAAAAGUUCUAUCGCUUGCAGCAUGCAUUCAACUUUCCUUGGAAAUUGAUUUGGGGAAACAUAAAUAUUUUAUUCGUUAAUUUAUUUUUGUCUACUCACUCUAACGUUUAGUUUUCAAAUGUUUUUCCCCUGGGCUCUUCGUUUUAAAAAUGCCCAGUUUGCAAGAUUGCAUAGUUGUGGUCGGACGUAUUUGGAGAAGAGGCAUAGUCAAUAGUGUUGCUUCCGCUCAUUUUUAUAUUUCUAGUUCAUUUCCUUUCAAAUAGAGUUGCUCUGAACUAUGGCUGUUGGCUAUGAGAUUUUCUUGUUUAAGUUAGUAAUUAAAUUUGGAGAUGUUGUGAUUUGGGGAGCACGAAGGCUCCAGGAGUUUAAGGUUGGAUUUGGAUUUUUCAGAAGUGUUUGCAGGUAUUUAUUAGAAAGGGUUGUCCAUUUUCAAGGGAGGUUGUGCCGAUUUUUCGGUAAACUUUCCUUGGAGGUGGUCCCCGCAGGAUUUACUUCGGGUUUCAGGGUGAAAUUCGGGGUGGGUCUUGAUAGUUGGUAUCAGAGCACUAGGUUAUUCGUUUCCUUUCUCAUUUUAGUACUACCUCAUAUUCUUGGUCAUGCUUAGUGUCUAUAGAGUGAUGGUCCGACCGCGGCGGAUCUAUUAGCAUUAUAUGCUUUAGACACUAUGUGUUGAUUAGGUUUGUGAUGUAGUUGUUCUUGUUUUAUUUAUGGUCAGUAUUAUGCCAUAAAUAUCUAUAUCUUCAAGACUAUGCCUCCGUACGCUGACCUUUUAGGUAAUCUUUAUGUUUCGUGUAAUAUAAAGGUAUAUUGAUUACGCCUUUUCCAAGGAUAUUCGAGUUGAUAUCAUAAAUUAUUAGAGUUUAAUUGCGAGUUGGGAACUCCAGUUGGGAACUCAUAAGAGUGGUAGCAUUCGUUUCAUUUGAUCAAUGAUUGUUUGGGUAAUGAUUAAGAUGCUGAGGGGAACAUCUUGUGCGAAUCUGUAGUACGUGAAACGUUUGAUUCGACGGAUGUCUUGAGAGUUUUCUAUUUUUGGUGGGCAAGUAAAGAGCUGUGGUAAUCCGAUAGAAAAUCUUGGCAUCUAGUUACGUGACUUCUGAAAGAAAAGAGUUGGAAAGAAAGUUUGGAGUAGUGGUGUACUCUAUAGAUUUAAAGGUUGGUGGAAGUGAUGUGGUGAGGUACCCAUAGUAAUUCGAAGAGGUACCUAUACGAGUCGAUGAGGACUCUAAUUUUGGGCUGAUUAGUCACGAGGGAUUGUGUGGCUAAUAAAAAGGCUAUCAAUUUAGAGAAGUCUUGAUUCUUGACCAAAUUCCCAACUGCUUUAUCCGCAGCGAAAGUUAGUUGGGAUUGUUUUGGUUAAUGCUUGUUAUGGUCGCGCAUGUUCUGGCCGUACAACUCUAAUUAAGGAUAUGUUUUUAUCCUUGGAAUCAUCAUAUUAAACAGUAAAAUCGGAGAAUUUAGGAGAAGGAGGUUAGCAGCAGUCGGCGGAUAGUAAGAUUUUUUGAUGAAUUUCGCCUAAAUUAAAGAUGGAUUAGUUGAAGUUGGUUUUACAACAGUCAUUAGUCAAUGGCAUUAUGGCAAACUUGAUGUUGUGUCGUGGUCGGGGAAUUAUUAGAAAUUGAAUGGUGUCAUCAAAAGUUUCGAGUUUUGAGUUUCGAGCAAGCUUUAAAGCGUUGAGCGACUUCUGUCAGCUAUAGUAUUUUAAUCGUGGGCCGUUGUAGAUUCUUUCGGAAUUCUAAGUGUUGAAGUUGGAUUCCAGUUUUGUUGAGUGUUUUGGGAAGAAAAUAAAUUUAAAUGAAAUUGAAAAGUAAUGGUGGAGUGAGAGCGGAUGGUUGUGGUCACUCCGGUUUUACGACAACAUCUGGUGAAUUUGUGAUGUGUUGUCAGGGGUAUUCUAAAAUAGUUGUGUAGAGCUGGUGGAAGUGGUAGCAGUGGAAUAAAACCCACUGGAUCUUGGAGCAAGACUGUGUGGGUGUCCAUAGUAAAUUUCAAGCUGCAUUGUUUUAAGUAGUGAUGUAUGUCUCAAAUUUGUGAUCGAAGUUGGUUUUUGAUAUCAUUUCGUUCACAAUGGGUGACUAAUUACGACACAACAAUGAGAGGAUUUGUUCUCGCCUUAUUUCUAAUUCAGUGAGAUGGAGUAAGGUUUUGGUUGUGGUGUGUGUGGGAAUAUUUCAAUUAUUCCUACUGUAGUUUGUGGGUAGCAUCCUCAGAGCUUGAAAUUAUGGAAUGCGAUUUCAACGCUUCGAUUUGAAGGUUAGAGAUUAUGGUUAGUUUGUCGAAUUUUUGAGGCAAAUCAUAAAUUGGUAGUUGUGUCGUAGUCAUGGAGUUCAUUUAAGCGAUGAGUCUUGAUGCCGUAAAUCCUAUGUGGUAGUUUGAGAGUUGCACGGUGAUGUUCAUUUGAUGGUUUGUGCCGUUAUAGACAUGUUGUAGCCUUAUGGAAAAGGGUUUUUCCCUGUUGACUCAAGAAGCGUCUAGAGGUUUAUUAAGAGUUAUAAUAUUGAGGGUAGUAGAUAUGGGGAUAGGUUGAACGAUGUCUCUUCUCGAGAUCGUAUUGUGGUGGGACCACUUAUUGAUCCAAGUUUGAUUUGGGAGAUCUUUGCUUUUUGGUGGUGUGUUCAUCCAUUGGUGUCAGGAUGAUUAGUUGAGGUUUCUAAUGCGAUUUUGAAACGGUUCUGGCGGAUAUCGGAGAUUUGUGGAGCUUUUGAGCUCGAAGUUAGAGGACUUGCCUUUCGUGUGCUUUAAGUUAUUUCUUCUGGAACUUGAGCUGAGUUUAGCCUUGAGUUUUGAUUCUUGCUUGAAUUCAUGGUUUUCAUUGGUUGGAGAACCACAAAAUGUGGUAAUGGGUCUUGUAUAAAAUUUAUCUUUGCAUUUGAUAGUUGCAUGAUUCUGCAUGCUCGGUUAUCAAAGAAUUUUUUUGGUGGGAAGCCGUGGCCCUAGGCGGUGUAGGAGACUUGAGCAUAUUUGUUUUUCAGAUCGUCUUCUGCUAUUAGACUAAUCGUUAAGAAGUGUAUUUGUCGGGUGCAAAGGUUUUGGCUUUUAGAAUCAUUCUUGUGGAACGGCUAGAGUGAGCCAUGUGCUUUUAAUUGUUGCACUUAGGGUCGCAGUUGCACCCGAAUAAUUAGCAUGGUUGGAGAUGUAAAUUUUGUCAAUGCUUAAAGAAGGUGUUCUAUUUAUGUGGAUUUCAACAUCAAGUUUAGCAUCACGAAUUGACUGUGCCAAUUUUUCAUGGGCAUUAUUAGUCAGUUUUGUUUAUGGCGAGCAUGGGGGAAUUUCUAGUUUCCACAUGAUAGUCAUGUUUCAGAUUGUCUUCUGAUUUGUGGUAAAGAGAUUGGUAGAGAUAGCAGAAUCAAGAGAGAGUUGGAUUUCCUAUAAGCUGCUAGUUUGUGGUGCAUAAAAUGGUAAUGUAAUAGUUUUGGUGGAGAUACCUAAGUGACGUGGUAUUGAUCUUUUCAUAAUGUUAUCUCGAAAAUCAAGGUUAUCAUAUGUUGGUGGACUGGUCACUGAGGCAAAGCAAAGCUGUCUUGUGGACUUGCGAGGGCUUUGACUCCACGAAAGACUUUGCGAGGUGUCUCGGUAUUAAAAGUGAUUGUUACAGUUCUGCAGUGUGUGCAUCCUUAAAUCUGUUCAAUUAGCAGGUCUUAAUUUUGACCCCUAUGAGCAUGUGGGAAUGUGUGAACUUUAGUUUUUUUAGCAAGUUGGCUUCGACGCUGAGUUUGUGAGUUGCAUAAUGACUAGUUUGUUGUAUGUCAUUAGGAGAUUUAAGCCUGGCAGUGAUAUUGAAUUUUUCUCUGUAUUAGCUAUUUUAAGUUUCUUAAUGAAACAAAUUGUGAUUUGUUGUCGAUCAAUGAUCAUUACCUUUGGCUCGUUCAGUUUAAAAUUUCGAGCACGAAAUUUUUAUAAGGAGGGGAGAUUGUAACAUCCCGGACCCAAAUUUUACCUAUUUACUUAGUAAGUUAACACUCGAGUUUAUUUGCGAGUUUUUCUGGAAAUGUCAAACUCUUCUUUUAAGGUCCCGAUGUCGUAGUUCAAGUCGAUUCGAGUUCUUCGGUGUCUUCAGAAUUGUUUUACGGAGCUCCGGAUUAUUUUUCUAUGUUUUAUCAUAGGUUUGGUACUAGGAUUAUUCUUACUGAGAUUAGGGUAUAAAUUUUUUUCGAGUUUUAAAGGAAAAGAAGUGGUGGACUUCGGUUAAAAGCCCAAAGUGGGUGUUGACCAGCUCUCCCACUCCUCUCCCCGACUCCCUCUCUCUCUCGUCUCUCAGUCUUGCCGCGCCGGAGUGGCGCCGUCCGGCCACCUAUGACGACAAGACCCCCACCAAUUCUCUUCCUCUCCCUCUUCUUUACAACGUCUAGCUUUCAGUUCACCCGUGCCUGAACUUUGGAAGGAGAUUGACGGGAAGAAGCACAACGGCCCUCCGGCGAUUCUUGUCGAUGUCGGCCAUGACUUGGCACCCGAACGGUAGGGUUCGUCUCCUCUAUCCUUCUUCCUUCUUUCUCUGCCUUUGACUCUUCAAAACGAGUUCAAAUUCGGGAGCCCCUUUUUGUGUUUUUAGGUUUUCGUCGGGGUUUUCCGGCGAGUUCGUUCUUGGAGCUCCGGCGGGACUACCGAGCUCCGGUGAGUCUAGAACCGGUUGAAUGGAGCCCAGACACGUCUUGGGAAGGGUUGGAGGAAGCGACGGUGGUAUUGAACCGAGGUAGAGGCUUUCCGCCAAAGGGAGGUCCCCUGUUCUUCUAUUGGUUCUAUGUUUUAUGGUGUGACGUGAGCGUUCGACGCGAGCGUAGUAGCCCUAUAUGAGUGUUUAAUUCAUAUAGUGGGUAUGGGCACAUAUUUAUACACCCGUCUGUCCACCUUAAUGGCGUAGUGUAGCACCGCAUUAAGGCGUGACGUGAGCGUUGGACGCGAGCGUAGUAGCCCUAUAUAGACCCAUGAAUUUAUAUAGGGAGUAUGGACGUGUGUAAAUACAUACAUAUAUUUUUUUUAGAGUCUGAGAGACUCGAUAUUUAUGGGAUAAAAGUUCUAUCGCUUGCAGCAUGCAUUCAACUUUCCUUAGAAAUUGAUUUGGGGAAACAUAAAUAUUUUAUUCGUUAAUUUAUUUUUAUCCACUCACUCUAACGUUUCGUUUUCAAAUGUUUUUCCCCUGGGCUCUUCGUUUUAAAAAUGCCCAGUUUGCAAGAUUGCAUAGUUGUGGUCGGACGUAUUUGGAGAAGAGGCAUAGUCAAUAGUGUUGCUUCUGCUCAUUUUUAUAUUUCUAGUUCAUUUCCUUUCAAAUAAAGUUGCUCUGAACUGUGGCUGUUGGCUAUGAGAUUUUCUUGUUUAAGUUAGUAAUUAAAUUGGGAGAUGUUGUGAUUUGGGGAGCACGAAAGCUCCAGGAGUUUAAGGUUGGAUUUGGAUUUUUCAGAAGUGUUUGCAGGUAUUUAUUACGAAGGGUUGUCCAUUUUCAAGGGAGGUUAUGCCGAUUUUUCGUUAAACUUUCCUUGGAGGUAGUCCCCGCAGGAUUUACUUCGGGUUUCAGGGUGAAAUUCGGGGUGGGUCUUGAUAUUUACCGUCUUCGUCAAUGAGUUUAUAGUUUAAAUAGUCCCUAGAGAGGUUUUGAGGGACGAUUAUUUCGGAGGAAAUAUUCGUAGGAGAAAAUUGUGACGACGGUAAAAAUAGUAAAUUUCAGCUAGUAAAAGGUAAUUUUUAUUGGGGUAUUAUUUUUGGGGUGUUUUAUUUGUGGAGUUGGGUUUAUUUGGUGGUAUUGGACCGGUUAAGAGUAGAAACCCAAACCAUUUCUCUCUCUUCAUCUCUUCUUCCUCCUGACUCUCUCCCUCUCCCGCUGUAGGAUUUUUCGUCGCCAGCCUGCCGCCAUCCGGCCACCGUUCGCCGCCGCACCGGUCCCAAACAGUCGGCCGUCCACCUAGCUGUCUCCCUGGACCGGUGAGAGCCGCCCUAGCGCGCCGUGAGGGAGAGUUGCCGCUCGAAACCUCCGGCUGUCCAAAGCUCUCCAUCGUCGGAACUCUCUCCUCCGGCCGCCAUAGCCGGAGCAGCUUGGCUCAAAAGAAAGCCCUCCUCCCGAGCAUUCAUCCCUCCAAAGGUUCCACUCCCCCUUGGUCUAGGUAAGGAGAAAGGUGGAGUAGAAAUUCUAGGGCUUAUGUAAUGUUUUCGUUCGAUUGGCAUAGUUAGACUUGGAAUUGGGUAUUGUGCUAGUUAAGAAAGUUGUAGGGUGAGUUGAGAGGAAGAUACUGUCAAAUUUUGGUAGGCAUUGGAGGUCGUCGGAGUCGGCCGCCGGCCGCUGCUGCCGGCGGAGCAGACGGCGGCUCUGCCGCUGUUAAGGGGUUUUUCAUGGUUUUAAGUGUGUUAUAUUAAGGGGAGUUUAAUGGUAUGAAGUUUAGAAUUCUUGGAAGAGUUUUGAAUAAGUUUUGGAUUUUUGAAAGAUUGGUGAAUUUAGCGGUUAAUGGGGUAGAAUCCGACCGUUGGAUUUUCCUUAUUAUUGUUUUAGAAUGUUGAAAUAAAGGAAAUAAGGCUGUGGUUGGAAUUUAAUGUGAAUUCGAUAAGCUUAACCCUAGAAAGGGUAGUGGGUUAGGCGGAAGAGUUUUAGGUUAUAUAUUUAAGUAUUAUUUAUUUCUAAAAUUGAAGUUUGAUCCUAAGCAUGGUUAUUGUGCCAGGAUUCAAGGAGACCUUACUUGAGUGGCGAAUUGGAUUUGAUCGGGCUUAUGGCUAAAGUUGUGAGGGGACUUUUGUUUUAAAUAAUAUGCAUGCAAUGAUUGAUUGUUAAGCAAUUUAUUUUGUUGGAGCAUUGACGUCAUUUUAUUUUGACGAUUUUAUUUUUCGUUUGAAGAGUUACUGAAAAUGGGAUUUUCGGCAAAUAUAAUUAUAUAUUGAUGAGGAGAGUAUGUAUAUAAAUGCUAGCUAGCCAUUUGUGUCUAUCCAGCUUAAUGGCGUAGCAUAUAACCGUAUUAUGGUGUGACAUGAGCGUUGGACGCGAGGGUAGUAGCCCUAUAUGAGUAUCUAAUUCAUAUAGGGGGUAUGGACACAUAUUUAUACACCCGUCCGUCCACCUUAAUGGCGUAGUGUAGCACCGCAUUAAGACGUGACGUGAGCGUUAGACGCAAGCGUAGUAGCCUUAUAUGAAUUUCUAUUUUUCUUAUAUUUCCUUCAUAGAAUUCAUAUAAGGAGUAUGGACGUGUGUAGAUACAUACAUAUAUAUUGAUGGAUAUAUAUUAAUUUACCCUGAGAGGCUCUAUUUUAUAAAGCUUUGGAGACUAGCCGGAGCUAGUCGUGUUAUUGCCAGUUUAUGAGUUGAGAGCUUUUGAGCUUGUUGCAUACAGCAUAAUUUCUGUGGAAAAUAAAUGGGAAUGCAUAAAUAUUUUUAUUGAAUUCAGUUUUGUCCACUCACUCUAACAUUUUCGAAUAUUUCCCCUGGGCCCUUCGUUUUAAAAAUGCCUAACUUGCAGGUUAGCUUAGUUGAGGUCGGGCGUAUAUGGAAAUGAGGCAUAGUCCAUCAUAUAGCUUCCGCUUGUUAAUUUAUUAUGUUUCCUUUCUUCCUAUUAGAGUUGCUCUGAACCUAUAAAUGGUUGGAUAUGGGAUUUGUUUAGAUUAGUAAAUAAAUUGGGUGGUGUUGUGAUUUGGGGAGCACGAAGGCUCCAGGUUUUUAAAGUUGGAUUUGGAAUUUUAGAAGUGUGUGCAGGUGCUUUUAGGAAGGGUUGUCCAUUUUCAAGGGAGGUUAUGCCAAAUUUUCGGUGAAUUUUCAGUAAAUUUUCCUUUGAGGUGGUCCCCGCAGGAUUUACCUCGGGUUUCAGGGUGAAAUUCGGGGUGGGUCCUGACAACUAAGGCACACAUUCACAAGUAAGACACACAAUCACCACUAAGGGUCCAAGGCACCAAUAAUCACAUCAAUAGAACUAAAAAUAUUAUGGUCACAAGAACCUUAAAAAUAAUUAUUUAAAUCAUCAUAAUCAUUAUCAACAUCAUCAUCAUCAAAAUCAUCAUCAUAAUAAUUAUAAAUAAUUGGUCUCAAAAUGAACCUUGGUGAGAUUUUACUCACCUAAAUAAUCCCGCUGCGUCUUCAACACAAAACACAUUUCACAAGUCACCUAUAAUUACACAAUUAAUAACCUUAGUAACCAAAGUACCAUAGGAUAUCAAACACCCUUAAACUAAACCUUAUCCCAAAAGAGGACAACCUUCCAAGGUCAUCGAAUUUAACAACCCAAAACUGCUGCUUCUAAUUCUCAAAACAGAAACUCAAACCUUGCACAAGUCUAAGAUUAACCAAAAAGUCCUAGCAAGAAAUAAUGGUAACCAAAACCUACAACCCAUAUAUCAACACGUUUGUAUCGAAGAGUACUACCUAACCAGCACCAUAAAACACUCCAGACACUACCGGACGCGCUGCCAUGCGCCGCCAUAGGCGACGGCGAGUGGGCCCUAUGCGCCACCCUACCAACCUUCGAAUUAGGGCAAACUCACAACACAAAACUUGUAGAUUGAAGAGCGGGAAGCAUCUUUUAUACCUAAGGUUUCGCCUCAAUCAGCUGGAAAACACCGAGAAACUUGCCGAAAGGUUGGCAUCCACCACCACCACUCUACACCGAGAGUCGAGCUUCAAGACCACCAGAAGUCGAACCAGGACGCCAAGGAGCUUCUAUCCCGACCGGUUUCCAGCCUCGUCACCGCCGUCAGAGGUGAGAAUUCCGGUCGGGUUGCAAACCAGGUCGCUGCCCUCACUGUGGCGCUCAAUUAGCACCGAUCCGGUCGAGUCUUCCUCACUCACCAACACAACGAGGAUUGCGCUGAGGAGAGGAAGAGUUUCCGACUAGUGCCGCCGUCUAAGUCGGCCGGAAAAGUCAGGUCAGGUCGACCGGGUCUAGGUCGGGUCAGCUGAAGAACUUUGAUAGCUACAGUUCGGGGAGAGAGAGAGGGAAAGGGAGAAAGAAAUGGUUCCGGAAAAAACGAAAAGGAAACCUAAAACUUUUCUUAUUUAACCCCAAAUUCCUGUAAAGCCACGAACUUCCACUGACCGUAACUUUCUCAUACGAAGUCCGUUUUACUCGUGCCACGUGUUUACAAACUUGUAUCGUCGUGCUCUACAACUUUCGUGAAGAAAGUUUCUCAAGAAACCCAACAGAUUAGAAAGUCAACUCUUGACUCUUGAAAACCAUAAAACCGUUUUGGGUGACUUAUGCAUCCGAACACUUCCGCCCUUCCUUCGAACCUCAAAACACACUAACUUCUAACUCGAAAAUUCCUAAAUAAUAUUAGAAACUAAUACAUAGGAAUAGGCAUAUGUGUGUCAUGCUUUUGAGUCUUCCUUAACUAGUUUGCCUAUUGAACCUAGACCAUGGGAUCUCCAAUGUUGCUAGGUUAGGUUCCCGCCAAGUAAUGACUCAUUGUAUGGGCUUGAGACUCAUUCCCCUCGAUGUAAAUACAACUUGCUCUUUAGUUAGGCCUUUAGUCAAUGGAUCGGCUAGAUUUUCCUUUGAUUUGAUGUAAUCCAAUGCUAUAACUCCAUUGGAGAGCAAUUGUCGUACUGUAGCAUGUCGUCAUCUUAUAUGCCGAGAUUUCCCAUUGUACAUUUUGUUUUUGGCUUGAUGUAUGGCAGCCAUACUAUCACAAUGAAUACAAAGGGGUGUUAAAGGCUUAGGCCACAAUGGAAUAUCUUCAACAAAAUUUCUAAGCCAUUCGGCUUCUUUGGCAGCUUUAUCCAAAGCAAUGAAUUCCGAUUCCAUUGUUGAUCGUGCUAUACAUGUUUGUUUGGAUGACUUCCAUGACACAGCUCCUCCACCAAGUGUAAACACAUAACCACUUGUGGACUUACUUUCCGUACUACCCGAGAUCCAAUUUGCAUCACUAUAUCCUUCCAAAACAGGAGGAUAUUUUGUAUAAUGUAGACCACAGUUCAUUGUAUACUUUAAGUACCUUAAUACUCUUAUCAAAGCAUGCCAAUGGUCUAUACUAGGAUUGCUUGAAUAUCGACUUAAUCGACUUAUUGAAUAAGCCAAAUCCGGUCUUGUGCAAUUCAUAACGUACAUCAAGCUUCCUAUGAUUUGUGUGUAUUCCAGUUGAGACACACUCUCACCAUUGUUCUUUGCAAGCUUAUAUGUUGGAUCAAAUGGAGUCAUCAUCAUUUUAUCAUAAUAGUGUCCAAAUUUCUUUAGCACUUUCUCCACAUAAUGAGAUUGAGUGAGUAUAUAACCAUUACUAUCUCUUUGAAUUCUCACUCCAAGGAUUAAAUCUGCUAAUCCCAUAUCUUUCAUUUCAAAUUUGGAACUGAGCAUCUUCUUUGUGGAAUUGAUAAUGUCCUUGUUUGUUCCCAUUAUCAACAUGUCAUCCACAUACAGACAUACAAUGAUACAAGCAUUUUUGGUUUGCUUGAUAUAAACACAAUUAUCACACUCGUUUAUGGUAAAUCCAGAAGACAACAUUGUAUAAUCAAACUUCUCAUGCCAUUGUUUUGGGGCUUGUUUAAGUCCAUAUAACGAUUUAACAAGUUUGCAGACUUUCUUCUCUUGCCCUUUAACAAUGAAGCCUUCAGGUUGCUCCAUAUAGAUUUCUUCCUCUAACUCACCAUUUAAGAAUGCCGUUUUGACAUCCAUUUGGUGUAUCUCGAGAUCAUAUAUAGCAACAAUUGCUAUUAGCAUUCGAAUGGAAGUAAUUCGAGUGACAGGGGAAUAGGUGUAAAAGAAAUCAAGACCUUCUUUUUGUCGAUACCCUUUUGCAACUAGUCUUGCUUUAUAUUUGUCUAUGGAACCAUCUGGUUUUAACUUCUUUUUGAAUAUCCAUUUAUAUCCAAUUGGUUUGUUUCCAGGUGAUAAAUCAACCAAUUCCCAUGUAUGGUUAUUCAUAAUGGAUUCCACUUCACUUUGAAUUGCUUCCUUCCAAUAAGGUGCUUCUACAGAUUCCAUUGCAGCCUUAUAUGUCUGAGGUUCUUGUUCAGUUAGAAAAGUCAGAAAAUCUGAACCAAAGUCUUUUGCAACUCUUGCUCUUUUACUUCUUCUUGGUUCCAAUUCUUGCUCUUGAACCUUUGAAAUAGAAGCAUUGUUAUUAUUUUCCUGUGUUUUUGGAUCUUCAUGUACUCUCUUCUUUGUAGUACUUGAUCUAUCUUUGUAUGGAAAUAUAUCCUCAAAGAAUUCAGCUUCAUUGGACUCAAGAAUAGUGUUCACAUGUACUUCUUCAUUUCCAGAUUUGUGAACUAAAAAUCGAUAUGUUGCACUGUUAUUUGCAGGUCCAAUAUAUACACAGUCUACUAUUUUUGGUCCAAGCAUUUGCAUCUUUGGAGGAGGAAUUCUAACUUUAGCAUGGCAACCCCACACUUUCAUGGUUUUAUAUGUAGGCAGCCUACCUUUCCAGAUUUCAUAUGGGGAUUGAUCAUUCCUUUUAAGAGGAAUUUUAUUCAAUAUUGAGUUUGCAUACAGAAGACCUUCACCCCAUAAACUGUGUGGAGCACCUGAACUGUUUAACAUGGAAUUUAUCAUUUCUCUUACGCUCAGCAACUUCAUUUUGCAUUGGAGUGUAGGGUUUUGUUGUUUGAUGAACAAUUCCAUGUGUGGAACAAAAUUCAGAGAAUUCAUUUGAUAUGUAUUCUCCACCACGAUCUGAUUUGAGUGUUUUUAUCUUCUUGUCUAAUUGAUUUUCAACUUCAGCUUUGUAUAUCUUAAACAUACUCAAAGCUUCAUCUUUACUAGUUAUCAAAUAGGCAUAGCAGAAUUUGUUGCAAUCAUCAAUGAAUGUAAUAUAGUAAUUCUUUCCAGAUCGACUUGGAGUUGAUUGGAAGUCACAGAGAUCAGUAUGAAUCAAUCCAAGUACUUCGUUGGAUUUUUCAACACAUUUGUAAGAGUGCUUUGCAUACUUUGAUUCAACACAGAUUUCACAUUUAUGUUCAUCAGCAUUAGUAUUGCUGUUUGAGAUGCAUUCUAACUUAGGACUGCAUUUUGGUAACAAUCCCAAGUUGAUCAUCCUGUCUAGACAACGAUAAUUCACAUGACCUAAUCUUGCAUGCCAUAAAUCAACUGAAUCAAGUAAGUAGAUAGAAGCAGUGCUAUUGCCUGCAUUAUUAUUAUUAAUAUCAGCCGUAGGAAUUACAUUGAGUUUGAACAGCCCCUCAGAUAGGUAGCCUUUUCCUACAUACAUUCCACCCUUGGUGAGUACAAACUUAUCAGAUUCAAAUAGUAACUUAAAGCCUUUGUUGAUAAGAAGAGAACCAGAAAUCAGAUUCUUUCUAAUCUCAGGGACAUGGAGCACAUUGGUCAGUGCAAGUUCUUUUCCAGAAGUGAGUUUCAGUAUCACUUUUCCUUUCCCUUCAACUACAGCAGUACUAGAAUUUCCCAUGUAAAGAUUUUCUCCACCAGAUCCUUGCUCAUAUGUUGCAAACAUGCUUCUUUCAGCACAAACAUGCCUUGAUGCACCUGUGUCAACCCACCAGUCAUUGGUAUUGGUCAUUAGAUUGACCUCAGAUACAACAACAACAAAUUGAUCUUCUGCCAUGUUUGCUUGAUUAUUAUUUCCGGCAGGUCUGUCCUUCUCUUGGCGACAAUCCAUGGCUUUAUGACCAGGCUUACCACACACUCAGCAAGAACCUUGAAUUUUCUUUUUGAACAUAACAGCUUUUGGGGCAGUAGAUGCUCUCUUGGCAGCAGUUUUUCCCUUCUUAUGAUUGUGAGAAAACUUAGGCUUGGAGGUGCUACCUUCAAUCACAUUGGCUUUUGCUUCCAUUGAGGACCAAUCGGUUUUUUCAUUCUUUCUGUUCUCUUCCUCCACACAAAGCUUGAGAAUGAGUUGCUCAAGGUUCAUCUCUUUAGAUAGGUGCUUGAGGUAUAUCUUGAAAUCCUUCCAAGAGGGAGGCAGCUUUUCAAUAAUGGAAGCAACAAGAAAGUCUCAUUGAGUCCCAUACCUUCAGCAAGUAAUUCAUGAGCAGUAAUUUGGAGUUCCUCCACUUGCUUCACCACAGAAUUGGCAUCACUCAUCUUAAAAUUCAGAAAUUUUCCAACAACAAACUUCUUGGCACUUGCAACCUCAGACUUGUAUUUCUUGUUCAAAGAAUCCCAUAGCUCUUCUGCAGUUUUGAAUGUUGAAUAAACAUCAUACAAUGAAUCAUCUAAGGCAUUCAGAAUAUAAUUCUUACACAGAAACUUGUUUUGCUCCCAAGCUUCAACAGCCUUAAUAGUUGCAUCUAGGAUAUCACCCUCUACUGGCAAAUCUGGAGCCUCAGAUGUAAUCACUUAUGCCAAGUUCAGUGUUGUUAGAUAAAACAACAUCUUUUGCUGCCAUCUUUUGAAGUCCACGCCUUUGAACACAAAUGGCUUCUCAAUAUGGUUCUUAACACCAACAGCAGUAGGUUGAUCCAUCACAAUUGUAAUAGAAUUUCUGUCUUAGAUUGUUAGAACAAGGGAACAAUCAGUUAUGGAACAACCCAAUCAACACCAGAUGUUGUGUUAAAAUCUUAUAUUUAUACUUUAAUUACAACAAUAAGAACACAAUUCCUAAUCUAUGAACACAGUAAUAUCAGUUGAAACAAUGAAUUGAAAUCAAAACAAAAUUGAGAGCAAUGAAACUGACUUGAUGAUUUUGAUAGAGGCUUGCUUGCAGCAAUCUCCUAAGACAGAAAUUCACCCCUACACUUGUGCACGUAGAUCUUGGACGUCUGUCUUGUAGGAUACAACUAUCGAACCCAAUCGAUGCACUCCGGUUGAAUCCCUGGCAAACUCUACUUUGUGUUUCUCAUAAAUAUUAAGGGGAGAAGAGAGAGGAGAACUGAAUGAAUCUCCCAUCUGCUUGGGCUGAUUGUCUUUAUAAAGAUGAAGGACAACUUUUGGGGAAUAGAGGUGUAGCUUCAGUUGUUCUGGUUUGAAACCCAGAAGACACAACCUUCUGUUCGUACUCAACUCUUCCAAUAGAUAUAAUCUCUUCCAACAAAUAUCUAUUAUUAUCCAAAUAAUAAAAACAGAUAAUAAUAAUAAUAAAAGCAGAUGGUAAAAUGGUAAAGUAAAAACACAGAUGGUUAAUUCUAAUUUUUACCCCACAUUCUCCAACACAAAUCCUAUACAUAUCGACAUUUAGAGAUACUUGCUGGGAUAAAGCUUAAGGAAUAAGUAGGAAAAGUAGAUGGUAGUCAAAUUUAGCAGUACUAGAGAUGAUAUUGGUAAAAAGCUUAUGUGCUACGACCAAGAUUCUUGUUAUAAUAGAAGAAGAACAGAAGAAUCCAGAUGGCUAUUUGUAUAGCUACAAAGGACAUUUAACACAAUUUAAGGAGGCAAGACUGUAAUUGACAUGACAUGAAUGGAUUAAACAAGACGAAAAGAAAAAGUCUGUUGUGCAAAGGCUAGGUUAUAUCAAGAUUAAAGCAUCCAAAACAAAUGAUACUUUUUACAAUGAACAAGUUGGUAAUUCUGCAUUCAUAUCAUCACAAGUGAAAGGGAUUAAAGUCCCGAAGAAGCAUCAUAUGGAUGAGAACUCAAUAAGAUUCAAGUUUGACAAGCGAACAAAGCUGGCCAAAUUACAGUCAAGAUCAAACAAACAGAAAACAUUCCAACACAAUCACACCUAAACAUAGAUACUAGAAUAGAAUCAAAGCUAUAAAUAAAAUUAUGCUUUCCCUACCUCAAAUCCUACAUAUCAGUAGCAAUCUCCAAAAGCAAUCAUGCAAGCACCCAACAAUUCCAAAGCAAUCCACUCUAUACCAUAGCAAUCCAGCCACCUGAUACAGAAGUUUUCAUAUACGAAUUCAAACUCCCCUCUAAUCGAAGAUAGAUUAAUCGAUUACAAGUAGUUUUGGAAGAUCAAGAAAUUAAUUGAACUUACAAGGAUCAAGCCUUUGUCUAGAUGGAGAAACUCUGAAAUUCUAGAGCAAUGGAUUAGUGAAUAUCCACUUUAGUCUCUUGAAAACUAGAUAAAACUUUGGGUAAGUGAUGGGACGACAUUUUUGAGCAAAGCAGAAGUGCGAAGAAAGAAAAGAACAAAAAGGAGUUCGUGUAUGGUUCAAAUGAAAUCGUACAAGGAAGGCUUGAAUCACCGACACAGAUGAAGAAGCGUGUAUGGUUCUAGAAGGUAGUACANNNNNNNNNNNNNNNNNNNNNNNNNNNNNNNNNNNNNNNNNNNNNNNNNNNNNNNNNNNNNNNNNNNNNNNNNNNNNNNNNNNNNNNNNNNNNNNNNNNNNNNNNNNNNNNNNNNNNNNNNNNNNNNNNNNNNNNNNNNNNNNNNNNNNNNNNNNNNNNNNNNNNNNNNNNNNNNNNNNNNNNNNNNNNNNNNNNNNNNNNNNNNNNNNNNNNNNNNNNNNNNNNNNNNNNNNNNNNNNNNNNNNNNNNNNNNNNNNNNNNNNNNNNNNNNNNNNNNNNNNNNNNNNNNNNNNNNNNNNNNNNNNNNNNNNNNNNNNNNNNNNNNNNNNNNNNNNNNNNNNNNNNNNNNNNNNNNNNNNNNNNNNNNNNNNNNNNNNNNNNNNNNNNNNNNAACAUGUAACCUACUGAUGAAAACUGGUGGAAAUGCGGGUGACUAUGCCUCGCCUCCUACUAGAUCCAAUCCGAACUCUGCAAACUGGGCAAUUUAAAACGAAGGCCCAGGGGAAAACAUUUAAUAACGUUAGAGUGAGUGGACAAAAAAAUAAAAUAAUAAAUAAAAUAUUUAUGUUUCCCCAAAUUAAUUUCUAAGGAGAAAAUCGACUGCAUGCCGCAAGCGAUGAAACCUUUAUCUCAUAAAAUAUCGAGCCUCUUAGACUCUAAAAUAUAUGUAUGUAUUUACACUCGUCCAUACUCCCUAUAUAAAUUCAUGGGUCUAUAUAGGGCUACUACACUCGCGUCCAACGCUCACGUCACGCCUUAAUGCGGUGCUGCACUACGCCAUUAAGGUGGACAGACGGGUGUAUAAAUAUGUGUCCAUACCCCCUAUGUGAAUUAAACACUCAUAUAGGGCUACUACGCUCACGUCACACCAUAAUGCGGCUAUAUGCUACGCCAUUAAGGUAGACAGACACAUAUGGCUAGCUAGCAUUUUAUAUACAUACUCUCUCAUAAAUACAUAUUUAUAUCCACCGAAAAUCCCAUUUUCGGUAACUCUCCAAGAGAAAUAAAAUUCGUCAAAUAAAAUGACGUUAAAAUAUUCCGCAACAAUUAUUGUUCAACCAUGAACUUUAGCAUGCAUUUUAUUUAAAACAAAAGUCCACUCACAAAUUAGGCCUAAGCCUGACGUCGAUCUGGGGUCUCGUCUGCUCGAGCCUCCUCACGUCCUGAUCCAAAAAUAAUAUUAAUUUCCCAACUAAUAAUCCAAUAUUUAGUCAAAAUAGGCAAAAUUACCCGAGAGCCAUAAAUACGCUCAUCAUUGCCUAACUUCGAUAUUCUUAAAUCGGAACGAUCUGAACUUAAAUAUCAUACUCGACAGUCGUAACUACAACCUCCCCAAAAUACGACUUAAAUCAUACGGCCGGAUUCUACAUUAAUUAACCGCCAAAAAUACCAAACUUCGGAAAUUCACAAACCUAUCCAAAUCUCAUCCAAAAAUUCCAUAAAUCACAUCAAUAAUAUCCCCUUAAUAUUCCACAUUUAAAACCCUAAAAAUCUCCCAAACCGCGGCGGCUCCGCCGGCAGCGGCGGCCGGAGGCCAAUUCCGGCGACCUCCAAAACCUAUGAAAUUUUGACAGAAUAAUGCUCUCAUCAUGCUCUAAAACUUUCCUAACUAGCACAAACACCAAUUCCAAGCCUAACUAGGGUAAUCGACUAAAAACAUCAAAAACGCCAAAAAACUUCCACCUCAAAUUUCUCCUUACCUAGCUCAAGAGGGAGUGAGUCCUUUUAGGGCAAGGCUGCUGGGUUGGAGGGCUACAAAACCGAACCAAGCUUGCCCGGAUUGGUGGCCGGAGGAGGGAGUUCCGGCAACGUGAAACCUAACACAGUCGGACCUCUCGGGCCCGAUAUCUUCUUCACGGCGGCGCUAGGGGAGCUGUCACCGGUCCAAGAAGGUUUCUGGGUUGAUGGCCGACCGAACGGGACCGGUGCGGCGGCGGUUGGUGGCCGGACGGCGGUUGGCCGGCGACGGAAAGAUCGGCUGCGGGAGGGAGUUCGGGUGCGGGAAAACCGGGAGGGAGAGAGAGAGAAAAGAGGGCUGGGCUUGACCACCCCUUGGCCCGGUCCAACCUUCUUAUACCACCCAAAUCCAAAAUAAAACACCCCGAAAAAUAAUACCCGAAUAAAAAUUACCUUUUACUAGCUAAAAUUUACCAUUUUUACCGUUGUCAUAUUUUCUCCCACGAAUAAUUCCCCGAAAUUAAUCAUCCCUUAAAAUACCUCUAGGGACCAAUUAAACUAUUAAUUCAAUGACGGAGACGGUAAAAUUUUUAUUAUAAUUAAGCUAGUAAAUAAGGUAAAAAUAUAAGGGUCGGGAUGUCACAUAUAGUUUCUAAAUGGUGGCUGAAUCCUUCUAAACCCCAAACAUAUAUUUUCCAUAUAAAAAUAAUAAUAAAACAAAAGCUACAUAAACAAGAAUGUCUAAUUUGAAAUUAUAUUGCUAAAAACCAAAAUAGCACUAAAAAUCUAUUCCUAAUCAUAUAAUGAAACACACAAAGAAAAAAGAAUGAAACCAAUUAAAUUAAAUAACCUAUUAAAAAUUGAGAUCAUUACACGAGCUCUAGUACAAAAAUAUUCAAUGAUGUUGGGUCGUAGAUGAAUAGUAAAGCUACAUGCAAAUAUUGCAUAGCCUCAAGACGCAAUAGAAAGAUUGGUGCGUAUCAAUAAUGUUCGAGCGACAAACUAAAGUUGCUUGGUCGUAGCCUCAGUGAGACCGUAUUGCGUGUGAACAUGGGGUAUAAGACACUUCAACUUAUAUCCCAAUAAACUUCUUUAAAGAAUGGGUAGUGAGCCCGUAGAAGUAUAAGUAGCAUAAGUAGUAGAUAAUGGUGUAACACGUGACCAUUGUGUUAACACUUCAACCAACACCAUAAAGCAUAAAAAACUGUCCUCAAGUUGGUUGUAUCGAUUUACAAAAUUUGAUGUAAGAAUGAAAUAUUCUCUUUUGUGUCAUUUAGCAUAGGAGGGUCUCGCUCAUAAUUUAGCCAAAAAAUAGGCUUUCAAAACUAGCAAUGAGCAUUGCAGGGGGCCAAUGAGACAUCGAGGGAAGGCUGGUGCACCUCAAUUUCUUGAGGGAUUGACCAGACGGCCUCCGGGAAGUUAGAGCCGUGUUCGGGUGACGUUAAUGUCCCCCGGGUGCCGCCAUUUACCAUCAUGGCGUCACCAUCAUGCUUCAUGAAGAGGCUAGAUCCUGAAUGUCUUCGUUUUGAGCGGAAGAAUAGAUGUCCAUGAGAACUUCUCAAAAAUUCGGACCAUUAUAUCUUUUCCAGGAUGACCGAAUUGGUUAAACCAAAGCCUAUAUGAGUCGGUGUCCCAAAUAUCAUGUUUGGCGACAACAUGAGAUUCGAUAUUCGAAUCGUAGUGACAUACAAUCCACUAAAUUGACACAUGAACUUUUCCAAGAUGCACUUUAGUCCGCAUUCAUGAGAAGAUAUACACAAAAGAAUUCUUGUUCAUUCUCAUAAUGUGUUUUCAAAUGAAAACUAUUAACGUGAAUGUGUUUAAAGCUCAACAUGGUUCGGUUGCCUCUCAAUGCAUAG